rnacentral:lncRNA from 1 species
AAAGGCAAAUUUUACAGGGUGGCAGUCCGUCCUGCCAUAUUGUAUGGAGCGGAGUGUUGGCCAGUCAAGAACUCUCAUAUUCAAAAAUUAAAGGUGGCGGAAAUGCGGGUCUUACGUUGGAUGUGUGGUCUUACUAGGGGGGAGAGGGUUGGAGUGGCUUCGGUGGAGGACAAGAUGCGGGAGGUCUGUUUGAGAUGGUUCGGACACGUGAUGAAGAGGGGCAUAGAUGCACCAGUUCGUAGGCGUGAGAGGCUUGCUUUGGAUGAUUUCAAGCGGGGCAAGGUUAGGCCAAAGAAAUAUUGGAGAGAGGUUAUUAGGCGGAACAUGAAGCAGUUACAGCUUACUGAGGACAUGACCCUAGAUAGGAAGAGCUAGAGGACGCGUAUUAGGAUAGAAGGCUAGUGACUAUUAGGGUAGGUAGGGUAGGGCAUUACCUGUUUGGUGUAUUACUCCUGUUAGGCUACCUUGUUGUAUGCUGUAUUACGAGUGCCUACUAUUCUUUGUUUACUUUCCAUUGUAGGGGCGUUUUUAUGUCUUGCCAUCUUAUUCCAUGCGUUUUGUACGGUUGUGAUUACUUAUCUUAUCUUGAGCCGGGGGUCUAUCGGAAACAGCCUUGCUACUUCUUCGGAGGUAGUGGUAUGGACUGCGUACAUCUUACCCUCCGCUGACCUCACUAUGUGGGAAUACACUGGGUUUGUUGUUGUUGUUGUUGUGGUUUAGUUUGGUGUAUUUAAAACUAACAUCUUCCUUCAGUGUGUAAAUGCAACUUUGAAGUAGAAUAAUAAUAAUGGGCAAGAAAUCAUCCAAAAAUAAAGGGAUUGGUACAACACCUGUUUCAAUUACGUUAAGAGAAGUAUUAGUCGGCAACAGAAACAAACUCAUGUACAUGGAAAGUCGAUGUUGAAAUUGGAUCACAUCAAGAAUAUUGCUAUAUGGGCUAGUGGAGAAGCUUCUAUUCGUUUACUUGUCAAAGGUUUGAGCUCUUUAAAAGUUUUUGGCUAGAGUUAUCUUGAUUUUAUCAAGAUUUUGAUAUAUCAGCUGAUAUUGUGGUGUUAUAUGAAUCGGGGUCGUUUGGUUGGGUGUAUAAGAAUAAUGUUGAAUAGGGUGUAUUACUAAUGCCAAUUUUAGUUAUCCCGGAAUUGCUUUUAUUAAUGAUUUUUGACAUGUAUACAGAUUUGUGCUGAUAUUUUGGUGUUAUAUGAACCGGGAUUGUUUUGCAGGGUGCAUAAGAAUUAUGUUUAAUAGUGUGUAGUAGAAUUUUAAAAGGUUGGGCAUAAUUCAUAAAUAAUAAUGAAAAUAAGAUGCAUAUGAAUGGUUUCGUUUAAAAAAAGGGAUGAUAUGCCUGAAAGCUUUCUCUGAAUAUAGAGGACUUGCAGCAACACAAGUUGUGCUAUGUAGUUAUCUUGUUGGAAUUGUAUUUAUCUAGUUGUAGCAGUGAAUGUGUUGCAUAUGCUCCUUAAAGUAUUUCCUUGUUUUCUCUUGCUAGGCACCAUGAUUUCCACUGCACAUAAUUUAGUGGAGAUCCUCGAGUCAUGAUGAGUUACUGUCAUGAAUAUCUUUGACAAUUGUGCUGCACACUAGUAUUCUACUCUUGAUUUCCAAUGUUUGUGAUGAUAACUAUGCUUUUUUUAAAAUGAAAGCCUCGUGGUCAAGGUGAUACACAGCAACAUUUUUGCGAAUCAGCAGUAAUUUCAUCGUGCUAUUUGUAGUUUGUUUGUGAGCACAACUUAAUUGUCAUCAAGAAACUAGUCUCUUGUCUUCCCAUCCAAUACUUGAGAAGAAACAAGGAUAAGUAAUCCUGCAUACUCCAAUCAGAUCAUGAAGUGAUAUUUAGUGACAGAGACAUAUUUUAAUGUUUAACCAGGAUUGGGAGGUGCCUUUGUCCGGUGAAGACAGUACCCUGGAAAAGGCCAACUACAUAAACCAUCGUCAAGAAGUAGAUUACUCCUGAGCACGUAACAUUGUUUUUAGUUGUUCCUUCUGUUUUCUCCAAUUUUAAAUCACAAUGUAUGGAUGGAGUUACUUUGUUCUGCUUAAAAUUUAUAAUUGUUUCAAGUUUUGGCCUCUUUCAUGUUGAAUGAGUUAUCGUCGACUUUUCAUCUCUUCUUGUAGGCUUGCAUACCAACUUAUAAUUGAUAAUUCGCAGGUGUGAGUCUAUCCUUCAGGCUGGCUACAACUGUACAACACGGAUUGAGAAGAACAAAAGAAAAGCACGAAAGAACCGCAAGAUGUCUGGUAUUCCCCCAAAGAACUAUGUUGUAUAUGAGUGUCAUUUCUGCUCACACCGGAAUGUAAAGAGAGGAACCCGAAGAGGCUAUUUGAACGACCUAUAUCUUGCCAAACCAAAAACUUCAAGAGUUGACCCUACUAUAUCAGCAAUUCGAAAGUCUGAACAGUUGGAUACAUGUAUUGAUAAGGCAAAAGUUGGUCCUACUAAAUCAGCAAAGCAAAAGUCUGAACAUUUGGAUACGUUAGUGACUAGUAUCAAUAAGGCAAGAGUUGGCACUACUGAAUCAGCAACCCAAAAGUCCGAUCAACAGUUUGAUGUCUCAGGGGGUAAUACCGAUGAAAUUAAUGAGACAGAUGUAAUAGUUUCAUCUGAAAUAGUUUUAGAUGAUCCUAUGGCUAGUCCUGCUACUCCAAUUACUUCUCUGUUGGACUCGAAAAAGAGGAAAAGAAAUAGAACAGGGUCCAAGAAAAAAGUUGAACCUCUGGAUGUUUCUUCCAUAACAAAUGCUGAGAAGACCUUCGCGACAUCCAAUAAGCGAAAGAAGAAUUCUUGGACUAGUUUGAAGGAAAUUGCGGAAAGUCAGAGUGGGAAUAGCAGGAAGUUCCCCAACAUAUCUGUUCCUUUUGUUCUUUAAUUGUAAGAAUUGUAUUGUUGCCUGUUGACCCUUUAGUGUUGAUACAAUCAUACUCCUGCAAGUUGUAAGAGUACUUAUGUAUGCAAGGGUGGCAAUGAACUGCAUUACCAUUUCUAGAUGGGCCAAAAAGGAAUAGCUAGAAACAUUUCUUAAGCUAGGAGUAUUUGAUGUUAAGUUUACAUGUCUUUUUUGGUUAUUUAAUUUAAUUAGUUGAGGAUAUUUUUGACUUGUACACUAUAUUAGUAUUUUCAAGCUACUUGGUUAGUUAUAAGGUAUUUAUUUUUGUGCUAGGAAUAUUUUACGAAUAUUGUAUGAUGUAGCGGUUUCGACUCUCUUAUUAGUCUUUAUAAUGAUACUUUUAAACUAAGUUGCUGGACUCUUCAAAAAUGUUGCUGAACCCGUGUCGGAUCCUUCAAAAAUAUACUAUUUUUUGAGGAUCCGGAACGCACUCAUGGACAUUUUUGAAGAGUCCAAGCAACUUAGCUUUUAAAGACUUGCACAUAGCAAUGUUACAACCUUACCAAUGAGCACUUUCUCUCAACAGAGACGUCAACAAAUCCGAAAUACUUGCUAUACAAGUUUUUAUAGGCGCAUUUGUGUACAUUCUUACCAAUGAGCACUUUCUCAAUAAAGACGUCACCAAAUACUUGAUAUACAUGUAUGCCAUAUAUACCACAUAUUUUCAGGGUGAUGUGUUCCAAUGGCCAGACGGUGUUGUCCCUGCUGUUGCCUCUCUAGAGAAAGCUGCACGUGAGGCCCUCUCAUCUGAUUUUCAGAAGUACAAUUAGAAGAUGAGGCAGUUAACAUUCAAUCUUAAGGUGAGUAGCUUUUUUAAGGGAAUGGGGGUAUGAGCAUGGAGUUUAUUUAAUUUUCUUCUAAUUUUCUAUGUAGGUAUGUAUUUACCUUCUAAUACUCCAGUUUUCCUUUGUUGUAAAUUUAUUGCCAGAACACCUCACUCUUAGCAUGCCGUCUUCUGAAAGGGGAGUUGGAUCCCUCUCAGAUACUGAACAUGUCCCUGAAUGAGCUAAAGGUAUGGGUCCAGGGAAUUAACUUUUUACUUAAUUUGAGGAUUGGUUUAUGUUUUAUCGACUAUGUACGCAGAUAGUCUUAAAUGUUUGACAUAGUAAUUUGUAUGUAUAUAUUCUGUUGAUUUCUGAACUGGUUAGCUCUUGCUUUGUUGAACUUAUCAACUUGUUCUUCUUGAAUUCACCGGGUGCAACCUGAAUAGGUUUGUUUGGAGUUCAUGAAAUGUAAAUAUUGUUCAGCUGUGGAUAUAGUGAAGCUGAUUUUGAAAAUUAAAAUACAGUUGAGCAUUUUCCCAAGUAAACACACAAUAAAGGAAAUUUGAUUUGCCCUUCGAGAUUUUUUUUUUUUUUUGAAUUUAAACAUUGUCUUUUCCUUCUCUGAUAUGUUGUGAAAAAGGCAACCCCCUCCAACCCGCCUACACACACAAAAAAAAAAAGAUGAAGAAGAAGCUGGAGAUUUCCUACAAAUAAAGAAGUUGAUAAUCACCUGUACCCAUAGGAAUUUAUUGUGCUCCAAAAAUAAGCCAAGAGGGGGGGCUUGAAAUGUGGAAGAAGGUGACCUCAUUUUUUCCAUACAAGAAAAACUAAUUUAGAUUUGGCAGAAGACUGCACAAACCUGCCUUGCAGUUUGAUUUUGGUUUUCAUAAUUUAAGCAUAAAACAUUUUCUUCUGCUUAGUUCGUUAAAACAUUUGAAUUAUACUUGCUACAAUAAAAUAUGUGCUCUUGUUCCUCACUUAAUUGCCCAGAUUUCUCUGUGCAUAUUACCAUUUUGUCUUACUAAGCCUCUGUUUGUUCCAGCCUUGUAAGAACUCAAUCAUGAAAUUAGGCAUGGUCCAACUUAUGUCUAGAAUUACAAAAAACAUGUACCGCAGCUUGCUAGUUACCCUGGAUGCCAAUCGUGACACUUUGAUGGAAUUUGUCCGUAUAUAGCGUGAAGUUGUGAAUUGUUGUACUAGAAGGUGUAUGUUAAUUUCCAGGAUUAAGCUAUUUUUUAAUGGACAUUCUUUACAAACUAAAGAAGUUGUAGGUUGGUCUGAUCGUCUCAUGUCAUGUUAGAUAUUAUUUUAGUUUGAUUUAAUUCAUUUAUUAAUUGUUUGCUGUGUGUUGAAUAUCUUUUUUUUUCUCGAUAACGGUAAAGGUGUAUUCUUCAGCAUUAAGGGUAUGCUGGAUAUCUCCGUAAAGUUACAAGCUGAUACCAUAGUUGCAGGGCCCUAACAAAUCUGCUAACUGUUCUACCUCUUCUAUACCCUCUUCUUUACACCAAAAGUACAAAGUGUUAAUGCAAUUUUCUGUAACCUUUUGUAUUGUGUUGGUGAUAAUAUUCUCAAGGAAUCCGAAGUUUCUCUCUCCCCAAAUCGGCCAUCACCCACAGGAUGGUACUAAAGUCCUAUCUUUUUUGAGUCUUGCUUCCUUCCCUUCUGCUCCAACACCUUAGGAUGUCAGUUCGAAUCUCUCCUCGCCCACAACCAGCCCAAAAGGGAAAUACCUUUCCCUCUGGGGGUAGAAAAAUCAUGAUCGGGAUAGCGAACCAAAAGCUAUGGAACUUGGGUGUGGGUCUUUUGUCGAAAUGGAAUGACUUUUCUUUUUCUCUUUUUAUUUAUCGUGAAUGGGGGAAUCAUUACACAUAGUACGCGCAAUCGGCAUGUUGUUUUGCAGGAACAACAUUUUUGCGAAUCAGCUGCAAUUUCAUCGUGCUAUUUGUAGUUCAUUUGUGAGUACAGCUUAAUUGUGAUCAAGAAACUAGUCUCUUGUCUUCCCAUCCAAUACUUGAGAAGAAACAAGGAUACGUAAUCCUGCCUUUGUACGGUGAGUAUAGUACCCCAGAAUAGUUCAGAAUUUGCCUGGAAAAGGCAAGAGUACAUAAACCAUCGUCAAGAAGUAGAAUACUCCUGAGCACGUAACAUUGGUUUUACUUAUUCCUUCUGAUUUCUCCUAUUUUAAAUCACAAUGUAUGGAUGGAGUUGCUUUGUUCUCCUUAAAGUUUAUUACUGUUUUGAGUUUUGGCCUCUUUCAUGUUGAAUGAGUCAUUGUCGACUUUUCAUCUCUUCUUGUAGGCUUGCAUACUAACUUAUAAUUGAUAAUUGCAGGUGUUAUUCUAUCCUUCAGGCUGGCUACAACUGCACAGCACAACUGUACAGAACGGAUUGAGAAAGAAAAAAAGAAAAGCACGACAGAACCGCAAGACAUCUGGUAUUAUCCCCAAGAACUAUGUUGUAGUUGUCAUUUCUGUUCACAUCGGAAUGUAAAGAGAGGAACCCCAAGAGGCUGUAUGAGCAACCUAUAUCCUGCCAAACCAAAAACUCCCAAGAGUUGACCCGACUAUAUCAGCAACCCGAUUUGAUGCUUCAGGGGGUAAUACCAAUAAAGAUAAUAAAACAGAUGUAAUAGUUUCAUCUGAAAUAGUUUUAGAUGAUCCUUCAACUAAUCCUGCUACUCCAGUAUCAACAGUUGCGAUCACUUCUUUGUUGGACUCGAAAAAGAGGAAAAGAAAUAGAACAGGGUCCAAAAUGAAAGUUGAACUUCAGGAUGGUUCAUCCAUAACAGAUGUUGAGAAGAUCGUCGCGACAUCCAGUAAGCGAAAGAAUAAGUCUUUGGACUAGUUUGAAGGAAAAACUUAUGUCAAUUUCUUUUUUUAAAAUAAAAACAUUUUUUUCUACUUCAAACAUCUCGUCGUUUUUUCCUUCAUUUUCAAUUAAUUGUUGCUUUAAACGUGUAUUUACUAUUAUCUGAAAAUACUUAUUUUGUUUUUCAUUAAGAUCCCGUUUGGAUAGAAUUAAAAAAAAUAGUUUUUUAGCUUAAAUGAUUAAAAGUUUAAAAUAAGUGCUUAUAAAUUAAACAGUUAAGUGUUUAGAUAGAAGUACUGAAAUUGAAAAAAAGUAUUGCCGAAAGUCAGAGCAACAAUAGCAGGAAGUUCUCCAACAUAUGUGUUCUUUUGUUCUUUAAUUGUAAAAAUUGUAUUGUUGCUUGUUGAGCACCCUUUAGUUUUGAUAUAAUCAUACUCCUGUAAGUAGUUUUGGUACAAUCAUACUCCUGUAAGUUGUAAGAGUACUUAUGUAUACAAGGGUGACAAUGAGCUGCCAUCUUAUUUUAUGAUGGGCCAAAAAGGAAUAGCUAGAAACAUUUUCUUAAGUUAGGAGUAUUUGAUAUUAAGUUUACAUGUCUGUUUUGAAUAUUUAAUUCAAUAGUUGAGGAUAUUUAUGUUUUUAAAGUUGUAUUUGAGUACAGCCUUGCCGAUGAGCACUUUCUCAAUAGAGACGUGAAUAAAUAUUUGAUAUACACGUAUAAACCACUUAUAUUUUCAGGUGUUGAUCCCCUCAACAAAAAAUAAUAGAGUAACAUAUAAGAGUGUCGUCUGUCAGAAUGAGGUCUGAGGAGGAUAGAGUGUAUGCAAAUAAUAAUAAGUGAGAUCUGAGGCAUAUAUUCCUCUUCAUUUUUUUGGGCACUAGCUAAUACAUAACAAAACAUUUUAUUUAGGUUAUUCACUUCAUUUAGAUUACACAAAUGAGAAACCUAUUAGGGUGUGUUUGGUAUGAAGGAAAACAUUUUUCAGAAAAUGUUUUUCAGUUUUCGUAUGGUUGGUUAGCUUAUAUAUUUUGAAAAAUGUUUUUCAAACCAAUUUAUUUUUCUUAAAUCUAAGGAAAAUGACUUCCCUUCAAAACGCAAGGAAAAUAUUUUUCAAAACUCUCUUUCAACCUCACUUUAAAGUUGAAAUAUUCAUACAAUUCUCAAAAUUAUCUAUCCCGUCUCCUGCCCCCAAUACCCUAUCACCCCGACUCCACACCUAAACUUUUCUCUUACCCCCUACUCCCAACCUCAAAAAAAAAAUGAAAUUUAUUUUUAAAAAUUUUCAAUUUUUUUCUUUCUCCUCACUUUCCUACCCUGACCCCCAACUCCUACUAACCCCCUCCCCCCCUCCUCCCGCACCAACCCACCCGCCUACCAACCCCUUCCCAAAAAAGGAUUUAAUUUUUUAAAUUUAUUUUUAAAAAGAAUUCUAAAGCUAAACACUAAAAUGUAUUUUUUGAAAAAUAUUUUUUCAUUCACCAACUAAAUAUUAGAAAAUAUUUUUCCUCCACCAAUCAAACAUAAGAAAACAAGUAAGAAAUCAACUUGUUUUCUGGGAAAACAUUUUCUAAGAAAAUAGAAAAUAUUUUUCAUGAAAAAUAUUUUCCUUCGUACCAAACACACCCUUAAUCAAGUGACAAUAGACAACAAUUAGCCUUCAAGAUUAUGCAAUUUAUUGGGUUAAUAAUUUUAAUUAACUUCUUAUAGCAUAGAUAUUUGCUCACUUUCACAUACAUACAUAUACAUUCAACUUUUGUAGUUAAAAUCAGAUACUAUAUUCACACGAUUUCAGUUUGAUUUAGAUAUUGUAUGCGUGUAAAAUUUUAAUGAUAAAAAUAUUCUCAUUAUGAACUCUACCCACAACAUCUAUGUCAGCUUUGGUCUGAAUACAAAAAAAUGAAGUGCUUUGUAAAUGAUCCUUCUAGAAGAGAGGAAUUCUAACAACUUUUCUAGUUAUUCGUUCUUUUUUACUAUUUAAUAGGAUUCGUAAUGUUUGGAUUAUCUUGGUUGUCUCUCCGAAAAAAUGGAUAUCUCCAGAAAAUUUUUUAAGUUCAAUUCGUUUGUUUGUUUUCUCCACCCAGACCAACCCACUGACUCAGCUUCUUAGAGUUAAGGCGAUUUGUGUAUCUACUCAUAUAGGAAUUUGGAAAAAGAAAAGCUCGAUAUAUACCGCAAAAUUAUGCAUUACUUCGCGCUACUUAAAAAAAUCAUUCAAACAUUUGAUCCUAAAACGCAAAGGUGAAUAAGAUCAACUCAGCUAACAUUAAUUUUCUAAUCUCUCUGUGCUAGAGAAGUUAUUUACUAUAAAUCGUCAAGGUGUUGAUCCUCACAUACAUACAAAAUACACUUCUCCUGCACACAUACAUCAAUUCAAUUUCUAUUAGAAAAUACAAAUGAUUAAAAUUAAGGUAUCAUAUCACCCGGUAUCGAUUAAAUUUAGCUAUUGUAUAGUUAAAAUUGAUGUCCCCCCGAUACAUACAUGUACAUCUAGCUUCUAUAGUAUAAAUUCAAUACUAUAUUAUCAUGAUUUUAAUUAGAUUUAGGUAUUUUAUAUGCGCGUGAAUACUACUAUAUUUUUUAAAAGACAAUGCUUAUAUUUUUGAAAAGACAAUGUUGAAUUAUUUGAGUAUUUUUUAUUUAAAAAUAAUUAUUGGGGAAAGGGGUGAUUAUUGAUUUUUUUUUGAAAAAAAAAUUAUUUAAUGAUUUAAAAGUUAUUUUUUAGAAAAAUGACACGUGCCAGCAUAUUAUUUGUCACUUUUCACAUCAUCAGGCGCGUGUAAUACACGCACAUAAUAAAAAUUUGUUGAUUCAGCAAAAGGUGUCAAAGUGACACACUUGAAGGCCGUUUGAGGUGCCAAAAUGGAACAAUGUCCACUUAAGGUGCCAAAGUGAAAGAUAGUGCAUACUUAAGAGACCUGCGUAUGUAUUCUGCCAAACAAUAAUAAGUGAAAUCUGAGGAGGAUAGAGUGUAUGCAAACAAUAAUAAAUGAGGUUUGAGGAGGAUAGAGUGUAUGCAAACAAUAAUAGAUUGGUUUCAAUAAAUCUUCAAGGUGUAGAUCCCUUCAUACAAUCAAAAUACUUCGCCUGUGCAUGUGCACUAAUUCAGUUCGAUUUGAAAAUACAUAUGGUUAAAAUCAAAAUAUUAUACUAACCCAAUAUCGGUUAGGUUUUCACAUACAUACAUAUACAUUCAGCUUUUGUAGUUAAAAUCAGAUACUAUAUUCACACAAUUUUAGUUUGAUUUAGAUAUUGUAUGCAUGUAAAAUUUUAAUGAUAAAAAUAUUCUCAUUAUGAACUCUACCCACAACAUCUAUGUUAGCUUUGAUCUGAAUACAAAAAGAUGAAGUGCUUUGUAAAUGAUCCUUCUAGAAGAGAGGAAUUCUAACAACUUUUCUAGUUAUUCGUUCUUUUUUACUAUUUAAUAGGAUUCAUAAUGUUUGGGUUAUCUUAUCUGUCUCUCCGAAAAAAUGAAUAUCUCCAGAAAAUUUUUUAAGUUCAAUUCGUUUGUUUGUUUUCUUCUCCACCCAUACCAACCCACUGACUCAGCUUCUUAGAUUUAAGGCGAUUUGUGUAUCUACUCAUAUAGGAAUUUGGAAAAAGAAAAGCUUGAUAUAUACCGCAAAAUUAUGCAUUACUUCGCGCUACUUAAAAAAAUCAUUUAAACAUUUGAUCCUAAAACGCAAAGGUGAAUACGAUCAACUCAACCAGCAUUAAUUUUCUAAUCUCUCUGCGCUAGAGAAGUUAUUUACUAUAAAUCCUCAAGGUGUUGAUCCUCACAUACAUACAAAAUACACUUCUCCUGCACACAUACAUUGUUCAAUUUCUGUUAGAAAAUACAUAUGAUUAAAAUUAAAGUAUCAUAUUCACCCAAUAUCGAUUAGAUUUAGCUAUUGUAUAAUUAAAAUUGAUGUCCCCAGAUACAUACAUGUACGUCCAGCUUAUGUAGUACAAAUUCAAUACUAUAUUCACACAUUUCAAUUAGAUUUAGAUAUUUUAUAUACCCGUGAAUAUUACUACAUUUUUGAAAAGACAAUGCUGAUUUAGUAUUUGACCAUCAAUUUUGAAAAUUAUUUUCAAAUAUUUGUUCGACCAUAUUUUUGAAAACCAAAUCAUAUAUUUCGACUUCAAAAUUGAUGAUCAAAUAGUAGCUUAUAGUUGGAAUAAUUAUGUAACAUUUUUUUUUUCUUUAAAAUUGUCUCGAGUAUAUAUAUAUAUAUAUAGGACAGUCACAGUUUUAUGAAACCGUCGGAACACGGUGGUUGCUAUCAGCGACGAUGACGACGAAGUGCCGACAUCGCGUGUUACACGCGCUUCCAGUAACGGUGGAGGAGAAGAGAGAGCGAAUCAACGGAAACGGAAGAAAGUGAAACUCGAACAAGAAGAGGAAAAGCCGAAAGUGAAGGAGGAGGAGGAGAGCGAGUAAGAGGAGGAAGAGGAGAAAGGGAUAGGGAAGAGAGUGAAAAAGCCGAAGAAAGUUGAUGAAGAGGAGGAGGAGGAAGCGGAGGUGGAGGUGGACCGGGUUGAAGAAGUGGAGGCGGUAAGAGGAGGAGGAAGGGCAGAAGGAGAAGUAGUUGGAUGAUGCGAAGCCGAUUGAUGAGGCUACUCGGGUUACUGGAAAAGGAAGGUGGAAGGAGAAAGCAUUAUGAGUCGUUUGAGCAUGAUGGAAAUGGCUAUGAACUAGUAAGUUUUUCGGUUAUUUGUUUCGUUUCAUCAAAACAAAAGAUUUUGAAUAACUAGUAGAAGUUAAAUUCAUUGUAGAUUGGUUUCUUUUUGGGAAUUAUUGAUUCUUUUAGUGUAUCGUAGCUGAAUUAGGAUUUGAAAUGUGAUUUCCUAUAGUUUUGUAUUUUGUAUGAUCGAAAGUAUGAUGCUUUUGAAUUGUGGAAACCGUUAUGAAUCGUUUGAGUACGAUCGAAAUUGUUAUGAACUUGUGAGUUUUUUUCGCUAAUGUGUUUCGUUUACAUAGAAAUUUUGCUUUUGAAUGACCAUAGGAAAUUUUACUUGUGGUCCCUUUAGCGCACCAGGAUGCCGUUUUUAUUUCGGAAACAAGCCAAAUAUGUGCAGUAUCACAUUCGUCACGCAGGAAUUCUCCAAAUCUAACUAGCAAUUCUUAUUAUUUUAUGAUGUUGAUGAAAUACCAGUCCAGGAAUAUAAGAUCUGCUAAUAAGCCUCCAUAUCCAAAAAAAAAAAAAAAUUCUUUUAUAACCAUGGUGCCCGGGUCAGCUUUCACGCACCUCGACUAAAUCCACGGGAUAUCUUCCACCUCACACCACCAACAACAGAUAUGAGAUUACUCUGUCCACCAAUGCCUCUCAUGGGCGGAGCCAACUUUAGCGAAGGGUGGUUAGAUGCACACCCUUCGCUGUUAAAUUAUGUGAUGAAUAGAGGUUAAAUAUUAACCAUCAUGAGUGUAUAUUCAAUUUUGCACACUCUUAACGUAGUUGAAAAUAAAAUGUGCACACCCUUCAUCAAAUUCCUGGAUCCGCCACUGAGGCCUCUGUCUACCAAAGCUAUGACAGAUGGGAAGAAUCACCUAGUGUUUUUUUCUCUCAACUGGUAUUUGGACCUGAGACCUCAGAUUUUCAACCCACUUUAUUGACCAUUAGGCCACACACCAUUGAGUUCUAAAAGAAAACCUUUUUUUUCACAAUUCAAAGGCAUCAUAUUUAUAAUACCAAAAUACAAAACCAUUGUCUUAUCACAUUUCAAACCCUAAUUCAGCUACAACACACUAAAAGAAGUGGUAAUUUCCCCAAAACAUCAAUUAAUUCAAUUCAAUUUUCAGUUUAUAUAAAAGCGUUUUUCGAUAAACACAAAUUAAAUAAAUGAAAAACUCAUAAGUUCAUAGUGAUUUCCGUCAUACUCAAACUACUCAUAAAAACCUUUCCUCUUUCCUCUUCCAGUAACCCUAAUAACCUCACCAAUCGGCUUCACAUGAUCUUCCUCCUCUUUCGCUGCCUCGGUCGUUUCAUCAAUGCGAUCCAACUCCACCUUUGCUUCGUCCAUCUUAUUCACCCUUUUCCCUCUCCUUCUCUGCUCCUCCUUCGGCUUCGUUUUCGGCAACCUUUCCUCUUCUUCUUCCUCAGACUUUCAUUUUCUUAAGUUUCCAUUGGUUCACUUUCUUUUCUCCACCGCCGUUGCUCAUCGGCGCGUGUUAUUCGCGAUAUCGGCAUUUCGUCCUCAUCGGCGCCUACGGCUACCACCGUGUGCCGCCGGUUUCCCUUUUUUGUUUGUUGCAAGUGUAGAGUGAAAUGAGAGAACAAGGAAUCUAUUGGAGGUUCUGCUAUUUGAAAAAAUGUUUCAUAAGACUAGGAAAGAAUAUAUAUAACAAGACAUUUUUAGGGGUUGUUUGGUAAACCGCAUUGUACUAUUUUGUUGUAUUUGUUAGAAUACGCAGAGAGUAGCUAGUAAGGCGCCACUGAGUGCAAAGAGAGAUACGAGAAUUCCACAAAUUGUAGACUUCCACUUACUGACGCGUGCUAUUUGGUUGAAUUAUUUAUAUCGAAAUUAACAAUUUUGAUAGUAUUUAUAGGAAUUUGAUAUAAUAAUAUGGUAUUAUUUUGGGAUAAUUAAGGUAACUAAUUAUUCAUUCAUUUUUUGUUACUUAAAAUAGCACAAACUAUUGUCUUAUUACCUAAUAUAGUUGUAUAGUUUUAUUUUCUCUUUAUUAUUUCCCUUGUUCUCCUUUGUUAUUUUCAUGAUUUGGGAUAUAGUGAUUUCACAAUAUAUAUCCCCGCUUACACUAUUUGGUUUACCAAACAACCCCUAAAAAUAUCUUGGUAUAUAUAUUGUGCCCUAGUCUUUUGAAACAUUUUGUCAAAUAGCAGAACCUCCAGUAGAUUCUUUGUUCUCUCAUUUCGCUCUACACUUAUAGCAAACAAAAAUAUGGGAAAUUGGCGGCACGUGGUGGUAGCCGUAAGCGACGACGAGGAUGAUUAGGAUGAAAUGCCGAUAUCACAUGUAACACGCGCCUCCAACAACGGCGGCGGAGAAGAGAAAACGAUUCAACGGGAAUGUAGGAAAAUGAAACUCGACAAAGAAAAAGAGGAAAGGCCGCCGAAAACGAAGCUGAUGGAGGUUAUUAGGGUUACUGGAAGAGGGAAGAAAAGUUUUUAUGAAUCGUUUGAGUAUGACGGAAAGCACUAUGAACUUGUGAGUUUUUCGUUUAUUUGAUUUGUGUUUACCAAAAAAACCUUUUGUAUGAGUUGAUUGAUGUUUCUGGAAAUUACUACUCUUUUUUAGUGCGUUGUAGCCGAACUAGGAUUUGAAAUGUGAUCAGAUAUUGGUUUGUAUUUUGUAUUGAAAAUGUGAUGCCUUUGAAUUGUGAAAAGAAGUUUUCUUUUGGAACCCAAAGAUGUGUGGUCUAGUGGUCAAUAAAGUGGGUUUAGAACCUGAGAUCACAGGUCCAAAUCCUAGUUGAGAGAAAAAAACACUAGGUGAUUCUUAUUGAUAAGUAUUUUAAAGUAAUAUGUCUAGAUGUAUUUGUAUACAGAGAAAUUCCAGAUAUAUAUGUGUAACUUCACUCUAAGUAUAUACAUUGAGUACUUCUUUUGGGUUAUUAUGUGUGAUGUUAUUAAAAAAAUAUUUGUGGAUGUAACAAUAUGCGAUUAUUUUAUGCUUAGUAUAUACUGAUAGUGUUUCCAUAGAUUAAAUAGUCGCAUCUUGAUGGUAUUUGAAGGAUUAGUAGCCCCUCACUGGAAGAUGGAGAAGAUGAGUGUUUGAGAAGAAUGAUGAUUUCUGCAUGAAGGUGUUUUAGGAUUAUGUUAGUGUUAAGCGGAGAUCCUGCCCAAAGAAAAAGUAGUGUCAAGAACUUUGUCCAUGAUGCUGAAGCGAGAGAACUCUUAGAAUCCUUAAAACAGUACGGAGGAAUAUAUUUUGUUUUGAUAUAUAAAGUCUCUUCACAGCACCUCCGUGGAGCUAUUCUAAACAAAUAAACUUACCAUUUCUGAACAAAAUUUUAAAAAUAUAGAAGAAAGGAGAGUCGUCAAGACCAGGUCAGAUGCCUUCUUAUUUGAGAAGGAAGAUUUUUGAGGUUUCUUGCCAACCUAGAAUAGGGAUUGUUAGAGAUGGUAGCUUGCUGAACGUUAGCGCGAUUUGAUCUGUGGAGGGGUGUUGCCGGCUCAGAAAAUAAAGAGCUAUAAUGGGAAAAAGAAAGAUGCACAAACAAGGGGAAACUGGAAGAGGAGUUUGAAUUCCAGGAUAAGUAUGUAACACUUUAGUGAAAAAAGGGUAUAUCUUAAUUGAAAUGUGCAGAAGUGUAUGGAAUUGUAUACACAUCUAUAUGAUCAGGGGCACAAAUAUGCGGAGAGUGGUAUCAACUUAUUAUUUGUGCCAUUCUUUAGAUCUAUAAAUUCUAAUAUCUUUACUGAUUCUUUGAGAAGUAUCUGAUAUUUCAAACUUAAUUUGGUUCACAUUCUAUUUGAUUGUUCCUCCUCUCAUAUUUAAGUAAUUUUGUACACACUGUUAAAUUGAAUUGAUUGAAGAUUGGUUGAUGUUUUGGGUAAAUUACUGCUCUUUUUAGUGUAUUGUAACUGAAUUAGGGCUUGAAGUGUUAUUACACAUCGAUUUGAAAUGUAAUUCAAGAUUCAGCUACAAUACACUGAAAGGAAUAGUAAUUUCCCAAAAGCAUCAACUAGUCUUCAGUCAAUUUAAUUUCCUAUAGUUAUUCAAAGGUAAGCUUCGAUGAAAGAAACAAAUAAACGAAAAGUCACAAGUUUCAUAGACUUGUGGUCCCUUUAGCGCACCGGAAUACUCUUUUUAUUCCGGGAACAAGCCAAAUGUGUGUAGUAUCACAUUCGUCACGCAAGAAUUCUCCAAAUCUAAACUAGUUAUUCUUAUUAUUAUAUGAUGUUGACGUAAUGGCCAAUCAGGAAUAUAAGAUCGGCUAAUAAGCCUCCAUAUCCAAAAGAAAAACUUUUUCUUAUAACCGUGAUGUCCCGGUCAGCUUUCGCGCACCUCGACUAAAUCCUUGGGAUAUCUUCCUCCUUCCACCUCCCCACCACCACCAACAAAUAUUAGUUAACUCUGCCCACCAAGGCCUCUGUCUACCAUAGCUUUGACAGAUGGGAAGAAUCACCUAGUUUUUUUUCUCUCAACUAGGAUUUGGACCUGAGGGUUGAGACCUCAGGUUCUCAACUCACUUUAUUGACCACUAGGCCACAUACUAUUGGGUUCCAAAAGAAAACCUAUUUUACACAAUUCAAAGGCAUAUUUUCAAUACAAAAUACAAAAUCAAUGUCUAGUCACAUUUCGAACCCUAAUUCAGCCACAACAUACUAAAAACAGUAGUAAUUUCCCAAGAACAAUCAAUUCAAUUCAAUUUUCAGUUUAUACAAAAGUAUUUUUCGAUAAAUACAAAUCAAAUAAACGAAAAACUCACAAGUUCAUAGCGAUUUCCGUCAUACUCAAACGACUCAAAAACUUUUUCUCCUCUUCCUCUUCCAGUAACCCUAAUAACCUCACCAAUCGGCUUCACAUGAGCUUCCUCCUCUUCCGCAGCUUAUGUCGUUUUGUCAACCCGAUCCACCUCCACCUUUGCUUCCUCUAUCUUCUUCACCCUCUUUUCUCUCCCGCUCUCCUCCUUCGGCAUCGUUUUUGGUGGCCUUUUGUCUUCUUUUUCGUCGAGUUUCAUUUUCUAACGUUCUCGUUGAAUCGCUUUUUCUUCUCUGCCAUCGUUGCCGGAGGCGCGUGUUACACACGAUAUCGACAUUUUGUCCUCGUCGUUUCUUACGACAACCAUUGCGUGCCGCCGAUUUCCCUUUUUUGUUUGCUACAAGUGUAGAGUGAAAUGAGAGAACAAGGAAUCUACUGGAGGUUCUGCAAUUUGACAAAAAUGUUUCAAAAGACUAGGGCACAAUAUAUAUAACAAGAUAUUUUUAGGGGUUGUUUGGUAAGCCGGAUAGUAUAAGCAGGGAUAUAUAUGGUGAAAUCACUAUAUCACAAAUCAUGAUAAAAACAGAAGAAAACAAGGAAAAUAACAAAGAGAAAAUAAAACUAUACAACUAUCUUUGGUAAUAAAACAAUAGUUGUGCUAUUUUAAGUAACAAAAAAUGACCAAAUAAUUAGUUUACUUAAUUAUCCCAAAAUAAUACCAUAAUUAUGAUAUGAAAUCCCUAUAAAUACUAUCAAAAUAGUUAAUUUCGAUAUAAAUAAUUCAACUAUAUAACACACGUCAACAAGUGGAAUUCUACAAUUUUUGGAAUUCUCGUAUCUCUCUAUGCACUCAGUGGUGUCGUACUAGCUACUCUCUGUUUAUUCUGACAAAUACAACAAAAUAGUACAAUCCGAUUUACCAAACAACCCUUAAAAAUUUCUUGGUAUAUAUAUUGUGCCCUAGUCUUGUGAAACAUUUUUUCAAAUAGCCAAACCUCUAGUAGAUUCCUUGUUCUUUCAUUUCACUCUACACUUGUAGCAAACAAAAAAUGGGAAACCGACGGUACGUAGUGGUAGCCAUAAGCGAUGAUGAGUACGAAAUGCCGAUAUCGCGCAUAGCACGCGCUUCCAGCAACAGCGGCAACGAGAAAGCGAAUCAACGGACACGUAAGAAAAUGAAACUCGACGAAGAAGAAAAGGAAAGGUUGCCGAAGGAGGAGGAGAGAGGGAGAGGGAGAGGGAAGACGAAGGAAGCAAAGGCGGCGUUGGAUCGGGUUGAAAAAGCGACAAGGGCCGUGAAAGAGGAGGAAGAUCAUGCGAAGCCGAUUGGUGAGGUUAUCAGGGUUACAGGAAGAGGGAGGAAAACUUUUUAUGAGUCGUUUGCGUAUGCCGGAAAUUUCUAUGAACUUGUGAGUUUUUCGUUUAUUUGAUUUGUGUUUAGCGAAAAAUGAUUUUGUAUAAAUUGAAAAUUUAAUUGAUUGAUGUUUUUGGAAAUUACUGUUCUUUUUAGUGUACCGUAGCUUAAUUUGUGCUUGAAAGGUGAUCGGACAUCGGUUUGUAUUUUUAUUGGAAAUGUGAUGCGUUUGAAUUGUGAAAAAAAGUUUUCUUUUGGAACCCAAAGGUGUGUGGUAUAGUGGUCAAUAAAGUGGGUUGUGAACCUGAGGUUUCGGGUCCAAAUCCUAAUUGAGAGAAAAAAAACACUAGGUGAUUCUUUCCAUCUGUCAUAGCUUUGGCAGACAGGGGCCUUGGUGGACUGAGUUAUCUGAUAUCUGUUGCUGCUGGUGGGAGUUGGAAGGUAUCCCUGUGUGACCAAUGUGAUACUGAUUCUCCAAGUAUUUGGCUACUUAGCAGUAUAAAAAGUUAAAAUUUGAUUUUUUUUAUUUUUUUUGGAUUUAAUGAGUAUGUUUGAUACAAUUGUACUCAUCGUAUGGAGUUGGAGAAAUUAGAGGGUUGGUAAAAUCUGAUUGUUAUCUUUUCUCAUAGAAGUAUGAUUACAGUGCAAGAGGCUUGGAUUUUGGUAUGAGAGAAGGAGGGUAUUUUGUGACUCAAUAUCAACACCAGUGGUUUUCUUUCAUGGAAUUUUCAUUUGGUUGUUCGUUCUCCCUUGACUAGCAAUAAGCAAUGUUGUAAUUGCAUUGGCUUGUAAUUUUCCUAAGUGAUAUAGCUUCUGUUGACCUAUGGUGUCUCUCUUAUUACAAAUUUGUUUCUUAUAUAGGAAGAUCCUGUGCUCUUGGUUCCAGAAGCAAAAAAUCAAAAGCCUUAUGUGGCAGUUAUCAAGGUAAUUCCUUUUCCCUGGAAGAUGCAUAACUUUUUUGGUACUUGCACCCAAGGGUAUGGCAUGAAGUGGGUCUCAACCUUGGACAUCAGGGUUCAAUUCCAAUAGAUACAGAAAACAUUAGGUGAUUGCUUUCCACAUGCUUGUGCUUUGGUGGGCAGCACAUGUUGGCCUAACACCAUUGUUAACCAAAAAAAAAGAUUUGUGUUUCGGUAAUCAGAUAUGCACAAUCUUAGCUUAUUCGGAAGCUUAUGUAUUAGGUGGCUAUCCUUUCCACCAGGCUGCCUUUUUUCUUUUCUUUUUUCUUUUUUUGAAGGGGGGCCUCAGAGUAACUUUUGAAGUUGUUGCCAUGUGACCAAGGGGUCACGGGUUCAAACCAUGGAAACGGCCUCUUACAAAAAUGCAAGGCAAGGCUGCGUUCAGUAGACCUUUGUGGCCCAUCCCUUCCCUGGACUCGUGCAUAGCGGGAACUUUAGUGCACCAUGCUGCCCUUUUGCCCUUUCUACUGCAAAAUUAACCCAAUUCAACAUUAAAUCGUAGCGUAAGAAGGAAAGAUCAGACGAACAAUAACUAGUCUGGAAAAAGAUAAUAUGUUCCUUCACUUCCAUAUAUAGAAUCUGUCUUAGAGUUGGACGAAAAAAGGAGGUGUAGUUGCUGUAAGGUAAGUAUUUCCUUUGAUUGGUAGGAAGUAGAAGAGGAACUGAAGUGGAAGUGGAAGAGGAAGAUAUGCAACAAUGCCACAUUUGUGUUUCAUGUAUCCCCCACCUUCCAUCAAAUCUAUUGUAAAUUUAGACAUGGGGACAUGCAGGUAAUCUCUAUGUUUUAGGAAGAGUUUUUUUUUCCUUAGAUUAGCAGGUCGGUUAGGACUAGAGGGAAUACAACAUGUCAUAAGUCUCUGUUGAGACCUUUGUCUCAGAUAGUUCCAGUGUUAAGCAAUCUGAUUCUCGGAGAGUCAAAUACCCCCCUACCCCCCUCUUUUUUUGUUUCUUUCUGCAGCUUCCUGAACUGGUGUUCUAGCUUUGGCAUGAAAUUAUUGCUGAUGUGUUAUUCUCUGGCUGUUAAUUGUAGUGUGGGUGAUUGCUUUUAAUCUCUUUUUCGAACUCUUAAUUAGAUUUUCUCCUUAUAGGAUAUUACUCAGACCAAGGAUGGCAACAUGAUGGUCACAGGACAGUGGUUUUACCGACCUGAGGAAGCAAUAAAAAGAGGUGGUGGAAAUUGGCAAUCACGAGACGCGAGGGAAUUGUUCUAUAGUUUUCACCGGGAUGAGAUCCCGGCGAAGUCGGUCAUGCACAAGUGUGUGGUGCACUUUGUACCGUUAAACAAGCAGAUUCCAAGAAGGGAAGAGCAUCCUGGUUAUUUUGUUCAGAAGGUAUAUGACACUGAACAGAGGAGGCUUUUCAAGUUAACAGAUGAGGACUAUGAAGAUACCAAACAGCAUGAGACUGAUCUGCUUGUUCAGAAGACUAUAGCACGAGUUGGGCAUCUUCCUGACCUUGAAACUGAGGAUAAUUCUGCAGCUCCUGUUAGUCAGGAAGACCAAUUAAAGAGUAAACGACUUUUGAGGAAGAAGUGCAUGAUGUCUUUGGAUGUCACCAGAGACGAUGAAGCACCGUCUAGAUAUGGUCAGCCUAUAGCAGAAACUCCAGGCAGUUUUGCCAGUAAUGCAUCAGAAUACUUCAUCAUCCUUUCAAACUUCAAAGUCCUAACAGGUGAAACACAACGUGACAAAUGGCUGGAAAAAUUGCUGCAAUCAAUUCAGUAUUUCUGCAACCCUGUGAAUAAUGUACAAAAUGAUGGUAAAGAAAAAGGGGGCUCAGAUGCUGCUGAUCUUACUGGUAACACAGAUUCUGCAAAACACGUGAAUGAGUCUCUAGACAACAGUGCUGAUGUAAGAAUUCUUCUUUUCAAUUAUUUUGAUGAUUGACAGAAUUUUUGUACAGUUGCUGUUGUACGGGCGGAUUUUCCUUGAAAUGUUUCUUCUGUUGGAUUAUUUUCAGGGUGAUGUGUUCCGAUGGCCAGACAGUGUUGUCCCUGCUGUAGUUUCUCUAGAGAAAGCUGCACAUGAGGCCCUCUCAUCUGAUUUUCAGAAGUACAAUCAGAAGAUGAGGCAGUUAACAUUCAAUCUUAAGGUGAGUACCUUUUUUAAGGGGAUUGGGGGAUGAGCAUGGAGUUUAUUUAAUUUUCAUCUAAUUUUCUGAUGUAGGUAUGUAUUUACCUUCUAAUAUUCCAGUUUUUCUAUGUUGUAAAUUUAUUGCCAGAACACCUCACUCUUAGCACGCCGUCUUCUGAAAGGGGCGUUGGAUCCCUCUCAGAUACUGAACAUGUCCCCGAAUGAGCUAAAGGUAUGGGUCCUGGGAAUUAACUUUACUGAAUUUGAGGAUUGAUUUAAGUUUUAUCGACUUUGUAUGCAGAUAGUCUUAAAUGGUUGACCCCUAGUAGUUUGUAUGUAUAUAUUCUGUUGAUUUCUGAAUUGGUUAGCUCUUGCUUUGUUGAACUUAUCGAUUUGUUCCUCUUGAAUUCACCGGGUGCAACCUGAAUAGGUUUGUUUGGAGUUCAUGAAAUGUAAAUAUUGUUCAGCUGUGGAUAUAGUGAGGUGAUUUUGAAAACAAAAAUACGGUUUAGCAUUUUCCUAAGUAAUCACACAAUAAAGGAAAAUUUGAUUUGCCCUUCGAGACUUUUUUUGUGAAUUAAACAUUGUAUUUUCCUUCUCUGAUAUGUGAAAAAGGCAUCCCCCUCAAACCGGAUGAAGAAGAAGAAGGAGAUUUCCUACAAAUAAAAAAGUUAACUAAAAAAAAUCUCCUGAAUUUUUUUGGCCAAACAAAUGUACGGCCCCUUAAACUUGCCCAAAAAUUUCAUUUAGACAAGUAUUUGCCAUUUGAGGAGAUUAUCAGCAGUUAGUACAAAACCUUUAAUUUCUUAUUUCUGUUGUGGAAUCGGAAAAUUGGUGCCAGCAGAUUAUACCUUCCUUUGUUUGAUGUUAUCUUCCAUUUCUAUCUCAGGAAGCUUUAACAGCAGAAGAGUUAGCAUGCAGGGAGCCCGAGGAGCCAGAGCCCAUACAGGUUUAUAUUAUAACAUUAUUUUGUUCCUUAAGCAGGUUUUAGUUUAACUUACCGGGGCAAACUUUGGUUUGCUACUUUGGUGGCAGAGUUGGUCUUUUAUUUCUCAUUACUAGAUAUGUGUAUGGAUACACUAAAUGUGAUAGAAAUAGUUUCUUGUAACCAAGUAAAAAAUCCUCUCUUGCUGCGGAGCAUUUUUUUUUUUUCUAAGAUGGAGUUGAACGUAAGCAUGUAACUUCUCAAUGUACUGAGCCUCUAGAAUUCUGAAGAAUUAUAUGUUCAUCUUGAUAACUUGAAAGAGGGGUUUUGAAAUUUGGCCAUCAUGUUUUGGCAAAUAUUUGAUAUGAUGAUGUUAUCAGCAGGUGUUUUGAAUUUGACAUAUCUUAUUUGCUCAUUUCUAUUCAUGUUGUGUGACAGAUGACCAAUACUUGUUACAAAAACUUAACACAGGUUAAGUAUAUUGUUUCUUGUUGCUCAAUUCUGAUUGGUUUGUGGCGCAGAUGACUGAUGCUCGUUGUAAAAGAUGCGCAGAAAAAAAAGUGUGGCUCAUGGAGAUUAUUCAGGCUGGACAUGGAGAUCAUUACUCGGUUUGUCCUUGCAGCUUUUCUUUGGGGUUUGAGAUUGACUUGCUACAUAUAUACAUCAUGAUGUUUCUUUUUGGGUAUUUCUUGUACCCUCUUAUUAUUAUUGUUCAUUUUGCUUUUUGUGAGAAGGGGUGGGAAACUGAUUACUAUGAUAGCAAUUGCUUGUUGCAUCCAAAGCUUUUGUAGUUGAUUACAUCGUCUUUGUUACAUCUCUGAAUAGAGAGUUAAAUAUGUUGGUAAUGGUGAGGAGGAGAUUUGAACUUAAAAACUGUAUCAUGUUAUGUUUAGAUGAUGUGACAGUAAUUGAUCUCUUUUUGGGUUCUUUUCUGUUCUCGGGGUAAGGCUAAUCCACCACAUCAUUGUGAUUAUACUAAAUCACCAUGCAAGAUGUUGAAGGGAUUUAUCUUGCAUAGGGACCUUUUUGUGUGUUAUGUCUCUUAAAUAUAUGUAGUCACUUUUUGGAUCUUUACUUGUAUUUAAAGAGAAAAACAGAUUGAAUAUGGUGUAAACGCCAUUUGGAAUUUCCUCUUCCCCAAAUAUUUUGAUUUCUGCACUAACUGCUUCUUGUUUCUGUUUUUUCUUUUCCAUACCUCAGCUGGAGCGUAUUGCUUGCGGCAAUACUUGGUAUGCUUCUGGGAACAGAACCGUUGGCCAAUGCUAAGUUUGAAGAUGUCGAGAAGAACUUAGCAAGUCCACGAAGAGCUGAUAAAGGAGCUAGCGACAUUCUAAAGAAAACAACUGAAGCUUACAUGCCGGUUCUAGAUAGCCAGAAAUCAUUUAAUUAGACCAAGCCUGAAAACAGCGCUACUACUAGCAAUGCUGACUGAAGCGUCUGCUAGUUUCUCAGUCCAUUUUAGACACAACCAUCUCCGAUAAGUUAUAGAUAGUGCACAGAGAUACAGUUCUUUCUACUGUUUACUGGUUCUUGCUGGUAUAGAUAUACGUGGUAGUUGAAAAAAUCAUAGUCUGGCUAGAAACUCAAUAGUGAAGGGUGCGACCACCUGGUAUGAUGUCCGCCUUCUUAAUAUUAUAUACAAUCUGCAAAGUCUUAAAAGGUAGGCUGAAGUUGAUGGGUGUAAUGUUAUGUAUUUUUGGAUUAUUAUUUUGUUUCUCCUACUUAGAUGUGAGGUGAUUUAUGUUUUGAAGGGGAGCGUUGGAGUAACUGGUAAAGUUGUUGCUAUGUGAUCUGGAGGUCGCGGUUCAAGCCUUGGAAAGAGCCUCUGGCAGAAAUGCAAGGUAAGAUUGCGUAUAAUACAUCCUUGAGGUGGGCCCUUCUCCGGACCUUGCGCAUAGUGGUUUUUUUUUCAGUUAACGUGGAGUAAGGCUGCAUUUACGUGUCUUAAUGGUUUUGGUCUGUCCUUUUUAUUAAGAUUUUGUCAUGUAUAAAGACUUUUGCUGAUAUUAUGGUGUUAUAUGAACUAGGGUCGUUUGGUAUGGUGUAUAAGAAUGAUGAUGAACAGUGGCGGAGCCAAAAUUUUCAUCAAGGGGGUUCAAAAUCAAAAAAUAUAGACACACGAACUAACCGAAGGGGGUUCAACAUCAAUUAUAUAUACAUAAAAAAUAACUUUUACUAUGUAAAAAUUGUACAAUUUUCCGUCGAAGGUGACUCCGCCACUGAUGAUGAAUAGGGUGUAUUAGUAAUGCCAAUAUAAGUUAUCCCGGCAUUGCUUUUAUUAAUGAUUUUGGACAUGUAUACAGAUUUGUUGAUAUUGUGGUGUUAUAUGAACCGGGGUUGUUUUGCAGGAUGCAUAAGAAUAAUGUUUAAUAGUGCGUGCUAGAAUUUUAAAAAGUUGGGCAUAAUUCAUAAAUAAUAAUGAAAAUAAGAUGCAUAUGAAUGGCUUCGUUUCAAAAAAGACAUGAAUGGCUGAAAGCUUUCUCUGAAUAUAGAGGACUUGCAGCAACACAAGUUCUGUUGUGUAGUUAUCUUGUCGAAAUUGUAUUUAUCUAGUUGUAGCAGUGAAAUGUGUCGCAUAUGCUCCUUAUAGUGUUUCCUGGUUUUCUCUUGCCAGGCACCAUGAUUUCCACUGCACAUAAUUUAGUGGAGAUCCUCAAGUCAUGAUGAGUUAUUUUCAUGACAAGGUGAUACACAAUAACAAUUUUGUGAAUCAGCAGUAAUUUCAUCGUGCUAUUUGUAGUUCAUUUGUGAUCACAGCUUAAUUGUCAUCAAGAAUCCCAUCCAAUACUUGAGAAGAAUCUAGGAUAAGUAAUCCUGCAUACUCCCUCCAAUCAGAUCAUGAAUUGAUAAUUUGUGAUAAAGAGGCAUCUAUUUUAAUGGUUAACCAGGGUGGGACGUGCCUUUGUACGGUGAAGACAGUACCUCAGAACAGUUCAGAAUUUGCCUGGAAAAAGCAGAGUAUAUAAUCCAUCGUCAAGAAGUAGAUUACUCCUGAGCAUGUAACAUUUUUUUAACUUAUUCCUUCUGAUUUCCUAUUUUAAAUCAGUGUAUGGAUGAAGUUGCUUUGUGCUGCUUGAAUUUAUAAUUGUUUCGAGUUUUGACCUCUUUCUUGUUUAGUGAGUCAUUUUCGACCUUUCAUCUCUUUUUGUAGGCUUGCUACUAACUUUUAAUUAAUAUUUUGCAGGUAUGAAUCUAUCCUUCAGGCUACUACUGUACAACACGGAUUGAAAAAACAAAAGAAAAGCACGAAAGACCGCAAGACACCUGGUAUUAACCCGAAGAACUAUGUUGUAUAUGAGUGUCAUUUCUGCUCACAUCGGAAUGUAAAGAGAGGAGCCCCAAGAGGCUAUAUGAACGACCUAUAUCUUGCCAAGCCAAAAACUCCAAGAGUUGACCCUACUACAUCAGCAACCCGAAAGUCUGAACAGUUGGAUACAUGUAUCGAUAAGGCAAGAGUUGAUCCUACUGAAUCAGCAUUGCGAAAGCAUUGCGAAAGUUUGGAACAUUUGGAUACGGUAGUGACUAGUAUCAAUAACGCAAGAGUUGACACUACUCAAUCAGCAACCCAGAAGUUCGAUCAACAGUUUGAUGGUUCAGGGAGUAAUACCAAUAAAGACAAUAAGACAAAUGUAAUAGUUUCAUCUGAAAUAGUUUUAGAUGAUCCUUGGGCUAGUCCUACUACUACAAUAUAGAUAGUUGCAGUCACUUCUUUGUUGGACUCGAAAAAGAGGAAAAGAAAUAGAACAGGGUCCAAGAAGAAAGUUGAACCUCAGGAUGGUUUAUCCAUAACAGAUGCUGAGAAGACGUCGUGGAGUGAGCUAAAGAAGAAAUCUUGGACUAGUUUGAAGGAAAUUGCUGGAAGUCAAGAGUAGCAAUAGCAGGAAGUUCUCCAACAUAUCUGUUCUUUUUGUUCUUUAAUUGUGAGAAUUGUAUCGUUGGUUGCUGAGCACCCUUUAGUAUUGAUACAAUCAUAAUCUGCAAGUUGUAAGAGUACUUAUGUAUGCAAGGGUGACAAUGAGCUGCCUUCCCAUUUCUAGAUGGGCCAAAAAGAAAUAACAAAAAACAUUUUUUUAAGCUAGGUGUAUUUGACGUUAAGUUUACAUGUCCGUUUUGGGUAUGUNNNNNNNNNNNNNNNNNNNNNNNNNNNGGGAUAUUUUAGGUCUUUCUGAGGUUAUUCGAGAUAAGGUAGGAGCGGCUUUGGUGGAAGCCAAAAUGAGGGAAGUGAGAUUGAAAUGGUUCGGUCAUGUGGUGAGGAGCACGGAUGUCCCAGUGCGGAGGUGUGAGAGGUUGACUAGGGAUGGUUUCAAGUGAGGUAGAGGUAGACCAAAGAAUUAUUGAAGGGAGGUGAUUAGACUUGACAUGGAGAAGCUUUAGCUUACUGAAGACAUGACCCUGUAUAGGACAUUGUGAAGGAGACGGAUUAGGGUAGAAGGUUAGUUUGAGUUUAGAGUAUUGUAUCUUUUGGUGUGUUAUUUGGAGUAUCUUAUUUAUGGUAUUAUUGAGUAUUUUAAUUUUUAUUGUAUCCUGUUUAAUUUUUAUUGUAUCUUAUUCUUUUACUAUUCCUACUAUUAAUAUUCCUUAUCUUAGAUUGUUUUAUUUUGAGUUAGGGGUCUAUCGAAAACAGUCUCGCUAUCUCACAUUUGAGGUAGUGAUAUGGACUGCGUACACUUAUCUUUCUAGACCCCACUUGGCGGGAAUAUACUGGGUAUGUUGUUGUUGUUGCACUUCUUUGACAAAGUGAAUUAAGAGAAUACACAUGACAAUUGAUGAUGUUCUUUUGUUAAAUAUUUUUAUUUUUGCCCUUAUUCUUUUUGUUUAGAUCAUUCCCACUUGUGUAUUUGUAAUUGGUCUCUUCUUGUCUUUUAAUAGAUUGUCAUUUAAUUAAAAUUUUCUUCAUUUUAAAUAGAUAAUCACUUUUCCUCAAAAAAAUAUUCAAAAAUAACUUUUAACAUAAAAUUAAAUGAUAGUAAUAAUUUUCAACUACACCCUUCUUAAAAAAAAAAAAAAACAUAUAAUACAUAAGGUAAUUUAAUCAACAAUAAAUAAUAUAUUGUUUUUAUUAUUUUUCUUCAAGAAUAUGAAAAAAAAAAUCAAUAUUUAAAAUAGAAUGAAUAGAAUAUUUUUUAAGGGACGUGUAAAAGAUAAAUACAACAAGUAAAUAGAUCGAAUAAAACAAUCUGUUUUAUAAUUUAAUUAUUACUUAAUAUCUUUAUAGAUCACUAUUAAGUUAGUUUGUAUAAAUAUUUUGAAUUAAUGUUGUAACUAUUUUUAUAUAUACUUGAGUGAUUGAAAUAUUUUGUUGUGUUGGAUGAAAAUAGUGAAUUUCACAACUCUUGUCAAGUGAAAUUAUAGGUGAAAUAAUUCAAUAAAUAUUAAAAUAAAUUUAUUUCUAUUUUCAACUGAAAAAUUACAUAACCAUAAAUUCAUUAGAGUAUCAAUAUUUUUCUAGUUUUGAUCACCAUUGAAUUGUAGUGAUUAAAAUAUUAUCAUGUCAGUUUAUAAAAUAUUAAAUUGUUUGUGGCCUUUUGAUAUAUUUUAAUUUUCUGUUAAUACUUUCUUCCACGCUAAUUUUAAAAUUUUAUUUGAAAUUAUUCAAUUAUGUGAUUAAAAAUUUUAAUAAUUGUAAAACUUAUCAACAAAAUAUAUUUAAUAUGUCGGUCAUUUUAAGUAUAAAAUAAAAAAUAGAAUAUAAAUUAUAUUUUAAAAUUAAAAUUAUUAUUUUUUAUAUUUUGAGUCUACUUGUAUAUAUGAGAAUCUCAAUUUUUGAUAGAUCUUACAAGAGCAUUUUAGGUGUUUCACUUAUUUGACUAAGUGAAAUAAGAGAAUAUACAUGGCAAUUAAUGAUUUUCUUUGCUAAAUAUUUUUUUUUUUCUUAUUUUUUUGUUAAUACCAUUUCUACUUGUGUAUUUGUAAUUAGUCUCUUUUAGUCAUUUAAUAGAUUGACUUUUAAUUAAAAAAAUUCUAAUUUUAAAUUAAUAAUCACUUUUGCUCAAAAAAAAUAUAUUCAAAAGUAACUUUUCCGUCUUGGUGGGGUUACACCAUGGAUCAACGCCCAGUUCAUUUCUUUUUUCCUUGGUGAUGAAUGUUUUGACGCAACAAAUUCAAGGUGAGAUGUCUUACUAUUUACUUUUUUUUGCAGAUGAUGUGAUUUUGAUUGAUGAGAUGCGUAGUGGAGUUAAUGCUAAAUUGGAGGCUUGGAGGCAAAUGCUUGAGUCUAACGGUUUUAGGUUGAAUAGGUCCAACACGGAAUAUUUGAAAUGUAAGUUUAGCGAGGUGUCUCACGAGCCAGAUGUGGUUGUUAAGCUUAAUACUCAUUCUAUCAAUAAGAGAGAUAGUUUCAAGUACCUAAGGUCUACGAUUCAGGAGAAUGAGAGAUUAACAAAGAUGUCACUCAUCGGAUUGGGGUAGGGUGGAUGAAAUGGAGGCUCGCAUCCGAAAUUUUAUGUGACAAAAAAGUACCUCCUAAGCUUAAAGAUAAGUUCUACAGAGUGGUGGUUAGACCAACUUUAUUGUAUGGGGCGAAGUGUUGGUCUGUUAAAAAGGCUACAUCCAGAAGAUAAAGGUGAUGGAGAUGAGAAUGCUUCGGUGGAUGUGUGGGUAUACUAGGAAAGAUAGGAUUAGAAAUGAGGUUAUUUGAGAUAAAGUGGAAGUGGCUUCGGUGGAAGCCAAGAUGAGGAAAGUGGGGUUGAAAUGAUUCAGUUGUGUGAUAAGGAGGGGUACAGAUGCUCCAGUGCGGAGGUGUGAGAGGUUGGCUAGGGAUGGAUUCAAGCGAGGUAGAGUUAGACCGAAGAAAAUUGGAGGGAGGUGAUUAGAUAUGACAUGGAGCAACUCCAGUUUACCGAGGACAUGACUCUAGAUAGGAAGUUGUGGAAGAGGCGGAUUAGGGUAGAAAGUAAGAGUUUAGGGUGUCGUAUCUUUUGUUACAUUACUUAAUGUAUCUUGUAUAUGAUAUUAUUGAAUGUGUUGAUUCAUAUUGUAUCUUGUCCUUUUACUAUUCCUUGUAUAAAUUAUUUUAUUUUAAGCCGGGGGCUUAUCGAAAACAACCUCUCUAUCUCACAUCUGAGGUAGUGGUAUGAACUACGUACACUUACCCUUCUCAGACCUCACUUGAUGAAAAUAUACUGGAUAUGUUAUUGUUGUUAUUGUAACUUUUCACAUAAAAAUUAAAGUGAGUAGUAAUAAUUUUAACUAUAUCCUUGUAGUCAAUAUUGUCCACGUCUUAAAAGAACAUAUAAUACAUAAGGUAAUUUAAUUACUAAUAAAUAGUACAUUAUCUUUAUUAUUUUGCUCAGCGGACAUAAAAAAAAUCAAUAAUUAAAAAAGGAUUAAAAUAUUUUUUUAAGGGGCACGUAAAAAAUAAACACAACAAGUAAAUAGACUGAAUGGAGCACUAUAUUAAUACACUGAGUUUGUUAUUAUUGUAUCCGUAUAGAUCACUAUUAAAUUAGUUUGUGUAAAGAUACUAAAUUAAUGUUGUAACUAUUUUUAUAUAUACUUGGAAGUGAUUGAAAUAUUUUGUUGUAUUAGAUAAAAACAGUGAAUUUUGUAAAAACUCUUAUCACAUGAAAUUAUAGGUGAAAAUAAAAUAAUAAAUAUUAAAAUAUAUUUAUUUCAAUUUAUAGUAAGAAAUUACACACCCAUAAAUUCAUUAAAAUAUUAAUAUUUUUCUAUUUUCGAUCAUCAUUGAAUUAUAAUUGUUAAAAUAUUAUUAUGUUAUUUUAUAAAAUAUUAAAUUUCUCCACUAUUUUAGUUAGAUUUAGAUAUUGUAUGCGCGUGAAUACUACUAGUAUUUUUUAAAGAGAAAAACGGGCAAAAUUUGAAAAAAAAAACUCAUAUGUAACGCAAAAACAUGCAUUAAUUCGCGCCAUUUAAAAUUUUUUUUAACAUUUUUAUCCUAAAAUACAAAAGCAAAUAAGACACUCGGCUAACAUUUGAUCAUAGAUUUUAAAAGUUAUUUUUAAAUAGGUGUUCGACUUGGAUUUCGACUUCAAAAUUUGGUCAAUUAUUUUCAAAUAUGUGUUCGAUAUGACCAAAUUUUUCUCUUAUAGUGGGAAUAGUUUUAACACUUUUUUUUUUUCUUAUAAAUUGUGUCGACUGUCGAGUAUAUAUAUGCUGUCAGAAUCUCCGGCAGAUUUCAUUUUCUCAUUGCACACACACACUCUUUGCUGCUUAAUUGCCGCCAUUGCAAAAAUGGGAAACCGUCGGAACACGGUGGUUGCUAUCAGCGACGACGACGACGAUGUACCGAUUUCGCGUGUUACACGCGCCUCGCGUAACGGUGGCGGAGAAGAGAAAUUGAAUCAGCGGAAACGGAAGAAAAUGAAACUGGAGGAAGAGGAAGAAGAGGAAAGGGAAAAGGAAAAGCCGAAGGUGAAGGAGGAAGAGGAGAGAGGGAGAGGGAAGAGAGUGAAAAAGCCGAAGAAAGUUGAUGAAGAAGAGGUGGAGGUUGAAGAAGCGGAGGCAGUAGAGGAGGAGGAGGAGCAGGAGCAGUUGGAAGAUGCUAAGCCGAUUGGCGAGGUUGUCAAGGUUACUGGAAAAGGAAAAGGAAGGAGAAAUCAUUACGAGUCGUUUGAGCAUGAUGGAAAUAGCUAUGAACUUGUGAGUUUUUUUGUUAUUUGUUUAGUUUCAUCGAAAAAUGAUUUGAAUAACUAUUAGAAGUUAAAUUCAUUGCAGAUUGGUUGUUUUUGGGGAAUUAUUGGUUGUUGUAGUGUAUCGUAGUUGAAUUAUGAUUCGGAAUGUGAUUACAUAUAGUUUUGUAUUUUGUAUGAUCGAAAGUAUGAUGCUUUUGAAUUGUGGAAACCGUUGUGAAUCGUUUGAGUACGAUCGAAAUUGUUAUGAACUUGUGGAUUUUUUCGCUUAUUUGUUUCGUUUACAUCGAAAUUUUGCUUUUGAAUGACUAUAGGAAGUUAAAUUUAUUGUAGAUUGAUUGAUGUUUUUGAGAAAUUACUUUGACUUUAUGUGUGUUGUAGCUAUAUUAGGGAUUGAAAUGUGAUCACAUGAUAGGUUUGUAUUUUGUAUGAUGGGAAUCGUUACUAGUGAGUUUUUCAUUUAUUUGACUUGCUUAUCGAAAAAUGUUUUUGUAUAAACUAAAAAUUGAAUUGAUUGAAGAUUGGUUGAUGUUUUUGGUAAAUUACUGCUCUUUUUAGUGUACUGUAGCUGAAUUAGGGUUUGAAAUGUAAUUACACAUAGGUUUGAAAUAUAAUUCAGCUACAAUACACUGGAAAGAGCAGUAAUUUUCCAAAAGCAUCAACCAGUUUUCAAUCAAUUUAAUUUCCUAUAGUUAUUCAAAGGUAAUUUUCGAUAGAAGAAACAAAUAAACGAAAAGUCACAAGUUCAUAGACUUGUGGUCCCUUUAGCGCACCAAGAUGCGCCUUUUAUUUCGGGAACAAGCCAAAUAUGUGCAGUAUCACAUUCUUCACACAGGAAUUCUCCAAAUCUAAACUAGCUAUUCUUAUUAAUUUAUGAUGUUGACGUAAAGACGAAUCCAAGAAUAUAAGAUCUGCUAAUAUACCUCCAUAUCUAAAAGAAAAACUUUUACUUUUUUAAUUACCGUGGUGUCCAGGCCAGCUUUCGCUCACCUUGACUAAAUCCACGGGAUAUCUUCCACCUUCCACCUCCCACCACCACCAACAGAUAUCAGAUAACUCUGUCCACCAUGGCCUCUGUCUAUCAAAGCUAUGACGGAAUAAUCACCUAGUGUUUAUUUUUUCUCAACUGGGAUUUAGACAUGAGACCUCAGGUUCUCAACCCACUUUAUUGACCACUAGGGCACACACCAUUGGGUUCCAAAAUAAAACCUUUUUUACCCAAUUCAAAGACGUCAUAUUUUCAAUACAAAAUACAAACCAAUGUCUAAUCACAAUUCAAACCCUAAUUUAGCUACAACACACCAAAAACAGUAGUAAUUUCCCAGAAACAUCAAUCAAUUCAAUUCAAUUUUCAGUUUAUACAAAAAAUUUUCUCGAUAAACACAAAUCAAAUAAACGAAAAACUCACAAGUUCAUAGCAAUUUCCGUCAUACUCAAACGACUCAUAAAAAAUUUUCCUUCCUCUUCUAGUAACCCUAAUAACCUCACCAAUCGGCUUCACAUGAUCUUCCUCCUCUUCCUCCGCCUCCAUUGCUUCAUCAACCCGAUCCAAAUCCACCUUUGCUUCCUCCAUCUUCUUCACCCUCUUUCCUCCUCCUUUGGCUUCGUUUUCUGCAACCUUUCCUUUUCUUCUUCGUCGAGUUUCAUUUUCUUACGUUUGCAUUGAUUCUCUUUCUAUUCUCCGUCGCUGUUGCUGGAGGCGCGUGUUACGCGCGAUAUCGGCAUUUCAUCCUCGUCGUUGCUUACGGCUACCACUACGUGCUGCUGGUUUAUCAUUUUUUUUUUUGCUACAAGUGUAGAGUAAAAUGAGAGAACAAGGAAUCUACUUGAGGUUCUGCUAUUUGACAAAAUGUUUCAUAAGACUAGGAUACAAUAUGUAUACCAAGACAUUUUUAGGGGUUGUUUGGUAAACCGGAUUGUACUAUUUUGUUGUAUUUGUCAGAAGACGCAGAGAGUAGCUAGUACGGCGCCACUGAGUGCACAGAGCAAUACGAGAAUUUCACAAAUUGUAGAAUUCCACUUGCUGACGCGUGUUAUUUAGUUGAAUUAUUUAUUUCUAAUCUAACAAUUUUGAUGGCAUUUAUAGGGAUUUUGUAUCAUAAUUAUAGUAUUAUCUUGGGAUAAUUAAGUAAACUAAUUCUUCGGUCAUUUUUUGUUACUUAAAAUAGCACAACUAUUGUUUUAUUACCAAAUAUAGUUGUAUUGUUUUAUUUUCUCUUUGUUAUUUUCCUUGCUUUCCUCGGUUUUUUUCAUGAUUUGGGAUAUAGUGAUUUCACAAUAUAUAUCCCCGCUUAUACUAUCCGGUUUACCAAACAACCCUUAAAAAUAUCUUGGUAUAUAUAUUGUGCCCUAGUCUUGUAAAACAUUUUGUCAAAUAUCAGAACCUCCAAUAGAUUCCUUGUUUUGUCAUUUCACUCUACACUUGUAGCAAACAAAAAAUGGGAAACCGGCGGCACGCGGUGGUAGCCGUAAGCGACGACGAGGACGAAAUGCCGAUAUCGCGUGUGACACGCGGCUCCCGCAACGGCGGCGGAGAAGAGAAAGCGAUUCAACGGGAACAUAAGAAAAUGAAACUCGACGAAGAAGAGGAGGAAAGGCCCCCGAAAACAAAUCCGAAGGAGGAGGAGGGAGGGAGAGGAAAGUGAGUGAAGAAGAUGGAGGAAGCAUAGGUGGAGUUGGAUCGGGUUUAAGAAGCGACGGAGGCGGCGAAAGAGGAUGAAGAUCAUGCGAAGCCGAUUGGUGAGGUUAUUAGGGUUAUUGGAAGAGGAAGAGGGAGGAAAAGUUUUUAUGAGUCGUUUGAGUAUGACGAAAAUUGCUAUGAACUUGUGAGUUUUUCAUUUAUUUGAUUUGUGUUUGUUGAAAAAUGCUUUUGUAUGAAUUGAAUUGAUUGAUGUUUUUGAGAAAUUACUGCUCUUUUUAGUGUACUAUAGCUUAAUUUCGGUUUGAAAUGUGAUUAGACAUCGUUUGUAUUGAAAAUUUGAUGCCUUUGAAUUGUGAAAAAAAGUUUUCUUUUGGAACCCAAAGGUGUGUGGUCUAGUGGUCAAUAAAGUGGGUUGAAAACUUGGGAUAUCAGGUCCAAAUCCUAGUUGAGAGAAAAAAAUGCUAGGUGAUUCUUUCCAUCUGUCACAACUUUAGCAGAAAGGGGCCUUGGUGGACAGAGUUAUCUGUUAUUGCUGUUAUUGCUGGUGGGAAGUGGAAGGUACCCCUGCGUGACCAAUGUGAUACUGAAUCUCCACAUGUUUGAUUCAAAAAAGUCAAAAUUUGUUUUUUUUUUUUUUUUUUUUUAAUGAGUAUGUUUGAUAUAGUUGUACUUAUCGUAAGGAGUUGGAGAAAUGAGAGGGUUGGUUAAAUCUGAUUGGUAUCUUUUCUCAUAGAAGUAUGAUUACAGUGCAAGAGGCUUGGUUUGGUGGGCUUGGAUGUUGGUAUGAGAGAGGAAGGGAAUUUUGUGAAUCAAUAUCAACUCCAGUGGUUUUCUUUCAUGGAAUUUUCAUUUGGUUGUUCAUUCUCCCUUGAUUAGCAAUGUUGUAAUUGCGUUGGCUGUAAUUUUCCCAAGUGAUAUAGCUUAUGUUGAUCUAUGGUGUCUCUCUUAUUACUAAUUUAUUUCUUAUACAGGAGGAUCCUGUGCUAUUGAUUCCAGAAGAAAAAAAUCAGAAGCCUUAUGUGGCAAUUAUCAAGGUAAUUCCUUUUCCCCGGAAGAUGCAUCACUUUUUUGGUACUUGCACCCAAGGUAUGGCAUGAAGUGGGUCUAAACGUUGGACAUCAGGGUUCAAUUCCAAUAGAUACAGAAAACAUUAGGUGAUUGCUUUCCACAUGCUUGUGCUUUGGUGGGCAGCACAAGUUGGCCUAAAACCACUGUUAACCAAAAAAAAGAUUUGUUUUAGGUAGUUUUCCUUUCCACAGGGCUGCCUCUUUUAGGUAGCUUAUGUAUUAGGUAGUUUUCCUUUCCACAGGGCUGCCUCUUUUUCUUUUUUUUUUUUUAUUUGAAGGGGGCCUUGGAGUAACUGAUAAAGUUGUUGCCAUGUGACCAAGAGGUCAUGGGUUUAAACCGUGGAAACGGCCUCUAACAAAAAUGCAAGGCAAGGCUGCGUUCAGUAGACCUUUGUGGCCUGUCCCUUCCCUGGACCCCGUGCAUAGCGGGAGCUCUAGUGCACCGGGCUGCCCUCUUUCCUUUUCUACUGCUAAAUUAACUCAAUUCGACAUGGAUCUUAAUUGCAAGUUUGCCUUUUCUAUUGCACCACCAGAGAUUUUUUUUUUUUGGUGCUGCAUCUUAAAAUGUGAAUUAAACUUCCUCAGUUGGGAGUACAAAAGGGAAGGGGAGAAAACAGAAGCAAAACAUUAAAUCGUAGCCUAAGAAGGAAAGAGCAGAUGAACAAUAACUAGUCUGGAAAAAGAUAAUAUCUUCCUUCACUUCCAUAUAUAGAAUCUGUCUUAAAGUUGGGCGAAAAGAGGAGGUGUAGUUGCUGUAAGGUAAGUAUUUCCUUUGAUUGGUAGGAAGUAGAAGAGGAAGAUAUGCAACAAUGCCACGUUUGUGUUUCAUGUAUCCCCACCCUCCAUCAAAUCUAUUGUAAAUUUAGACAUUGGGACAUGCAGUUACUAUCUGUGUUUUAGGAUGAGUUUUUUUUCCUUAGAUUAGCAGGUUGUUUAGGACUAGAGGGAAUACAACAUGUCAUAAGUAUCUGUUGAGUUCUUUCUCUCAGAAAGUUCCAAUGUUAAGCAAUCUCUUUCUGGGAGAGUCGACUACCACCCCCACCCCACCCCACCCCACCCCUUUUUUUUUUUUUUUCCUUCUGCAGCUUCCUGAACUGGUGUUCUAGCUUUGGCAUGAAAAUAUUGGUGAUGCAUGAUUCUCUGGCUGUCACUUUUAGUGUGGGUAAUUGCUUUUAAUCUCUUUUUGGGACUCUCAAUUAGAUUUUCUCCUUAUAGGAUAUUACUCAGACCAAGGAUGGCAACAUGAUGGUCACAGGACAGUGGUUUUACCGACCUGAGGAAGCAGUAAAAAGAGCUGGUGGAAAUUGGCAAUCACGAGACACGAGGGAAUUGUUCUAUAGUUUUCACCGAGAUGAGGUCCCGGCGGAGUCGGUCAUGCACAAGUGUGUGGUGCACUUUGUCCCGUUGAACAAGCAGAUUCCAAAAAGGAAAGAGCAUCCUGGUUUUUUUGUUCAGAAGGUAUAUGAUACUGAACAGAUGAGGCUUUUCAAGUUAACAGAUAAGGACUAUGAAGAUACCAAACAGCAUGAGAUUGAUCUGCUUGUUCAGAAGACUAUAGCACGAGUUGGGCAUCUUCCUGACCUUGAAACUGAGGAUAAUUCUGUAGCUCCUGUUAGUCAGGAAGACCAAUUGAAAAGUAAACGACUUUUGAGGAAGAAGAGCAUGAUGUCUUUGGAUGUCACCAGAGACGAUGAAGCACCAUCUAGAUCUGGUCAGCCUACAGCAGAAACUCCAGGCAGUUGUGCCAAUAAUGCUUCAGAAUACUUCAUCAUCCUUUCAAACUUCAAAGUCCUAACAGGUGAAACACAGCGUGACAAAUGGCUGGAAAAACUGCUGCAAUCAAUUCAGUAUUUCUGCAGCCCCGUGGAUAAUGCACAAUAUGAUGGUAAAGAAAAAGGGGGCUCAGAUCCUGCUGAUCCUACUGGUAACACAGAUUCUGCAAAACAUGUGAAUGAGUCUCUAGACAACAGUGCUGACGUAAGAAUUAUUCUUUUCAUUGAUUUUGAUGAUUUACAGAAUUUAUGUAUAGUUGUCUAGUUGCUAUUAUACGGUCGGAUUUUCCUUGAAAUGUUUCUUCUGUUGGAUUAUUUUCAGGGUGAUGUGUUCCGAUGGCCAGACAGUGUUGUCCCUGCUGUGGUCUCUCUAGAGAAAGCUGCACACGAGGUCCUCUCAUCUGAUUUUCAGAAGUACAAUCAGAAGAUGAGGCAGUUAACAUUCAAUCUUAAGGUGAGUACCUUUUGUAAGGGGAUGGGGGAAUGAGCAUGGAGUUUAUUUAAUUUUCUUCUAAUUUCUAUGUAGGUAUGUAUUUACCUUCUAAUUUCCAGUUUUUCUAUCUUGUAAAUUUAUUUCCAGAACACCUCACUCUUAGCACGCCGUCUUCUGAAAGGGGAGUUGGAUCCCUCUCAGAUACUGAACAUGUCCCCAAAUGAGCUAAAGGUAUGGGUCCAAAGAAUUAAUUUUUUACCGAAUUUGAGGAUUGAUUUACGUUUUAUCGACUUUGUAUGCAGAUAGUCUUAAAUGUUUGACAUAGUAGUUUUUAUGCAUAUGUUCUGUUGAUUUCUGAAUGGGUUAGCUCUUGCUUUGUUGAACUUAUUGGCUUGUUCUUCUUGAAUUCACUGGGUGCAACCUCAAUAGGUUUGUUUGGAGUUCAUGAAAUGUAAAUAUUGUUCAGCUGUGGGUAUAAUGAAGCUGAUUUUGAAUGCAAAAGUACAAUUGAGCAUUUUCCUAAGUAAACACACAAUAAAGGAAAAUAUGAUUUGCCCUUCGAGAUUUUUUGGGUGAAUUGAACAUUGUCUUUUCCUUCUCUGAUAUGUGAAAAAGGCACCCCUCUCCAACCUGCCUACACACGAAAAAAAAGAUGAAGAAGAAGCAGGAGAUUUCCUACAAAUGAAGAAGUUGAUAAUCACCUGUACACAUAGGAAUUUAAUGUGCUCCAAAAAUAACCAAAAAAGGGUGGUGCUUGAAAUGUGGAAGAAGGUGACCUCAUUUCCUUCUGUACAAGAAAAAAAACUAAUUUAGGUUAGGCAGAAGACUGCACAAACGUGCCUUGCAGUUUGAUUUUGGUUCAUAAUUUAAGCAUAUAAUAUUUUCUUCUGCUUAGUUGAUCUUUGAAACAUUUGAAUUGUACUUGCUUCAAUAAUAUUUGCUCUUGUUCCUCACUCAAUUGCUCUGAUUUCUCUUUAGUGUAUAUUACCAUUAGAUCUACUGCCAGGCAGUAAUUUGUCUUACUAAGCCUCUGUUUGUUCCAGCCUUGUAAGAACUCAAUCAUGGAAUUAGGCAUGGUCCAACUUAUGUCUCGAAUUACAAAAAACAUGUACCACAGCUGGCUAGUGACCCUGGAUGCCAUUUUAUUUCGUGAUGCUUUGAUGGAAUUUGUCAGUAUAUGACGCGAAUUUGUGAAUUGUUUUACUAGAAGGCGUAUGUUAAUUUCCAGGAUUGAGCAAUUUUUUAGUGGACAUUCUUUACAACCUAAAGAAAUUGUAGGCUGGUCUGAUCGUCUCAUAUUAUGUUAGAUACUAUUUUAGUUUGAUUUAGUUCAUUUAUUAAUUGUUCGCUGUGUGCUAAAUAUCAUAUUUGUGACUAAACAAUAUAGCCAUUCUUUUUUGAUCAAGAAAGUCAUAAUGUUUUAAAAUUAUAUAACCACUCUUAAUAUGAAGCUUUUGGUUUCGUAAUUUGCUAUCGUGUUUUCAUUAGAACGAGAAUUAUUUUAUGCCAUGGUGGAUUGUGGAAGUGGACAUAGAGAAAAAUCGUCCUUGGAUUUGUCUAUUAAAUUGACUUCGACCUAAAAACAAUUCUGUAAUACUGUAAAAUAUAACUACGGAUAAGUAUUUUAAAGUAAUAUGUCUAGAUGUAUUUAUAUACAAAGAAAUUCCAGAGUUAUGUGUGUAACUUCACUCCAAGUAUAUACAUUGAGUACUUCUUUUGGGUUACUAUAUGUGAUGUUAUUAAAAAAUAUUUGUGUUGGUAACAAUAGGCGAUUAUUUUAUGCUUUGUAUAUACUAAUAGUGUUUCCAUAGAUAAAAUAGUCGUAUGUUGACUGUAUCUUAAGGAUCAGUAGCCUCUCACUGGAAGACGGGGAUGAUGGAGAAGAUGAGUGUUUGAGAAGAAUGAUGACUUCUGCAUGAAGGUGUUUUAGGAUUAUGUUAGUGUCAAGCAAAGAUCCUGCCCUAAGAAAGGGUAGUGUCAAGAAUUUUGUCAAUGAUGCUGAAGCGAGAGAACUCUUAGAAUCCUUAAAACAAUAGGAAGGAAUAUAUUUUGUUUUGAUAUAUAAAGUCUUUUCACAGCACCUCCGUGGUGCUAUUCUAAACUAAUAAGCUUAUCACUUCUGAACAAAAUUAAAAAACUAUAGAAGAAAGAAGAGCCGUCAAGACCAGGUCAGAUGCCUCCUUAUUUGAGAAGGAAGAGUUUUGAGGUUUCUUCCCAACCUAGGUUAGGGAUUGUUAGAGAUGGUAGCUUGCUGCUGAAACAUUAGUGCGAUUUGAUCUUUGGAUAGAUGUUGCCGACUCAAAAAUUAAAGAGCUAUAAUGGGGAAAAGAAAGAUGCACAAACAAGGGGAAACUGGAAGAGGAGUAUGAAUUUGAGGAUGAGUAUGUAACACUUUAGUGGAAAAAGGGUAUAUCUUAAUUGAAAUGUGCAGAAGUGUAUGGAAUUGUAUACACAUCUAUAUGAUCAGGGGAACAAAUAUGAAGUGAGUGGUAUUAACUUAUUAUUUGAGCCAUCCUUUAGAUCUAUAAAGUCUAGUAUCUUUAGAUCUAUGAAUUCUAGUAUCUUUACUGAUGCUUUGAGAAGUAUCUGAUAUUUCAAACUUAAUUUAGUUCACACUCUACUUGAUUGUUCCUCCUCUCAUAUUUAAGUAAUUUAGUACACACUAUUAAACAUUGCCCUUAUCUUUUUCCAUUUUUCAUCUGAUCCGGUUUUCUACCUUUUCCUAGUUCCUCCUUUCAUAAUCUUAUACACAAUUAUCAUUAUACAAGAGAGCUACUAGGGAACCCUAAGAAAAAAGAAAAUAACAAAAAGAUAUAAGAGCUAUAGGGAAGGAAAUAAAAAAUGAGACCCUGCUUUUAUGGUGGAGAUAACAUUAUAGCACUAUAUAAGUGCACAUAGAAAUUGAAUGAGUCAUUUUCUGUACAUUGUAUAAAUAUGUGUUUUGUAUGUUCUUUCCUUUUGGUGGAUGGUUCAUUUAGAUUUUUGUUGUUUCUUUAACCGAAUGCCAAAAUUAUCGUACCGAAAUUUCAAACAUCAUACCAUACCAUACCAUGCCCACCUCUAUUUUAAAUCCAAUUUAGAGAGUAAAUUUUGUUCAUACUCAUUUAGCUUCAUGUUUAUCACACGAAAGCUAAUUUUCUGUUCUUUAUUAAAACUUAGAAGUCAUUUUUAAAAUUUUUGUGCCAUUUGUAUUUUUACCAAGUUGACUAAAAAAAAAUCUACUGAAUUUUUGUGGCCUAACAAAUAUACGGCCCCUUAAACUUGCCCCAAAAUUGUUUAGACAAGUAUUUGCCAUUUGAGGAGAUUAUCAGUUGUUAGUAGAAAACCUUUAAUUUCUUAUUUCUGUUGUGGAAUUGGAAAAUUGGUGCCAGCAGAUUAUGCUUUCCUUUGUUUGAUGUUAUCUUCCAUUUCUAUCUCAGGAAGCUCUAACAGCAGAAGAGUUAGCAAGCAGGGAGCCCGAGGAGCCAGAGCCCAUACAGGUUUAUACUAUAACAUUAUUUUGUUCCUUAAGCAGGUUUUAGUUUAAUUAACCAGGGCAAACUUUAGUUUACUACUUUGGUGGCAGAGUUGGUCUUUUAUUUCUCAUUAUUAGAUAUGUGUAUAGAUGCNNNNNNNNNNNNNNNNNNNNNNNNNNNNNNNNNNNNNNNNNNNNNNNNNNNNNNNNNNNNNNNNNNNNNNNNNNNNNNNNNNNNNNNNNNNNNNNNNNNNNNNNNNNNNNNNNNNNNNNNNNNNNNNNNNNNNNNNNNNNNNNNNNNNNNNNNNNNNNNNNNNNNNNNNNNNNNNNNNNNNNNNNNNNNNNNNNNNNNNNNNNNNNNNNNNNNNNNNNNNNNNNNNNNNNNNNNNNNNNNNNNNNNNNNNNNNNNNNNNNNNNNNNNNNNNNNNNNNNNNNNNNNNNNNNNNNNNNNNNNNNNNNNNNNNNNNNNNNNNNNNNNNNNNNNNNNNNNNNNNNNNNNNNNNNNNNNNNNNNNNNNNNNNNNNNNNNNNNNNNNNNNNNNNNNNNNNNNNNNNNNNNNNNNNNNNNNNNNNNNNNNNNNNNNNNNNNNNNNNNNNNNNNNNNNNNNNNNNNNNNNNNNNNNNNNNNNNNNNNNNNNNNNNNNNNNNNNNNNNNNNNNNNNNNNNNNNNNNNNNNNNNNNNNNNNNNNNNNNNNNNNNNNNNNNNNNNNNNNNNNNNNNNNNNNNNNNNNNNNNNNNNNNNNNNNNNNNNNNNNNNNNNNNNNNNNNNNNNNNNNNNNNNNNNNNNNNNNNNNNNNNNNNNNNNNNNNNNNNNNNNNNNNNNNNNNNNNNNNNNNNNNNNNNNNNNNNNNNNNNNNNNNNNNNNNNNNNNNNNNNNNNNNNNNNNNNNNNNNNNNNNNNNNNNNNNNNNNNNNNNNNNNNNNNNNNNNNNNNNNNNNNNNNNNNNNNNNNNNNNNNNNNNNNNNNNNNNNNNNNNNNNNNNNNNNNNNNNNNNNNNNNNNNNNNNNNNNNNNNNNNNNNNNNNNNNNNNNNNNNNNNNNNNNNNNNNNNNNNNNNNNNNNNNNNNNNNNNNNNNNNNNNNNNNNNNNNNNNNNNNNNNNNNNNNNNNNNNNNNNNNNNNNNNNNNNNNNNNNNNNNNNNNNNNNNNNNNNNNNNCAUCACACUAAAUAAUGAUUAGACCUUAGGAACCAUUCCAAGCCCAACCAUUAUUUAAUAUUCUAAUCCCAAAACAUUAAAUGUACGCAAAACAUCGAAACCGUAGACAUGAAAUGAAAUCAUUGAGAGAACCCACUCGAGAUAAUAAUAAGAAUUGCACCUUUUACAAUUAUGCAUGGCAAUGAUUUUUUUUUUUUAUUUAUUUAAUGUGUAGUCCAGAAUCCAUUUCAUGUUAUCUGUAGAAAACUCAAACAAUCUAUUUUCUUUUUUAUAUAGAAAAACACAAACUGAAAAUCACGUGGGAUCAACUUGUUAAACAUUCUAACUUACAACAAAAUAAAAUUNNNNNNNNNNNNNNNNNNNNNNNNNNNNNNNNNNNNNNNNNNNNNNNNNNNNNNNNNNNNNNNNNNNNNNNNNNNNNNNNNNNNNNNNNNNNNNNNNNNNNNNNNNNNNNNNNNNNNNNNNNNNNNNNNNNNNNNNNNNNNNNNNNNNNNNNNNNNNNNNNNNNNNNNNNNNNNNNNNNNNNNNNNNNNNNNNNNNNNNNNNNNNNNNNNNNNNNNNNNNNNNNNNNNNNNNNNNNNNNNNNNNNNNNNNNNNNNNNNNNNNNNNNNNNNNNNNNNNNNNNNNNNNNNNNNNNNNNNNNNNNNNNNNNNNNNNNNNNNNNNNNNNNNNNNNNNNNNNNNNNNCCAAAUUCAAACAAUUAAAUUUUUUAUUCGACUAAAAUGAUCACGUUUCCAGAGAAACAAAAAACUAAAUUAAACUAUUGAUGUUGAAACUAAUAAAGGGUUGACCCAUUAUUUUUUUUUUUGACUAAGUAAACUAUUAUAUAAUUAUUAGCUAUAGAAACUUAAGCAUUUAAUCUUUACAAAACUAAUGACAAAGCAGUAAAUAUAAUUAAUAAAAUUUUUACUGUAACAUAGCCAAAAAUAUAUACUAUAUUUGAAAGUAAGCUAUUACUGUUGCUAACAAACGGGUUAAUUGAAUUCGUAGUUAUCAAGGUAUUCAUUAAUUGAUAUUCAUCGUUAUAAAGGCAGCAUCCGUACACAAAUUAGCACCAAAUAAUAACAACUAUGUUUUCCUUGAAGUGAUCAAGAGUGACUUAAGCAUACAACUUAUAUCAAGAAUGAAUAGUGACAUAAUAAAUCAAAUCACAUAAACUAAACGACACACGAAACUAACUAAACAACUUUAUUCGUGAUUUGAUUCACAAUAAAACUUGUAAAAUAAAUAGUAUGAGAUCAAAUAAAACCUGUAUGACGAAGUAAAUCACAAAAGAAGCUUUUAUGUCGAACCAAAAACUCAAACAGAGAUCCUAAACUCCAAACCCUAAUUUCCUUUCCUCUUCUCCUUUGAUUUUUCUUUGUUUUUUUUUUUCAAUCUCUUUUUUUCCUCUUCCGUUUUUUUUUGUUUGUGCCUUUUGUUUUUCUUGUUCUCUUUCUUUGUUUCUUUCUUUGUUUCUUUUCUGUUUUUUCCAUGUGUGUGUUAUUAAUAUAUGUUCAUGUGUUUGUGUCGUGUGUGGGUGUGUUUGUGUCGUGUGUGUGUUAUGGGAAAAAUGGGGGAGAGGUUUGUGAGAGUGGAACUUGUGGGUGGUUUGGGUAGUUUAGGAUUCUUUUUUUGUUUUUUAAUUUUAAUUUUAAUUUUAAAAUAAAAUCUAUUUUAAAACUAACAAAAUACAGGAUAAGUUAACUAGCUAGUCUUAGGAAUAUGGUUAAGAAAUAUUAAUAUCACAACAUUCUUUAUUAAAAAUUGAAAGAAAAGACAAACAUAAUUUAGAAAUUUUUUUUUUUAAAAAUAAAUAAAUAAACAAAUAAAAACUAAAAAAUGAAAGUAAAAACUUAUUUAAAAUGUGACUCUAUUUUUGUAGUUUUUUUUUCUCAAAAUUUUUAAAAUAAAUUUAGUGAAAAUAAGAUAAAUUUAAAAUAUCUAAUUUAGACCCUAAAACGAAAUUGAACACUAAAAUGGUAAAAACACUUAGAUUUGAUAAAAAAAUUAGGUGUUUACAACAACUACUACUAUGCAUGGUUAGUAUAGUCCCUACAACAAUCGGGACAACUCACAACUCUCUUGAUCACUCUAAUAUACAGUACUCGUGGUGAUAUAUGUGAUCACACGGUAACACUCUCACAUACUCAUUCUCUUCGAUGUGACAUUCUUCUGCAUGGCUAGGGUUUCCUUCACGUAGCAGGAGGAGGGACUACAAGGAUCAUGAUAAAAUCACAAUGCAGGCUAACACCAUGAAUAUUAUAUUAUGAAAGGUUGUUUGAGAUCCAACUUGUCAAAAGAUCCAUCCGUGAAGACAGGCUGAAUCAGUCCGAAUACUGCAAAAAAAAAAAUUAUAGGCAAAAAAAUCAGUAUAAAGAUAUAUGAUUAGCUCAUUAGUUAUGCACGUAUGACACAAGAUGCACGUUAUGCAUGGGCUAAGAUCAAUCCUUUAACUCGGAUAGAGGCAGAAAUAAAAGGGCUCAAAUUGGACUUGGCAAAUAUUCCACAUGUGGGUUUGACAAAUAGCCCAUUUCAUUACUAAUAUGGCCAAAAUUAUGGGAAAUUUUUUAAUUCAAAUAAAAAAUAAUUAAACCGGCUUUGUUGUAUGGGGCGGAGUAUUGGCCUUUUAAGAAGACCCACAUCCAGAGAUGAAGGUGGCGGAGAUAAGAAUGCUUCGGUGGAUGUGGGGGUGUACUAGAAAAGAUAGGAUUAGAAAUGAAGUUAUUCGAGAUAAGGUGGGAGUGGUUUCGGUGGAAGCCAAGAUGAGGGAAGCGAGGUUGAGAUGGUUCGGUCAUGUGAUGCGGAGGAACGCGGAAGUGUGAGAGGUUGGCUAGAGAUGGUUUCAAGCAAGGUAGAGGUAGAUCGAAGAAAUAUUAGAGGAAGGUGAUUAGACAUGACAUGGAGCAACUUCAUCUUACCGAGGACAUGACCCUGGAUAGGAAGUUGUGGAGGAGACGAAUUAGAGUAGAAGGUUAGUCUGAGUUAGGAUGUUAUAUGUUUUGGUGUAUACUUGAAGUAUCUUGCUUUGAGUAUUAUUGAAUAUGUUAAUUUCUACUGUAUCUUGUUUUAUUACUAUUCCUUAUCUUAUCUUAGAUUGCUUUUUGAGCCGGGGGUCUAUUGGAAACAACCUCUCUAUCUCACAUUUGGGGUAGUGGUAUGGACUGCGUACACUUACCCUCCCCAGACCCCACUUGGUAGAAAUAUACUGGGUAUAUUGUUGUUGUUGUUGCUUGAAUUCCAUUAUAUGUACUACAUAUGCGUUGAUUUCACGAUUAUACAAAUCAUGUUAAGAGAAAUUAUAAGAGAAAAAUAUUGUGUGUGAACAAGUAAUUGAUUCGAAUUUUGACGAAGAAAUUCCAUCACACAAAUAAAAAAAAUUCAAGAGUGGAAUAGAUAAAUAGUAUAGUAUAGUAUAGUAUUUAUUGACAUCAAUUAUUAUUUUGGUAUUAAAGUUGAUAUCAAGUGCCUGAAAUUGUUGAAUUGUUGAAUUUAUGCUAUGUUAUAUGAAUUGUAUUGCAUUUUUAUUAGAUGUGUUUUUUUAUUUUGAAAAUUGGUACAAGAAAUCGUGUUGACUGACGCCACCAGAACCACCGGACCCAAUGGCUAUCGAAACCCCUACCACCAAUACUCGAAUUCCCCCAAAGGAGAGAUUCAAAGACAAAUUAAUGAGCAGAAACAACAACCUCAACAAGAGCUACAAUUACACCAGCAAUAANNNNNNNNNNNNNNNNNNNNNNNNNNNNNNNNNNNUAGUAAUCUGAAGAGGAAAAGCUUAUCAUCUACCGCCCUUGGCAACAUUCCGUCAUUGUAAAGCUAGUGAACAAGAAUUUAACACACAACUACCUGAGAAUCAAACUAACUGAGCUUUGGAAAUUGACAGAACCGCUAAUGUUGAUUGACCUAGGAUGCGACUUUUAUGUGGUAAAAUUUAACAAACCAAAAAAUGCAAGGAAAACCCUAAAGGGUGGGGGGGGGGGCGUGGCUCAUCAUCGGAAAUUUUUUGUCGGUGCGUCAAUGGAAAUCGAAUUUUGUACCGGAGGAAGUAACUCAAACCCACACAACCAUUUGGUUGCGACUACCACAAUUGCCGACUGAGUUCUAUGACCAACGAGUUUUGGAAAUGAUUGGAUCGACACUCGGAACACUUUUGAAGAUUGACUCAUGUACUUCUUUGACUCUUCGAGGAAGAUACGCCAGAAUAUGCAUUCAAGUAUCCCUAGGAGUCCCCCUCAAGAAACAGGUAAUCAUCUAUAAUCAUACUCAGUGAGUCAUCUAUGAAGGGGAGGGUCUUCUAUGCAUCGCUUGUGGAAAGUUAGUGUCACACCCCCUUUUUUUUCAACUCCAAAAUAGAUUUUAGGUUCGAAAGGGUUUUUUAUUAUUAAAGUGACAAAAUGAAGAAUUUGUUCCGAAAAAAGAUUAUUUUUAUAUUCAAAACUCAGAGUCGCCACUUGACAUAAUCCGGUGUGCCAAGUCACCUUUGGAAAUCCUUUUCAAAACAAUUUUGACUCUAAAAGUGAUCCGCAAACAGAGAUUCCGACUAAGGAAUUCUGUUGACUGAGGGGAAGGUGUUAGGCACCCAUCAGUUCCGUGGUUUGACCACGGUCACUUGGUGGAGCGUAUCGGCUAGUUUUGACAUUAAGAAUGUAUAAAUCACAUAAACACACAACAAUCAAACAAACAAAACACAAACCAAAUAAAAUUUAGAAAUAAAAAAUAAAAUAAUGUCAGUCCGAUUUAUACAGUCCCAAAAUAGAAAAAUACGAAAAAUGUAAAUCCUAUUCUAAACUAAUCCUAGGCUAUACUUUACCCGACACCUCGGGCCUUUAUCUUGAUCAUCCUCCGCCAACAUGAUAUGUCGGGGCAUUCCGCGGUGAAUAAACACAAAUGUCUCGGAGCAUUCCCCGGCCAAAUAAUACAUUUGAUCCAAAAGCAAUAAAACCAAGCCAUUCAGCAUAUGUCAAGCAUUCAAUAUUUCACAAUUCUUACAUUUGCCUACCCCCUAUUGUUUGCCUAACAAUUAUCGACCUAAAACAUGCGACUAUCAAAUAUAAAAAAAGUCAAUGCUUAUUCCGAAUCAAGCAACUAUCAAUGAAUUAACAUAAAACUAUAUUCACUUUUAACAAUUUUUGAUCUUUUCUCCAAAAUCCAACUUAACCCCAAAUCAACUACGUGAUUAACAUACUUCACACCAAGAUUAACAAUCAAAUAACGAGUAAAAUCACCUCAACCAAAUUCAACCAAAAUCACAUCAUUCAAAAAUAUUUACGAAAAGAGAGAUAAGAGAUAUAGAAUUGGACCACAAAUUGAGCUUUAUUGAUUAAUUGACCUUUCCAAAUAGAACCGCGUCCAACGGAGACUCAACGUCGAAUCUCGACCUCGAACUCCAAGUCAGAUUUCACUGUCGAAUUGAAACUUCAUUAAGAAAAGCCAACGACUCGAAUCAACACCCAAAAACCAACCCAAACAUAAACUCACAAAGACCCACACCUAAUUCCAUAUCGACGAAUCCGUUUCAGCUAUUUUUCGUUGGAUUUUGGACUGUUCACUCCCAUUUUUCAAAUUUUGCUCUACCUCUACCUCCCUCUCGAUCUCAGUGUGUUUAUUAAGUAACAAGAAAAUGGAGAACUUUUAAUUUUCUCUUGGCGAGGAAGAAACAAAAAUGGAGGGCCCCCUUUUUGUCCCUUCUCUCUCUAUUUUUACCUCUUUUUCAAUGGAGAAGCAGAAUGCUUUUUCUCUCAGUUGGAUCCAAAAUUGAAAAUGAGAAAAAAAAAUAGCUUGUCCCUUUUUCAGUCCAUUUUUGACCUUCCUUUUUUCGAUUCUCCCUUUUCUCUCUCGAUUUUUUGCGUGUAACAGUGUAUAAAUAUGUGAGAGAGAUAUGUGUGUAUGCGAACCAAGAGAAAAGAAGACAAAAUGGUCUUUUUCUUUUUUCUCUGUGUGCUCCCCCCGAUGAUGAAGAUGAUCCCCUCCUUUUUCUUUUAUCUCUUUGUCAAUUGAUAAAAUAAAUUCCCUAAAGAAAAUUUUCAAGUAGGGCCCUUCUAUUUUUAGCGAUGUGUUGUGCUAUUGUCUUUAUCCAAAAAUGAAAAGGAAAAUGUGAUAAAAAGGGGUGGGGAGUACACGUGUAUUGUUUUGAUGGAUAGAGGUUAUUGAUUUGUUAUUAAAGAAUCUUGAGGAUUAGGUUGGUUAAGAAUUUGUUAUUUUUUGUCAUUUUAUGGAGGGAUGAUUACAUGGUUGAGGGUACAUGAUAAGACGAGAUAAAAAUGGUAAAAAUGCUUUCAAGGAUAGACAAAAUUAGGUGUCUACAUCAUGCCCCCUUUGAAUGUAAACACGAAGUGUUUUCAGAAAAAGAAGUAGACAACGAGACAAAAUUUUGACCCGACUAUUUUUCAAAGAAAGAAAUAGAAAGAAGAAGGACAACCGGGUCUUGACUUAUGACAUCCUACCUACCCAUGUUGUGAGGGAGUCAUGUCACGGGUAUUUCAAAAGAUUUGAAAGAAAAGGGCAAUACCGAGGUGGAGAGUCGAGUGAGGUUCCAUUGAGGUUCUGGUCCAUCCACGGCUCUGUCAUUACAUCAAAAAUAAAAAUUACAAGUUAAAAACAUAAAUGAAAUUACAACAACCUAUAUACGCAGCUUAUUUUGGACUCUUGACUUACGUUUCAUCACCCUAUUCUUCAGGCGGGCUGCUGACUUUCAAUUUCUUCAACUUGUUGUUUAACUUUAAAUUUAUUCGCCCUGUACUUUGGGCGGGCUACUGACUUGCCAUUUCAUCACCCUGUUCUUCAGGCGGGCUCCUGACUUGCAAUUUUCUCAACUAGUUGUUUGGCUUUCAAUUGUUUCACCUCAUUGCUUUACUUUUAAUUUCUUUACCCUAUUCUUCAGGCGGGCUCCUGACUUGCUAUUUUUCAAUUUGUUAACUUUAAAAUUUUCACCUUGUUGCUUGAAUUUCAACUUCUUCACUUUGUUGCUUGAGUUUUCAUUUCUUUACCCUGUUCUCCAGGCGGGUUCCUGACUUGCAAUUUCUUCAACUUGUUUCUAUGCUUUUCAAUUUCUACACCCUGUUCUCCAGGCGGGUUCCUGACUUGCUAUUUCAUCAACUUGUUGCUAUGCUUUCAAUUUCUUCACCCUAUAGAUCUGUCACACCCCUUUUUUUUACAACCAAAAAAGAAUUGAUUUUUAAGUUUGAAAGGGUUUUAAUUAUUAAAGUGACAAAAGAUUGAAAAUUUGCUUUGAAAAAGGAUUAUUUACAUUUUUUAUUCAGAUUUGCCACUUGACAUAAACUGAGUGUCCCAAGUCACUUUUGAAAAUCCUUUUCAAAACAGUUUGACUCUAGAAACUGAUCCGCAAAUAGAGAUUUCGGCUAAGGAAUUCUGUUGAUCGAGGGGAAGGUGUGAGGCACCCCUCGGUCCUGUGGUUUGACCACGAUCGCUUGAUGGAGAAUAUUGGCUAAUUAGACACCACGAAUGUAUAAAUCACACAAAGCUCAUAAGCAAACAUCAAAUAACAAUCCAAAACUAAAAUAAUAAUGUCCAGUUCAAUUAUACAGUCCAAAAUAGAAAAAUCGCGAAAAAUAUAAAUCCUAUUCUAUACUAAUGCUAGACUAAGCUCCAACCCGACGCCUCGGGCCUUCGUCGCGAACGUCCUCCGAGUACAAAAUAUUUUUAGGGCAUUCCCCGACCAAUAAACACAAAUACCUCGGGGCAUUCCCCGGCCAAAUGAAUACAAUUGAGUAGAAUACGAUAAAACAAAAUCAUUUCAACACACAUCUCAAACAUUCAAUCAAUCCACAAUCUCUAGAUUUGCCUACCCGACCUAUGUCUUGUCUAUUCCUUCUCGACCUAAAACAUGGCACUAUCGGGUUCAACCAUAUUCAUGUUUCAAUCGAAUUACACCAGCAUCAAUAAAUCUAAAUUAAUCUGUAUUCAUUUUUUCAUUAAGAUCGAUCCAUCCUGAAAUCAUUCUCGAAAUAGUUAAUUACUUCUUCGACUACUAAUCCAAGUUUUCAACAUUCGAAUUCAAUAUCAACCAAUACACAAUCAAGAUUCAAACAUACCAAACACACAAAUCAUCUAUGGUUAUGUAAAAAUUAAAUGGAGAGAGGAUAAAAUUGGACCUCAAUGAUGAUUUUAUUCCAAAUAUCAGUCAAUUGAGAAGACAGAGUCUGCGUGUCAAAGAACCCCGAAUCAGCCUCAACAACGAAUCAAAUUCCAACUCGGUAUCAGAAAUCGAAGCCCGUCAAACCAAACCCACAACUCGAAGCAAAGAUUACAAAGACCGAAAGCACGUACCUGAUCAACCCUCUCCGUUACUAUUUUUGGUCAUUUUAUGGUAAAUCUCACUGGAAUCAAUACUGGUUGAGCCAUUUUUGAUUGCUCGCCAGCGGGUUUCGGCACCUUCCGAUAGAUGGUCACCAAAAAUGAUACUUGGGGUCGGGUCGGUGGUUUCCCAACGUUCUUCAAUCAAAGUGGUAGCGUCGUCGGAGCUUCGGCGAGCUUAACAGUGGCGUCGUUGUCUUUCUCCUCCCAAAUUCUCUCUCGUUCGACCUCUCUUCUCUCUCUCCAGCUCAAUCUCUCUCACCUGUGUAUCAGUGUAUGAAUCUCGAGAAUAUUUAUGAGUGAGUGACCUAUGUGAGCUAUGUGUAUGUUGCUCAUUUCCCGGUGAACAGUGCGUGUGUGCGUGAAGAGUGAAGAAGAAGAAACCCCGACCCCCCAUCUUCUUUGUGAUUUGCUUAUAUCAUGUAUGAUAAUUGUGGAGUCAAUUUCGUAGUGGUGGGGCCCCCUAUUUUAUUUUUGUAUUAGUGAAGAAGAAGCUGUAUAUGUAUGAUCCUUAUGGAGUCCCUGGGAAUUCUGUUAAGAGAAAAAUGGCAAGAGCCCGUUAGAUAGUGAGGGAUAAGGGGUAUGUGGGGUAGGUUGUUAGGAUUAUGAUGAGAUUGUUAGGAUAAUGUUGGGGAUUUAUUGAAUUUUUUUUAUUUUAUAUUUUUGUGGGGUAUAAUUACAUGGGUGAGGGUACACGGUAAGAUAAAUUAAAAAAUGGGUAAAAACGAUCUCGGGGAGGGACGAAAUUAGGUGUCUAAUCAUGCCCCCUUGAAUAUAAACACGAAGUGUUUUCAAACAAAGAAGUAGACAACAAGACAGAAUUUUGUCCCGACCAUUAUUUAAAGGAAGAAACAGAAAGAAGAAAAACAACUGAGUUCUGACUUAAGCCAUCCUACCCACCCAAGUUAUGGAGGAAUUAAGUGACGGUGUCUCAAAGGAUUGGAAGGAAGUGGACUAUACCGAGUUGGAGAGUCGAGUGAGGUUCCAUUGAGGUUCCGUUCCGCGACUCUGUCAUUACAUCAAAAUGAAAAUUACAAGUUAAAACAUAAAUAAAAUUACAAAAUUCUAUCUACGCAACUUCUUUUGGACUCUUGACUUGAGUUUCAUCACCCUAUUCUUCAGGCGGGCUCCUGACUUUCAAUUUCUUCAACUUGUUGCUUGGCUUUCAAUCUCCUUACCCUGUUCUCCAGGCGGGAUCCUGACUUGCCAUUUUAUCACCCUAUUCUUCAGGCGGGCUCAUGUCUUGCAAUUUCAUCACCCUGUUCUUCAGGCGGGCUCCUGACUUGCAAUUUCAUCACCUUGUUCUUCAGGCGGGCUCCUAACUUGCUAUUUCAUCAAUCUGUUAACUUUCAAAUUUUCACCAUGUUGCUUGACUUUCAACUUCUUCACCAUGUUGCUUGACUUUUCAUUUAUUCAUCCCGUUCUUCAGGUGGGCUCCUGAAAUCACAUCAAAACUAAAAAGAAAAUUAUCCCAAACAAAGAUUAGUAUAAAGAAAUUUCAUUUUCUAGAAAAGUGAAGUUCUAAACAUAAGAAUUAAAUUUUUCUCCAGUUUAUCAUCAAAGGACUUUUGCGAAAGUCACAUCAUUAUAGGAAUCAAGGAGAAUGACUCAACUAUAAGGUGCGUCUGAUAGGAAUCAAAGGAAUUGACUCGACUAAAAGGUACGUCUUAUAGGAAUCAAAGGGAAUGACUCAAGUAAAAGGUAUAUCUUAUAGGAAGCAAAAGAGAUGACUCCACUAAAAGGUACGGCUUAUAGGAAUCAAAGGGAAUAACUCGACUAAAAGGUACGUCUUACUAGGAAUCAAGGGAGACGACUCGACUAAAAGGAACGUCUUAUAGGAAUCAAAGGGAAUGAUUCGACUAAAAGGUACGUCUUUUAGGGGCCAAAGGGAAUGACUCGACUAAAAGGUACAUCUUAUAGGAAUCAAAGGGAAUAACUCGACUAAAAGGUACGUCUUACUAGGAAUCAAGGGAGACGACUCGACUAAAAGGAACGUCUUAUAGGAAUCAAAGGGAAUGAUUCGACUAAAAGGUACGUCUUUUAGGGGCCAAAGGGAAUGACUCGACUAAAAGGUACGUCUUAUAGGAAUCAAAGAAAAUGACUCGACUAAAAGGUACGUCUUAUAGAAAUAAAAGGAGAUGACUCAACUAAAAGGUAUGUAUUAUAGGAAUCAAAGGGAAUGACUCGACUAAAAGGUACGUCUUCUAGGGGUCAAGGGAAAUGACUCGACUAGAAAAUACGUCUUCUAGGAGUGAAGGUUUAAUUUAAGAAGUGUAUUACCUAGCAAAUGAAAACUGAAAUCCCUGGACAAGAAAGUGUGUCUCCGAGGGAUAUAAGAUGAUAAAUUUUUACCAUGAUUUAAUUAUCAAACUUGUGCAGCAACAUUGCUUCCUGCAUUUGUAAAAGUGAGAAAUUACGGGCCUUGAUGUUUAGGCUUUGAAAUCCUUGAUUUGAAGGUAACAUGUGUUCCUAUUUCAUGCAAAGAAAGGUUGUGAUUUUAAAAACAUGGUGGCUGGUUUGUGGCUUUGGAUUUCGUGGAAAACGCUCUUGUCAUUAUCACAUUUAACCUUGCUUCCAACCAUUAGCUUGUGUCACUGACUUGCUGCUUCAUUGACCAAACUCAGAUUAUUAAGAGUGACUGAGACAAACAUAGCAACACAGCAUCUCUGCUUUUCCAUGCCUCUUAGAUAGACCCCUUGGAACAUUGGUAUUUCAUGAGUUCCCAGACUUAUUUGUUGACAAAACUUUCUGCUUGCCUCAUUUUGGCUCACAAUCAUGUCUCUUUCAUGCGUUGGCCUUUCUGCCUUGCUUUUUACAAUUGAAUAAGUUGGUAGCCAGUUUUGAAAUCUUUUCUCACUUGUUUUGACAUAGACUUGACUCAAAGACGAGAAAAAUGACAAUUAUUUUAUUUGGAUAACUGACUCAAGAAAAAUAAAAAUAUAACUAUAGAAAAGAAAGAAAUGAUAAUGAAUGUCCCUAUUGAAAAAGAUGAAGAAAAGUUUAUCUAACUCUAAUGAUUAUGACAUGCAUAUCGGAUUAAAAUGCCUGAUCUUUCCAUCCAAAAAUCUCACAAAUUGUUGUUAAUGACCUCGAAAUUGAGUUGAUUCCUUAGACCAAUUGCAUUUAAGACCUCAUUCGGCUAGUGGCGCCUUGAAUGGUUUUUGCCAAUGAGCCUCUCUGAUUUUCUUUUUCUCAGCUUACCAUUGCCUUAUAGUGUCUGUAAGGGUUUUUCACCAAUGAGACUUUCUUAUUUUCAUUUGUCUCAACUCACUGCCGUCUUACAGUGCCCGUGAGAGUUUUCAUCGAUAAGACUCUCUCAUUUUUAUUUCUCAGCUUACCAUCGUCUUACGAUGCCCGUAAGAGUUUUCACCAAUAAGACUCUCUCAUUUUCAUUUCUCUCCUGAUUCCUUAUGCUGUGGAACAAAAGUAGUUCCCAAAAUGUAUCAUCACAUUCAUUGCAUGCUUAGCCUUAACAUUCUCAAAGAUUGAUUUGAAGGUCUUUCUUUGGUUAUAACUUGGCUUUUGGAUAGGAUUAGAAAGAAAGGAUAGCAUGAGGCCAACGACACCUGAGGUGGGGUAGGACUUACAACUUUUGGAAUUGACUCAAAUAAUGAGGAUUAACUCAUGCCCCAGUUUCUUUUGACUGGGCAAUUAUAAAUUAUUUAUUUGAUUGGACCGAGCCUAGAGUAGGGCAGCCUACGUAUCUUACCCCCGAGAGAGAAAAAUCAGGUCACGCGUAGUUCUGGAAGGUUGUUCUUUUGCUUGAUUCUGGUUUUUUUAUUUGGUUGACUCUUUUUCUCUUUGGGACUUUUCUGACUUUAUUUUCUCGAUGCUCCUCUUUUUUUUUUUUUUUGAAACUUUUUUGACUCUACUGUUUUGCUCGACAUCUUUUCUUUUGGAGCUUUGUUGACUCUAUAUUGAUUCCAAAAGAGGUGUAUGAAAGAAAAUAAAACUAAGGAUCAAAUAGGAUAAACAAAGGAUGACACAAUGUUUGGAUAACAGAAUGAAAUGCCUUUGUCAUAUCAAUCUUUGAAAAUACAAGUACAUAACAUGCAAUUUGAAAGUUGGAGAUGAAGAUCAUGUGCGACAUCUUUUACAACAUUAACUUUGACUUAGUUUGUGCGUCACUACUUCUUCUGCGCUUUUCUAGCAUACAACUACACUUUUGUUGUACAUUUCUUACAUUGAAUGACUCAUGAUUUCGUGGAGCUGAUUUUCGGAUCACGCAUCCACUGUUUGACCUAAUUGAGGCAUGCCUUACAAUUGAUGAUCAAGUUAUUCUGGUGAUUCUCAAAACAAUUGCCUUAAUUUUGAAAGAAGGGUUUCAACAUGAUCACCAAAUGUCUUAACACGCAACCUAUUUCUCACAUGCCUUUUCUUACUUUAGCUUUCUGAUUCAAAGUUCAUGCUCACAUUGGAUUUUAAGAUCUAGUGAAGAAUUUCGCCAGCAUGUCAUAUCACUAAAGCCAACAUAAAAUGUACUAUGUAAAGAAAACAAAAAAAUAACAUAUAUUUAAACACAAAGGAAAAAGGGAUACUCUAUUUAGUUAAAAUAAAAGAUAGAAAAGGUUUGACCAUAAACGACAAAAAGGAUAAAACAAAAUAGAUCCCGAACUACCACCCUGAAAUAAUUUGGAUAACAGAAAAGAAAAUAAAAUAAACUACCAAACCUCUUCCUAGUAGGGAGAGGGAUGACUUCUCAAUUGCUCAGCCUGACAUAUCAGUCACUGAUUUGCAUAUCAGCAUGACUAGAGCUUUCACCACUGUCAGACAUAUUUUCUUCAAUAAAUAAGUUUCUAAUCCCCAUGCUUAACUCAUUGCCUCCCACAUAUUGUGCAGUACCGCGUGCUGGUGAAGAACUCUGUGGGAUGGUCGAGGGGCCAAUGUUUUGCACCACAAUCAAUUUAUCUUGAAUUAUCUUUUCUAUUUCUCUUUUCAAAGUACGACAAUAUUCAGUACUAUGAUCCUAAACAUCAGAAUGAUAUGUACACCAUACAUUAGGAUCAAAAUUUCUUGAAUGUGGGUCAGGUAUAUACCCAAGGAGAGGAUUAAUCAUGCCCCUAUGUCUCAAUCUCUGGAACAAACUGGCAUAGGACUCCCCAAUAGGAGUGAAAUUAUCUUUUUCCUUCCUCCUCUUUGCGAACUCUGGCCUCGGAUGAAACUUGAGUUUAGAGUUUCCUUGGUAAAUUUGUGGGGGUCGAGGACGAUGUUGAGGAACAGAUACAUGCCAUUGUGGAUAAGAAGAUAGAUGGGUACACAAUUGUGCAUUGUUCAAAGGACAUUGAGGAAGUGGAAUUAAACUCCUUGGAUUUUGAAAAGAAGAACCUUGUUGCAGAUGAAUAAGUGGAUUUGAUAUGUAAGCUUGGGAUUGAGGCUGACAGUAUUGGAGAGUUGGAUCUCUCAAACUCUGCUUUGGCCCAGGCACGACAACAUAUGCAUUUUCCUUCUUCUUUCCUUCAGUUUUCCUUGAAUGAUUGCAAUAUCGUCCCAAAUAUUUCACAAAAUCAUUAUGUCCACCAAGAUCCUCAAAUUUUGAUGUCUCAAAGCUUGAGGAAAGGUUAACACUUGAAAACAUGUCCUAGUUUUUAUAUGAAACAUCUAGCCCACAAGUCUCAAGGAACUUUUUAUAUCAUUUUCUACACUCUUAACUUUCCCAACCAUUUUCUCUGGGUCUUCUAGCAUGCUAGGCUUCUUAGUAAGAAAUUUUGGCCGUCCACUUAACUUAACUGUAGGCUCAAGAGUAUAACAAUGAUCAUUACGAGUAUUGAACGUGGAUUCACUAGUGGACUGGGGAAGCACAAUUUUUGGAUUGAUAGCCAAAGUGGAAGCAUUAGUAGAAGGUUAAGCAACAAAAGCACAGAUGGUAUGUGGUGCUGUGAAUGUGGUAGACUUAUACUGAGGAGCUAAAGAAAGAGUGAUGGAUGUAUUGAGGUGCAUUUGACGUUGAAUGGAUUCUGAGGCAUGCUGUGGUGCAUCAACAACAAUAGAAAACUGACUUUGCAAUUUUGGUGGAAGACUCAAGGUAUUUGCAGGGUCAAAAGUGGGGAACGGAGGUAGAGGCAGCCCACUGGCCCAAGCUCAGUACAUUUCCAUCAUUUGUUGUCUCAGUCUCAAAUUUUCUUCCUUUAAACUCUCAAUUUCCUGACUCUUUAGUUCAUCCAUGGUGCCACUCUUUAUAUCCUUGUUGGACAUAACUAAAUUUUUCUUGGAUUUGGUGUGAUAUGGAGGACUAGCCAGGAAGCCACAAACCAACCACCUUAAACUAACUGAACAAGAGGCAACAAAUAUGUUAGAGUUCAACAUUUUUCAAAACUUUUUUUUUUGUUUUUUUUUUGAAAAUAUCACCGAACCCAAGAAAGGUGCCUACGUAUCUCACCCCUGAGAGGGGAGAAUUAGGUGUGCGUAAUUCAUGAAGUCUUGCCAAAAUGGCCAAAUAAACUAAACUCUUUUUAUUUUUAUUUUUCUUGAAAUUUUAAGAAGAAAAGAAAAAUGACAAAUUGUCAAAAGAAUUGACGAAAAUCUUUUUGAAUUUUUCGGCUUUAAUAACCUAUACAAAAUGAAACCUAUGCUUACCAAAGAAACUCUUUUUGGGUUUUCAAUUUUGCAUUUCAUACGAAAAUGAAACUUGAACCUAUUAAAGAAAAUCUUUUGUAGUUUUCUUUUAAAGAUGUAUAUGAAACACUUACUCUAAAUGAAGAGUUAAGAAAAUCUUUUUGGAUUUUUGAAUAAGAUCCCCGAACCAACAAUAGGCUUCCUACGUAUCUCAAAUUCCGAAAGAGGAGAAUCAGGGGUGCGUAGUUCGUCCAGAUUGGAUAAUUAAGGAUUAAAACGAACUAAUACUUGACUUGAGAGACGCGAUUACAGACGGAUGAUGAGAAAUAAAAUCUUUUUGGGUUUUCAAUUAGACACUUCACACAAAACUAACACCAACAACUAUGAAAGAGAAAAAAUCUUUUUGACAUUUUCGUUAUAUGAAAUGUACAAAACUUCUACCAUCUUUUUUUUAUAUUUUUUUUUUAUAAAAAGCUCCAAUUAAAAAAUAUAUUUUUAAAAUUUUUGAAAUAUGAAUGCAUGGUAAAGGAACAAAUGAAAUUUUUUUUUGAUGUUUUUGAGAAAAUGAGUGCGAAAGGGUAAAAAAAAAAUCUUUUUAAAUUUUUGGAUUGUGAAAAAGAAAAGCCAUAAAGAACUUUAAAAACUACAAAACUCUGUUUUUUUUUCAACUCACUUUUUCUUUCUUUUUCCUCUUUUUUUUUUUCAAUUUUUCCUUGCCUACACACUCUAUUUUUCUUUUUUCAAGUUUUCCUUGCCUACACACUCGAUUUUUCUUUUUUUAAUUUUUCCUUGCCUAUAUACUUUCUUUUGUUCUAGCACAUGCUUUCCCCCAAUCAAUCUGUCAAAUGACCAUAUUACCCUUAAAGAUGCAACAUUUAGCACGUAGAGAUGCUUUAGAGAUGAGUCUCCUAUAAAAGGGCCAUGUGGGUCCCACUAGAUCUCAAUAUGAUGUAAAUAAGCAUGACCUAAAUGUUGACCUAUGCUGAGGUUCACUAACAAGACUGUUCGGGGGAGCGUAUGGUCGAUAGUGGCUGCGCUAGCUUUCCACCCACUCCAUACCAGCCGGCGGCUCCCCCUCCUAAAAAUAAGGGUGACUCAACUAUAGAUCGUGUACACAACGUGUACUACAGACUUGUUGCAGAAAGAAUGACUCGGGUUAUGCACAUGAUGACAGAUAUAAAGCGGUAACACAUAAGAUAAAAACUGUAAACAAAGAGUACGUAGGCACUCAACAAUGGAAAAACAAUAACACAAAACAACACAAACGUCUAUACACCCAUAAUGCCAAACUAAGCCGAUACAACUCCAAAAAUAAGCUCAAAUUCUGAAAUGUCUUCCCCAGCAGAGUUGCCAGAUCUGUCACGCCCUUUUUUUUUUACAACCAAAAAAGAAUUGAUUUUUAAGUUUGAAAGAGUUUUUAUUAUUAAAGUGACAAAAGAUUUAAAAUUUGCUUUGAAAAAGGAUUAUUUACAUUUUUAUUUAGAGUCGCCACUUGACAUAAAUCGGGUGUGCCAAGUCACUUUUGAAAAUCCUUUUCAAAACAGUUUAACUCUAGAAACUGAUCUGCAAACAGAGAUUCCGGCUAAGGAAUUCUAUUGACCGAGGGGAAGGUGUGAGGCACCCCUCGGUCCUAUGGUUUGACCAAGGUCGCUUGAUAGAUAUUAUCGGCUAAUUAGACACCACGAAUGUAUAAACCACACAAAGCACAUAGAAAAACAUCAAACAACUAUCCAAAACCAAAAUAAUAAUGUCCAGUCCAAUUAUACAGUCCAAAACAAAAAAAUCGCAAAAAAUAUAAAUCCUAUUCUAUACUAAUGCUAAACUAAGCUCCAACCCGACGCCUCGGAUCUUCAUCGCAAACAUUCUCCGGGUACAAAAAAAUUUUGGGGCUUUCCCCGACCAAUAAACACAAAUACCUCGGGGCAUUCCCCGGCCAAAUGAAUACAAUUGAGUCGAAUACGAUAAAACAAAAUCAUUUCAACACACAUCUCAAAUAUUCAAUCAAUCCACAAUCUCUUGAUUUGCCUACCCGACCUAUGUCUUGCCUAUUCCUUCUCGACCUAAAACAUGGCACUAUUGGGUUCAACCAUAUUCAUGUUUAAAUCGAAUUACACCAACUUCAAUAAAUCUAAAUUAAUCUGUAUUCAUUUUUUCAUUAAGAUCGAUCCAUCCCGAAAUCAUUCUCAAAAUAGUUAAUUACUUCUUCGACUACUAAUCCAAGUUUUCAACAUUCGAAUUCAAUAUCAACCAAUAAACAAUCAAGAUUCAAACAUACCAAACACACAAAUCAUCCACGGUUAUGUAAAAAUUAAAUGGAGAGAGGAUAAAAUUGGACCUCAAUGAUGAUUUUAUUCCAAAUAUCAGUCAAUCGAGAAGACAGAGUCCGCGUGUCGAAGAAUCCUGAAUCAGCCUUAAUAACAAAUCAAAUUCCAACUCGAUAUUAGAAAUCUAAGCCCGUCAAACCAAACACACAACUCGAAGCAAAGAUUACAAAGCCCGAAAACACGUACCUGAUCAGCCCACUCCGUUACUAUUUUUGGUUGUUUUCUAGUAGAUCUCACCGGAAUCAAGACUGGUUGAGCCAAUUUUGAUUGCUUGCCAAUGGGUUUCGGUACCUUCUGAUGGAUGGUCGCCGGAAAUGACACUGAGGGUCGGGUCGGUGGUUUUCUAGUGUUCUCCGAUCAACGUGGUAGCAUCGCCGGAGCUCUGGCGAGCUUAACAGUGGCUUUGCUAUCUUCCUCUUCCCAAAUUCUCUCUCUCGUUUGACCUCUCUGUGGCUUCCUGGUUGGUCCUCCAUAUCACACCAAAUCCAAGGAGGGGUUAGUUGUGUCCAACAAGGAUAUAGAAAGUGGCAUCAUGGAUGAAACAAAGAGUCAGGAAAUUGAGAGUUUAAAGGAAGAAAAUUUGAGACUGAGACAACAAGUGAUGGAAAUGUAUCGAGCUUGGGCCAGUGGGUUGCCUCCACCUCUGUUUCCUACUUUUGACCCUGUAAAUACCUUGAGUCUUCCACCAAAAUCGCAAAGUUAGUAUCUAUCUUCUUAUCCACAAUGGCAUGCACCUGUCCCUCAACAUGGUUCUCGACCCCCACGAAUUAACCAAGGAACCUCUAAAUCCAAGUUUCAUCCGAGGCCAGAGUUCAUAAAGAGGAGGAAGGAAAAGGAUAAUUUCACUCCUAUUGGGGAGUCCUAUGCUAGUUUAUUCCAGAGAUUGAGACAGAGGGGCAUGAUUACUCCUCUCCUUGGGUAUACACCUGACCCACAUUCAAGAAAUUUUAAUCCUAAUGUACGAUGUACAUAUCAUUCGUAUGUUCAGGGUCAUAGUACUGAAGAUUGUCUUACUUUAAAAAGAGAAAUAGAAAAGAUAAUUGAAGAUAAAUUGAUUGUGGUGCAAAACAUUGGCCCUUCGACUAUCCCAUAGAGUUCUUCACCAGCAUGCGGUACUGCACAAUAUGUGGGAGGCAAUGAGUUAAGCAUGGGGAUCCAGAACUUAUUUGUUGAAGGAAAUAUGUCUGACAGUGGUGAAAGCUCUAGUCAUGCUGAUAUGCAAAUCAGUGACUGAUAUGUCAGGCUGAGCAAUUGAGAAGUCAUCUCUCUCCCUACUAGGAAGAGGUUUGGUAGUUUGUUUAAUUUUCUUUUCUGUUAUCCAAAUUAUUUCAGGGUGGUAGUUCGGGAUCUAUCUUGUUUUAUCCUUUUUGUAGUUUAUGGUCAAACCUUUUCUAUCUUUUAUUUUAACUAAAUAGAGUGUCCCUUUUUUCUUUGUGUUUAAAUAUACGAUAUUUGUUUGUUUUCCUUAUAUAGUACAUUUUAUGUUGACUUUAGUGAUAUGACAUGCUGGCGGAAUUCUUCGCUAGAUCUUAAAAUCCAAUGUGAGCAUAAACUUUGAAUCAGAGGGCUAAAAUUAGAAAAAGCAUCUGAGAAAUAGGUAGUGUGUUAAGACAUUUGGUGACCAUGUUGAAACCUUCUUUCAAAAUUAAGACAAUUGUUUUGAGAAUCACCAGAAUAACUUGAUCAUCAAUUGUAAGGCAUGCCUUAAUUAGGUCGAACAGUGGAUGCGUGAUCCGAAAAUCAACUCCACAAAAUCAUGAGUCAUUCAAUAUAAGAAAUGUACAACAAAAGUAGAAUUGUAUGCUAGAAAAGUGCAGAAGAAGUAGUGACGCAUAGACUCAGUCUAAUGUUGUAAAAGAUGUCGCACAUGAUCUUCAUCUCCAACUUUCAAAUUGCAUGUUAUGUACUUGCAUUUUCAAAGAUUGAUAUGACGAAGACAUUUCAUUCUGUUAUCCAAACAUUGUGUCAUCCUUUGUUUAUCUCAUUUGAGCCUUAGUUUUAUUUUCUUUCAUAUACCUCUUUUGGAAUCAAUAGAGUCAACAAGCUCAAAAAAAAGAAAAGGUGUCGAGCAAAACAGUAGAGUUAAAAAAGUUUCAAAAAAAAAAACCAAAAUAAUUUCAGUCCAAUUUAUACAGUCCCAAAAAUUCAAAAAAUGUAAAUCCUAUUCUAAACUAAUCCUAGACUAUGCUUUACCCGACACCUUGGGCCUUCAACUCGAUCAUCCUCCGCCAACAUGAUACAUCGGGGCAUUCCCCGGUGAAUAAACACAGAUGCCUCAGGGCAUUCCCCGGCCAAAUAAUACAUUUGAUCCAAAAGCAAUAAAACCAAGCCAUUCAACAUAUGUCAAGCAUUCAAUAUUUCAAUAUUCUUACAUUUGCCUAACAAUUAUCGACCUAAAACAUGCGAUUAUCGAAUAUAACAAAAGUCAAUGCUUAUUCCGAAUCAAGCAACUAUCAAUGAAUUAACAUAAAACUAUAUUCACUUUUAACAAUUUUCAAUCUUUUCUCUAAAAUCCAACUUAACCCCAAAUCAACUACGUGAUUAACAUAUUUCACACCAAGAUUAACAAUCAAAUAACAACGAGUAAAAUCACCUCAACCAAAUUCAACCAAAAUCACAUCAUUCAAAAAUGUUUAUGAAAAGAGAGAUAAGAGAUAUAGAAUUGGACCUCAAAUUGAGCUUUAUUGAUUAAUUGACCUUUCCGAAUAGAAUAGCGUCCAACGGAGCCUCAACGUCGAACCUCGACCUCGAACUCCAAGUUAGAUUUCACCCUCGAAUCGAAACUUCAUUAAAAAAAACCAACGACUCGAAUCAACACCCAAAAACCAACCCGAACAUAAACUCACGAAGACCCACACCUAAUUCUAUAUCGACGAAUCCGUUUCAGCUAUUUUUCGUUGGAUUUUGGACUGUUCACUCCUAUUUUUCAAAUUUUACUCUACCUCUACCUCCCUCUCGAUCUCAGUGUGUUUAUUAAGUAACAAGAAAAUGGAGAACUUUUGAUUUUCUCUUGGCGAGGAAGAAACAAAAAUGGAGGGCCCCCUUUUUGUCCCUUCUCUCUCUAUUUUUACCUCUUUUUCAAUGGAGAAGCAGAAUGCUUUUUCUCUCAGUUGGAUCCAAAAUUGAAAAUGAGAAAAAAAAAUAGCCUAUCCCUUUUCAGUCCAUUUUUUACCUCCCUUUUUUCGAUUCUCCCUUUUCUCUCUCAAUUUUUUGCGAGUAAUAGUGUAUAGAUAUGUGAGAGAGAUAUGUGUGUAUGCGAACCAAGAGAAAAAAAUACAAAAAAAUGGUCUUUUUCUUGUUUCUCUGUGUUCCCUCCCUCCCCCCGAUGAUGAAGAUGAUCCCCUCCUUUUUCUCUUAUCUCUUUGCCAAUUGGAAAAACAAAUUCCCUAGAGGAAUCUUUCAAGUAGGGCCCUUCUAUUUUUAGUGAUGUGUUGUGCUAUUGUCUUUAUCCAAAAAUGAAAAGGAAAAUAUGAUAAAAAGGGGUGGGGUAGGGAGUACACGUGUCUUGUUUUGAUGGAUAGAGGUUAUUGAUUUGUUAUUAAAGAAUCUUGAGGAUUAGGUUGGUUAGGGAUUUGUUAUUUUUUGUCAUUUUAUGGAGGGAUGAUUACAUGGUUGAGGGUACAUGAUAAUACGAGAUAAAAAUGGUAAAAAUGCAUUCGGAGAGGGACAAAAUUAGGUGUCUACAGUUAGGACAUCAAGUGAAACAUUGCAACCACAACAUCAGCAGUCCAAGUGUAGACAAGGAUCAGCCAAGCACUAGCAAGACCCCAGUGGAAGGAGAACAACAGCAAUGGCAUAUCGUCUCCUUCCCUAAAAGGAAACACAGAACUACCAAGGGACCAAACAGCAAUGGAGGACAAGCCCUGUCGACAACUAAUCCGCCUCAGGUAAAGUCAAUAGAGGACAACCCAGGUAAGCUUUUGAGCCCUGAACAGUUAGGCUCCACCACUCAAAACGGAAUAUCCUAUGCAGGCAAAGUCAAUACGCCUGUUAGUCCAUCUUCCACACCAAUAAAAAAUGGAAAAGGAAAAUCGGCAAAUGGGCCACCCCACGCGCCUGCAAAGGCUGCCAAAAAUAGCGUUUCUCCAAAAGUCAAACAACUACACCACACACGUGCACACGCUAUUAAUAACCUCAACCACUUCCAGCCUUGUCGUAAUUGGAGAAAACACCCCUUCCAGUCAAAAAAGUUGAGGGCCCACUAGGGGCCACACUUCCCAUCAACAUUUACUCAUCUCCAAUGGAGGCUACCAUCUCUGCGUCUUCUGGGAUGAUAACCAAAGUUUAAAAUAGAUCUAAUUAUCAAGUAGAGCCGAUUGACAUGACUGAUUCAGUCAUGUCUAUUAACUCAGCUCUCCAUAAUAAUGGCGAGCAAGGCACUGCUGGACACAACUAUAGUCAAAACUAGUCCAAAAACAUACCUGAUAGCAAUGGCUUCCCAAGUACUCCUGAUGGAACCACUCGUCUUUUUCUCCUCACCUCACCUUCCAAACAGGACCCCAACGUCUUGGGCGGAGCUGGCGAUGAAAGCAAGAACUAUUUUUCAUUGUGUCAUAAUAGGAGACCAGCCCAUUGUACUAAUGGUCUAAGACCCGGCCUGGAUGGCCCAAAUAAUCAAGGACGGGGUGGAACAUAUAGUACAACGCUUGGGUCAUCAGGUAUGGACCCAAACCAUGUUGCAAGCCCAGAGACUGGACACUCUCAAUGUCAUAAACUCACACGAGUUCAAUUCACUCAUGGCUCAUGUAUUCAAGCAUCUUCCAUACUACUCGGAGAGGCCCUACCUGUCGAGUUUAGACACUCUAACAUUUAUACCUUGGACGCUACUGAUCCAUAUCUCCAACAACCCAACCAAACCUCAGAACAACAACCCAACAAAAGAGGUAGGAGGCUAAAGUGAAGCAUAGCCAUCCAUUUUGGAAGAGAUCCAGAAGUUAAACAUGGAUAUGGAGCAACUCUUGGAAACCUUAGGAGAUCCACCUACAGAGUGCUUCAUGCUAGAAAGACCCCUUCGAAAAGAGUUUAAAGAGCCAUUCAACACAGAUACUAUAGUGCUUUGUCUAAAGGAUAUAAGAACCCUCAAGUUGAUCUUGAGGAAUAUGACCAACCAAUCCCCUGCAGCAGUCUACCUGAGUCCAUAUUUGGACAAGGCACAUCAAGUGUGUAACACUCUGUAUUGAAGUACAUAUAUUGGCGUAUUCAAGUACGUGUAUUGGUCUUAUUUAUAUGGAAUUAAUUUUUUUAUUUUAUUUAUACCGGAAUUUGCCCUUCGAUGGUUCCAUGCGAAGAUUAUUGAAUAAGCUUUCCAACGAUAUAAAGAUUUUCAAAAACGGAUAGGUUUCGGAUAUAAUCGAGCACGUUCGAAACUAUAAAACGGUGGCCGGGAUAUUGGGAAUAGUAAAUGUGCAGGAAAAUUUCCUGCACACAAACUACUGAGGCCAGCCAAUUUUUUGGGUCAACUUUGAAUGAUCAUAACUCCCUUAAUAUAAUGAACUGGGAGAUCUGAAACCUAUGAAAAGAAAUAUCUUUGAGUCUUUUUUCCAAUGCAAUUGGUUUCAUCUAAAUCCAACGUCUGAGUAAGGAGUUAUACUCGUUUUACUUCNNNNNNNNNNNNNNNNNNNNNNNNNNNNNNNNNNNNNNNNNNNNNNNNNNNNNNNNNNNNNNNNNNNNNNNNNNNNNNNNNNNNNNNNNNNNNNNNNNNNNNNNNNNNNNNNNNNNNNNNNNNNNNNNNNNNNNNNNNNNNNNNNNNNNNNNNNNNNNNNNNNNNNNNNNNNNNNNNNNNNNNNNNNNNNNNNNNNNNNNNNNNNNNNNNNNNNNNNNNNNNNNNNNNNNNNNNNNNNNNNNNNNNNNNNNNNNNNNNNNNNNNNNNNNNNNNNNNNNNNNNNNNNNNNNNNNNNNNNNNNNNNNNNNNNNNNNNNNNNNNNNNNNNNNNNNNNNNNNNNNNNNNNNNNNNNNNNNNNNNNNNNNNNNNNNNNNNNNNNNNNNNNNNNNNNNNNNNNNNNNNNNNNNNNNNNNNNNNNNNNNNNNNNNNNNNNNNNNNNNNNNNNNNNNNNNNNNNNNNNNNNNNNNNNNNNNNNNNNNNNNNNNNNNNNNNNNNNNNNNNNNNNNNNNNNNNNNNNNNNNNNNNNNNNNNNNNNNNNNNNNNNNNNNNNNNNNNNNNNNNNNNNNNNNNNNNNNNNNNNNNNNNNNNNNNNNNNNNNNNNNNNNNNNNNNNNNNNNNNNNNNNNNNNNNNNNNNNNNNNNNNNNNNNNNNNNNNNNNNNNNNNNNNNNNNNNNNNNNNNNNNNNNNNNNNNNNNNNNNNNNNNNNNNNNNNNNNNNNNNNNNNNNNNNNNNNNNNNNNNNNNNNNNNNNNNNNNNNNNNNNNNNNNNNNNNNNNNNNNNNNNNNNNNNNNNNNNNNNNNNNNNNNNNNNNNNNNNNNNNNNNNNNNNNNNNNNNNNNNNNNNNNNNNNNNNNNNNNNNNNNNNNNNNNNNNNNNNNNNNNNNNNNNNNNNNNNNNNNNNNNNNNNNNNNNNNNNNNNNNNNNNNNNNNNNNNNNNNNNNNNNNNNNNNNNNNNNNNNNNNNNNNNNNNNNNNNNNNNNNNNNNNNNNNNNNNNNNNNNNNNNNNNNNNNNNNNNNNNNNNNNNNNNNNNNNNNNNNNNNNNNNNNNNNNNNNNNNNNNNNNNNNNNNNNNNNNNNNNNNNNNNNNNNNNNNNNNNNNNNNNNNNNNNNNNNNNNNNNNNNNNNNNNNNNNNNNNNNNNNNNNNNNNNNNNNNNNNNNNNNNNNNNNNNNNNNNNNNNNNNNNNNNNNNNNNNNNNNNNNNNNNNNNNNNNNNNNNNNNNNNNNNNNNNNNNNNNNNNNNNNNNNNNNNNNNNNNNNNNNNNNNNNNNNNNNNNNNNNNNNNNNNNNNNNNNNNNNNNNNNNNNNNNNNNNNNNNNNNNNNNNNNNNNNNNNNNNNNNNNNNNNNNNNNNNNNNNNNNNNNNNNNNNNNNNNNNNNNNNNNNNNNNNNNNNNNNNNNNNNNNNNNNNNNNNNNNNNNNNNNNNNNNNNNNNNNNNNNNNNNNNNNNNNNNNNNNNNNNNNNNNNNNNNNNNNNNNNNNNNNNNNNNNNNNNNNNNNNNNNNNNNNNNNNNNNNNNNNNNNNNNNNNNNNNNNNNNNNNNNNNNNNNNNNNNNNNNNNNNNNNNNNNNNNNNNNNNNNNNNNNNNNNNNNNNNNNNNNNNNNNNNNNNNNNNNNNNNNNNNNNNNNNNNNNNNNNNNNNNNNNNNNNNNNNNNNNNNNNNNNNNNNNNNNNNNNNNNNNNNNNNNNNNNNNNNNNNNNNNNNNNNNNNNNNNNNNNNNNNNNNNNNNNNNNNNNNNNNNNNNNNNNNNNNNNNNNNNNNNNNNNNNNNNNNNNNNNNNNNNNNNNNNNNNNNNNNNNNNNNNNNNNNNNNNNNNNNNNNNNNNNNNNNNNNNNNNNNNNNNNNNNNNNNNNNNNNNNNNNNNNNNNNNNNNNNNNNNNNNNNNNNNNNNNNNNNNNNNNNNNNNNNNNNNNNNNNNNNNNNNNNNNNNNNNNNNNNNNNNNNNNNNNNNNNNNNNNNNNNNNNNNNNNNNNNNNNNNNNNNNNNNNNNNNNNNNNNNNNNNNNNNNNNNNNNNNNNNNNNNNNCCAGCUGCUUUUGGUGAGCUCCAGUUUGCUUCGGGGCUUUCUGUGUCAUAUCCAGUCACUUUUGGUAUUGUAUAGAAGUUAGUUAUAUGGCGGGGGGUGUCCCGACCUUAGUUAAACUCUGUGUAUUGUCUAGAGGCUUUGUAGACCUAAUGUACAGUCAAGGUGGUAUUUUGUUAAUAGACGUGAUGGCUCCAACGGCCAAGUAUUGUAUAUACAUAUAUAUGUGUGCUCGAGCUUAUACAGGUGAUUAUUUCCUUUUAUAUGCUACAUGAUGCUAUCCGAAUUUCGGGUUGUCAUAGAGGUAUGCAUGGGAAGUAUAAGGUUAUGAGCUGGUUCUCCCGGGCUUUCUCGGUUAUAGGUGCCAGUCCGCCCCAAUAGAAUUUGAGGCGUGACAAAGUGAGACUGGAAAAAGGGAAGAAACCAAUGCUGAACCACCCACCACCUCUAUCAUAUCUAAUAAAUCUCAUCAUCUGGAACACCAGGGGCGCCAAUAGUCCUGCUUUUAAACGCCACUGUGCCACUAUGGUUAAUAUGCAUAAACCUAUUGUUCUUGUUCUGCUGGAAACAAAAAUAGUGGAUCACACCAACCUCACUAAGAUAUUUGGAUAUGACUCUCAUAUGGAGUCAAGUGUUGAGGGUUGUAAAGGGGGUAUAGUGAUUAUGUGGAAGGAAAAUACUGCUAAACUUUAAAAUUUCUCUAUAUCCCCUCAGGGUAUCCACACUAUCAUCAAGGUACACUCUGAUCCUACUCCUUAGCUUUUCUCUGCUAUUUAUGUUAUCCCGGAUCACAACCUUAGAACCACUCUUUGGGAGGAGUUGUGCCAGAUAUCCUCCAACUACAAAGGGGAUUGGUUAAUUGGUGGGGACUUCAAUGAAGUCCUCAAAGAUAAUGAAAAACUUGGAGGGCCCCCCAUAAAUAAUAAUAGAGCUAGUUAGUUUUGGGAUUGAUUAAACUUUUACAACAUGGUGUACCUUGACUUUAGGGGAUGAAAGUAUACCCGGACCAAAUGGAGACAUCAGAAUAGACUUACCCUUAUCCAGGAAAGGUUAGAUAGAUGUGUUGCCAAUGACUGUUGGAUAAAACAUUUCCCUGAGUGUUUGGUAACCCAACUACCUAGAACCAAGUCUGAUCAUUGUCCCCUCCUGUUAUCCUUGAGCAAUAGGCCCCAGGGUACCCAUACCAAACCCUUUAGGUUUAAACCAAUGUGAUGUAAUCAUGAUUUUUUUCCUAGGCUGGUUCAGCAAUACUUUAACCAGGAAUCAGAUCUACAUCAAGAUGUCACCUCUUUCCUUCUUCAAGCUUCCUAGUGGAACAAGUAAGUCUUUGGAAACAUCUUCACCAAAAUGAAAAAUGUUAAGGCAAGACUUGAUGGUAUCCAAAGAUCUAGAGCCUACCACACUAGAAACUUCUUGCACAAUCUCAAAAAUGAGCUCGACGCCAUUCUCAAAUGUGAGGAGGAUUUUUGGAAAACCAAGUUUAGAAUAACCUGGCUCAUAGAGGGUAAUGUUAACAUUUCCUUCUUCCAUGCUUCCACUCUCAAUAGAAGAAGAAGGAACAACAUAAAUGAGUUUGUGGAUGAGGUUAGUAAUAUAUAGAGAGGUGAAGAGGACAUUGUAGCGCAUGUGCUUCAACACUUUACCAAUAUUUACACCACCAGCCUAACCCAAUGCCCUAACUUUGAAUUCACCCCAUACGCAGCUCCAAUGCCAUUUCUCAGAAACUGCAAGCAUCCCUAGCUGUACCUCUCAGAGACACUGAUAUUUUUCUGGCUAUCAAAUCCUUUAAACCCAUGAAGGCUCCUGGACCUGAUGGGCUCCACCCCUUCUUCUAUCAGAAGUUCUGGGAUGACAUUGGCCCCAAGACCAUAGCUUUCUGCAAAGAGGUCUCUCAGAAGGGUAUCAUCCCUACUGAACAUAACAACACCCUUAUCUGCUUGAUUCCAAAAUGUAGGAAUGCCUCUAAUCUGAAAAACUUCAGACCUAUUGGUCUCUGUAACACUAGCUACAAGAUUGUCACCAAGAUCAUUGCCAAUAGAGUCAAGCAUGUCCUUCAAAGCAUCAUAAGUCCCACUUAAGCUAGUUUCCUUGCCAAUAGAAGACCUUAUGAUCAUGCUAUCAUUAUCCAAGAGUACAUCACCCACUUCAAAAAAAUAAAAAGGGAAAAGGCUAACAUGAUUCUCUAGAUUGAUCUUGAAAAAGCCUUUGACAAAUUGGAAUGGUCCUUUAUAAAAAAACACCCUUCUCUUUUUUGGUAUACCUGAAAGCCUUGCCAGACUCAUUUUUUCUUGCAUCACUGUAACACCCCGUACUUAAUUACGUGCAUUAGCCAUUGUUAUAUGUGUUGGAGUAUAUGUAUUGAUCCUAAGUUAGGUAUAUAUGAGUUUAAGUAUGAGUAUUGAUUAUUUUGAGAUGGUUUCAAGUGUAUAGUUUGAUUAUAUGUGUAUAGGAAUCGACUUUAUUUAUACCAGAAUUUUCCCGUCGAUGGUUCCAUACGAAGGUUAUUGAAUAAGCUUUCCAACGAUAUAAAGAUUUCCAAAAACGGAUAAGUUUCGGAUAUAAUCGAGCACGUUCGAAACUAUAAAACGGUGGCCGGGAUGUUGUGAACAGUAAAUGUGCAGGAAAAUUUCCUGCACACAAACUACUGAGGCCUGCCAGUUUUUUGGGUCGACUUUGAAUGAUCAUAACUCCCUCAAUAUAAUGAAAUGGGAGAGCUACCACAUAUCAGAAGAAAGAUCUUUGAGUCUUUUUAUAUUAAAUGAAAUACCUUUGAAUUAUCUUUCUAACGAUACCAAUUUCACCCAAAUCCGAUAUCGGAGCAAAGAGUUAUGGCCGAUUUACUUUAGCCUAUCAAAACAGUCCACCAUGGACAGAUUCGGAUUUACUUAAAUUUUUAAGGGCAAUAUGGUCAUUUUCCAUCACCUCAUGGACGAAAAUUGGUCAUUAUAUACAUAUACUUAGCCUUAUAUCCACCAUUUAUCAUCCAAAUCAUUGAAGAAUAAGAAACCCUAGCCUAAGUUCAACUCCAAUUAUCUUGUGAUUCAACCGUAGAAAAUCCAAAUUGAUUCCGUAGUUGUGUUCACCGUCUCAAGGGCUUCGAGAAGCACCCCUUAUUUGUGCCAACAGGACUUCGAAAUCAAAAGGGCCAUUUUUUUUGGUAAGGAUGUAAAUUAUGUUGGUGUUAUUUAUAUGGAUAUGUAUAUAUAUAUAUAUAUGCAUGUGAGCAUAAGAAGUAUGUUAUUUGAUUGUUGUUGAAAGAUGAUUGGAAAUGAUGUUGGAUUAUUCUUGUGCAUGGUUGGAUUAUGUUAAAUUGUGAAGGAAUUUGGGGUGAUGAUGUGGUAUUGAUGAUGUGGUAUUGAGAUGAUGAUUAUAUACAUAUACACACAUAAACCUAUUGUUCAAGUUGGUUUUUGGAAUGUUUUGCAAAUAUUGGUAGUAUGGAAUUAUGGAAGAGAAUUGUGGUGUUGGGUUGCUAAUACUAGAUGCCAAACAUUUCAUUGUAGAUAAGUGAUUUGUAAAGGCGGGAAGUUGUGUUGAAUUGGUAGCUGAAUCUACAACGAGGUAUGUAAAGCAUACUCUAACAAUGUUCUUUGGCAUGAAAACACCAAUGUUCCAUCAAGUAAGAUUCCGAGGUUGUCCAAAAACAUGUAUUGUUCUACGUUACCAACGAAGUUGUUUCCAUCCUAUAAAGUGUCAAAAUGUUCAUUGAUAUACCAAAAGGCUCUUAUUUCAUUGUUGUGAUAUUGAUGAUUCUGAAACAUAUUGUUGAUGUACCAAUGAGUCCUUAUUACAUCGUUAUUGUAUAGAAGGUCUAUUACUUGGUUCCUAUUGAUGUAUCAUUGUUUCAAGGUAUCAAAAAUGUGGUGACGACCGAAAUAACAAUCUCAAAGAUUAAUUGAACUAAGUGAUGAAAGUUCUCUCUUAUCGGGUGGUAUCCCAGGGGCAUAAGCCUAGCAUGGGUCGAUCCCUAUUUCAUGUGUUUAUGGGUGGUAUCCCAGGGGCAUAAGCCUAGCAUGGGUCGAUCCCAGUUGAUAUGUACUGGAGGCAUCCUAAUGGUCACAGUACAGUACAGUAAUGAUUACAAAGACGAUAAGAACGAAGGUAAAGUGAUUGAAUAAAUACAAUGUACAGGUUGUCACAAGUUCUAGUAAGUGUGGUCCACUCCUAUUACGACUUAUUCACUUGUUUCUGAUUUCUAUUGAGCUCCUAUAUCAUAUGUGAUUAUUUACAGCUUUACAUACUCAGUACAUAUUUCGUACUGACGUCCCUCACGGGGGACCUGCAUUUCAUGCUGCAGGCACAGGUACCUCAACUCAUACACCGCACAAGUAGGAGCCAGGUCAUACAGCUAUUGUUGGUGAGCUCCAGUUUGCUUCGGAGCUUUCCGAGUCGGUUCCUUAUGUUUUGUUAUUGUACAUGAGUCACGUGUGGGCGGGGGUUUGUCCCGACCCUAGUUAUGUCAUGUAUAUCCUAGAGGCUUUGUAGACAUAAGGAAGGGUAAAGUCAUGGAAGUUUAUAUAGUAACGUUAUAUUUGUAUAUGUGGUGGCCCCGACGGCCAAGUAUUAUAUAUAUAUAUUUGUGCGUGUUGUGCUGAUACAGGUAAUUAGACCUUUCUAUAUGCAACGAAGUGCUGUCCAAUUUUUUUGGUGACAUGUAAGUGAAAGUACAGGUAUUUGAACGGGUUCUCCCGGGCCUUCUCGGCUUCGGGUGCCAGUCCGGCCCGAUGGGAUUUUGGGGCGUGACAAAAGUGGUAUCAGAGAGGUUCGUCCUAGUGAGUCUACAAAGCCGUGUCUACGUAGGGUCUUGUUUAUCGGUGUGUUGUGCACCACAUCUAUAAACAGGAGGCUAUGGACAUUUAGGAAUUGUUUCUUUUCUUCAUGUCUUAGAUCGUGCGAUAGAGCUUAUAUUGUAUAUGAAGUCAUAGUUGACCACUGAAUCAGUUUGUUUCUCUUAUUAUAGUAAUGAUGCCGGUUACCAGAAGCAAGAAUACCGGUAAGCAAGUAGAUGUGGCUGCCGGAGAGGGGACUAGUAAGUCACCCACUAUACCAGCUAAUCAAAGUGAGGCUCCAGCUGAGCAUGCAUCAGAAACUUCCUCCAGUCCGGAAGAAAUAAGGGGGAGGAGAACUAUAUCCGCAGAGCCACCUAUUAAUGUUGUUGAUCAAGAUCUUAGAAAUGCAGUGCAACUUUUGACUCGUAUAGUUGCUGGGCAAGCUCAAGGGCAAGCCAUUCCUACUGCAGGUCCUAGUGGUAUAGAUAGGGCGGCUAGCCUUCGAACACAGGAUUUUCUUAAGAUGGAUCCUCCCACUUUUACUGGAUCAGAUCUUAACGAGGACCCACAGGACUUUAUCGAUCAAAUUCAAAGGGCCUUGGAUGUUAUGCAUGUAACGGGUAGAGAGACAGUGGAGUUAGCGGCGUAUAGAUUUAAAGGGGAGGCUAUAUAUUGGUAUGAGGACUGGAAACGAUCUAGGGGUAUUGAUGCACCCCCAGCUACUUGGAAGGAGUUCAAAGAGGCAUUUCUUGAUCAUUAUCUUCCAUUCGAGAUUCGUCAGGCCCGUGCAGAUCAGUUUUUAAAUCUUCGUCAGGGGAAUAUGAGCGUGAGGGAGUACAGUCUUCGAUUUAAUUCCUUGUCGAGAUAUGCUCCUAAUGUUGUAGCUACUAUGGUUGACAGAGUUCAUCAAUAUGUGGAUAGGCUAGAUCCAUAUCUGGUUAGAGAUUGUACUAUUGCUGCUUUGAACAAAGAUAUGGACAUAGCGAGAAUCCAAGCUUUUGCACAAAAAAUGGAAGAUCAGAGGCAGAGGAGAAGAACACAGGAAUCAGAAAGAGGAUAUUCCAAGAGGGCCAGAUCUACAGGGCAGUUCAUGGCAUUCGAAAGAGGGUUCAGACCACAGUUUUCUGCUAGACCACCUAGGCCAUUAUCCUCUUAUUCUACAGCUAGUGCCCCACCACAGUUCCAAGGGUUCAGAGGAAAUCAAUUUGGGCACAGAAGUGAGAGUCAGAGUUCGCGGACAGUGGGGUACCAAGGUCAAGGGAAUAUGAGCCAAUCAAGACCUCCUCGAGAGCCAUGCAAUAAAUGUGGAAGGUAUCAUUUGGGCGCAUGUCGGCUGGGGACCAAUGUUUGCUUUUGGUGCGGUAUGUCGGGGCAUAUGAUGAGGGAAUGCCCACGAAGGGACAUAGGGGGUAUGGCACGACCUACGGGGUCAUUUGUUGCAUCAUCAUCAUCGAUGCCUUAUUCAGGAAGGGGUGCACAGCCAAUGGGUCGUGUUAGAGGUGAUAGAGGAGCCACGAGUUCUAGCGGGGCUCAAAAUCGUACGUAUGCUCUAGCAGAUCGACAGAAUUUAGAGGCUUCUCCAGAUGUGGUUACGGGUAUGUUGGCUAUAUUUUCAUUCAAUUUAUAUGCCUUAAUUGAUCCCGGUUCUACAUUAUCUUAUGUUACUCCAUUGGUUGCUGGAAAGUUCGAAAGAAUACCCGAACUGUUAGUUAAGCCAUUUGAAGUGUCCACACCGGUCGGGGAAUCUAUUAUAGCUAGAAGGGUUUAUCGAAACUGCAUAGUAACUGUUUGUGGUCGUGAUACGAUGGCUGAUCUUGUGGAGUUAGAAAUGGUAGAUUUUGAUGUUAUAAUGGGUAUGGACUGGUUGGCGUCUUGUUAUGCCACAAUUGAUUGCUGCACGAAAAAGGUAUAUUUCCAUUUUCCAAAUGAAUCAGUCCUUGAAUGGAAAGGUGAAAUUAGCGUGCCAAGAGGUAGAUUUAUUUCUUAUUUUAAGGCGAGAAGAAUGAUUUCCAAGGGAUAUAUAUAUCAUUUAGUUAGAGUAAGGGAUACAGAAGCGGAGCCACCAACUCUUCACGCUGUUCCGGUGGUAAAUGAAUUUUCUGAUGUAUUUCCUGAAGAUCUUCCAGGUUUGCCUCCUGAACGAGAAGUAGAGUUUGGUAUUGAUGUAAUACCAGGCACCCAACCAAUCUCCAUUCCUCCGUAUAGAAUGGCCCCAGCAGAAUUACGAGAAUUGAAAGAGCAAUUGAAAGAUUUGCUAGAAAAGGGGUUCAUUAGGCCUAGUAUUUCCCCUUGGGGAGCACCAGUGUUAUUUGUACGCAAAAAGGAUGGCUCGCUGAGGAUGUGUAUUGAUUAUCGGCAAUUGAAUAAGGUGACUAUUAAGAAUAAAUAUCCUCUCCCAAGAAUUGAUGAUUUAUUUGAUCAGUUACAGGGCGCCAAGUGCUUUUCUAAGAUUGAUUUGAGGUCAGGUUACCACCAAGUGAGGGUCAAAGAAAAAGAUAUACCCAAAACAGCUUUCCGAACAAGGUAUGGUCAUUAUGAGUUUCUAGUUAUGUCAUUUGGGCUAACAAAUGCACCCGCAGCUUUUAUGGAUUUGAUGAAUAGGGUUUUUAAGCCAUUCCUGGAUGUAUUUGUGAUAGUUUUUAUAGAUGAUAUUCUAGUUUAUUCUAGAUCAGAAGAGGACCAUGCCAAUCACUUACGACAGGCAUUGCAGACUCUUCGUGAUUGUAAGCUUUAUGCAAAGUUCUCUAAAUGUGAGUUUUGGUUAAAGUCGGUGGCAUUUUUGGGUCAUAUUGUAUCUAGUGAAGGGAUAAAGGUUGAUGCUCAAAAGAUAGAGGCUGUGAAGAACUGGCCAAGGCCCACAACGCCUACGGAGAUUCGUAGUUUUCUUGGGUUGGCCGGUUAUUAUAGAAGGUUUGUCAAAGACUUUUCUUCCAUUUCAGCACCCUUAACCAAGCUAACCCAUAAAGCAUCCAAAUUCCAAUGGAAUGAUGCCUGUGAGAAGAGUUUUCAAGAUUUAAAGAACAAGUUGAUUUCUACACCCGUGUUGGUACUACCAGAAGGCACCGAAGGGUAUACAGUGUAUUGUGAUGCUUCCAGAAUUGGUUUAGGAUGUGUAUUGAUGCAGCAUGGUAAGGUAAUAGCAUAUGCUUCUAGACAAUUACGGCCACAUGAGAAAAAUUAUCCUACACACGAUCUUGAGCUGGCAGCGGUUAUUUUUGCUUUAAAGAUAUGGCGCCACUACUUAUAUGGGGUUCACGUUGAUAUAUAUACUGACCAUAAGAGCUUGCAAUAUAUUUUUAAUCAGAAGGAUCUAAAUUUAAGGCAGCGGAGAUGGCUUGAACUAUUAAAGGACUAUGAUGUUGAUAUCUUGUACCAUCCAGGGAAAGCAAAUGUGGUAGCUGAUGCGUUAAGUCGUAAGGCUAUGAUGGCGCCUAUAGAAAGGCAAGGGAUGGUUAAAGAUCUUCACCAGUUAGCUAGUUUGGGAGUUCGCCUUCUUGAAACUCCGAAUAAAGAGCUUAUCGUACAUAAUGCUGCGGAAUCUUCAUUAGUAGCUGAAGUGAAAGAGAAGCAAUAUGCAGAUCCUAUUUUAUUACAUCUUAAGGAGAACGUUCAGAGUGGUGCGACCAAGGCAUUUGAGCUUACGCGAGAAGGAGUACUUCAGUGCCAAAACCGAUUGUGUGUGCCGGAUAUAGACGGGCUAAGAAAGAAGAUUAUGACAGAGGCACAUUUUUCAAGGUAUUCCAUUCAUCCAGGAUCAACCAAAAUGUAUCAAGAUUUGAAAGAUAUGUAUUGGUGGAAUGACAUGAAGAAGAGCAUUGCAGAAUUUGUAGCUGAAUGUCCAAAUUGUCAAAGAGUUAAAGUUGAGCACCAAAAACCCGGAGGCUAUAUGCAAUGCAUAGAUCUUCCAAUUUGGAAGUGGGACAUGAUCAACAUGGAUUUUGUUACAGGUUUGCCUCGUACAGCUCGAAAAUUUGAUUCUAUAUGGGUGAUUGUGGAUAGGCUUACUAAAUCCGCACAUUUCUUACCCGUUAAGACCACUUACACAGUUGAAGAAUAUUCGAAGCUGUAUGUUAAAGAAAUAGUCCGAUUACAUGGAGUGCCAACUUCUAUUAUAUCGGAUCGGGGAACUCAAUUUACUGCAAACUUUUGGAAGUCUUUCCAACGGGGUUUGGGAACACAAGUGAAUCUGAGUACAGCUUUUCACCCUCAGACGGAUGGACAAGCAGAGCGCACCAUUCAAACACUUGAAGAUAUGCUACGAGCAUGUGUUAUAGAUUUUAAAGGCAGCUGGGAUGAUCAUUUACCUCUUAUUGAGUUUGCCUACAAUAAUAGCUAUCAUUCAAGUAUCAAAAUGGCACCAUAUGAAGCUUUAUAUGGGAGAAAGUGUAGAUCACCAAUAGGAUGGUUCGAAGCGGGUGAAACUCUUAUGUUCGGACCGGAUCUUGUGUAUCAAGCCAUAGAAAAAGUCAAGGUGAUACAACAACGGCUAAAAACAGCCCAAAGUCGUCAUAAAUCAUAUGCAGAUAUUCGGAGAAGAGGGCUGGAAUUCUCUAUUGGAGAUUGGGUAUUUUUAAAGGUAUCACCAAUGAAAGGGGUUAUGAGAUUUGGUAAAAAAGGGAAACUAAGCCCACGUUACAUAGGGCCAUAUAAGAUUACCAAGAGGGUCGGACAAGUUGCAUAUGAAUUAGAGCUACCCCAGGAACUUUCAAUGGUUCAUCCAGUGUUUCAUGUGUCAAUGCUUCGAAAAUGCAUAGGUGACCCCUCUCGUAUCACUCCUAUAGAAGAUGUACAGGUCACAGAGGAUCUUACUUAUGAAGAGGUACCGGUUGCUAUUCUAGAUCGCCAAGUUAAAAAGUUAAGGAACAAAGAAAUGGCAUCAGUAAAGGUACUUUGGAGAAAUCAACAAAGGGAAGAGAUUACAUGGGAAGCUGAGGAAGCAAUGAAAUCUAAGUACCCUCAUUUGUUCAAAGAUGAAGAGGAAGUUCAAGAAACGGAGUUAGAACAUUAACAAGUAAGUUUUUGUUUAUAUAUGCAUAGUAUUUAUGUGAUGAUGUGAAUGUUAAUGGUGGACUUGAACUUGUUUCGGCUAAAUAACUACAUUCACAUUCGAGGACGAAUGUCCUUAAGGGGGGAAGGAUGUAACACCCCGUACUUAAUUACGUGCAUUAGUCAUUGUUAUAUGUGUUGGGGUAUAUGUAUUGAUCCUAAGUUAGGUAUAUAUGAGUUUAAGUAUGAGUAUUGAUUAUUUUGAGAUGGUUUCAAGUGUAUAGUUUGAUUAUAGGUGUAUAGGAAUCGACUUUAUUUAUAUCGGAAUUUUCCCGUCGAUGGUUCCAUACGAAGGUUAUUGAAUAAGCUUUCCAACGAUAUAAAGAUUUCCAAAAACGGAUAAGUUUCGGAUAUAAGCGAGCUCGUUCGAAACUUUAAAACGGUGGCCGGGAUGUGAACAGUAAAAUGUGCAGGAAACUACUGAGGCCUGCCAGUUUUUUGGGUCAACUUUGAACGAUCAUAACUCCCUCAAUAUAAUGAACUGGUUGAGCUACCAUAUAUCAAAAGAAAGAUCUUUGAGUCUUCUUUCCAAUGAAAUUGGUUUCAUCCAAAUCCAACAUCUGAGUAAGGAGUUAUACUCGUUUUACUUCAGCCUCUCAAAACAGAUUUUUAGGGUCAACUUCAAACGAUCAUAACUACUUGUACAGGACGAACUGGGUGGAUUAAUUUAUAUUAAAUGAAAUACCUUUGAAUUAUCUUUCUAACGAUACCAAUUUCACCCAAAUCCGAUAUCGGAGCAAAGAGUUAUGGCCGAUUUACUUUAGCCUAUCAAAACAGUCCACCAUGGACAGAUUCGGAUUUACUUAAAUUUUUAAGGGCAAUAUGGUCAUUUUCCAUCACCUCUUGAACGAAAAUUGGUCAUUAUAUACAUAUACUUAGCCUCAUAUCCAUUAUUUAUCAUCCAUUAUUGAAAACUAAGAAACCCUAGCCAAAUUUCAACUCCAAUUAUCUUGUGAUUCAACCGUAGAAAAUCCAAAUUGAUUCCGUAGUUGUGUUCACCGUCUCAAGGGCUUCGAGAAGCACCCCUUAUUUGUGCCAACAGGACUUCGAAAUCAAAAGGGCCAUUUUUUUGGUAAGGAUGUAAAUUAUGUUGGUGUUAUUUAUAUGGAUAUGUAUAUAUAUAUAUGCAUGUGAGCAUAAGAAGUAUGUUAUUUGAUUGUUGUUGAAAGAUGAUUGGAAAUGAUGUUGGAUUAUUCUUGUGCAUGGUUGGAUUAUGUUAAAUUGUGAAGGAAUUUGGGGUGAUGAUGUGGUAUUGAUGAUGUGGUAUUGAAAUGAUGAUUAUAUAUAUAUACACACAUAAACCUAUUGUUCAAGUUGGUUUUUGGAAUGUUUUGCAAAUAUUGGUAGUAUGGAAUUAUGGAAGAGAAUUGUGGUGUUGGGUUGCUAAUACUAGAUGCCAAACAUUUCAUUGUAGAUAAGUGAUUUGUAAAGGCGGGAAGUUGUGUUGAAUUGGUAUCCGAAUCUACAACGAGGUAUGUAAAGCAUACUCUAACAAUGUUCUUUGGCAUGAAAACACCAAUGUUCCAUCAAGUAAGAUUCCGAGGUUGUCCAAAAACAUGUAUUGUUCUACGUUACCAACGAAGUUGUUUCCAUUCUAUAAAGUGUCAAAAUGUUUCAUUGAUAUACCAAAAGGCUCUUAUUUCAUUGUUGUGAUAUUGAUGAUUCUGAAACACAUUGUUGAUGUACCAAUGAGUCUUUAUUACAUCGUUAUUGUAUAGAAGGUCUAUUACUUGGUUCCUAUUGAUGUAUCAUUGUUUCAAAGUAUCAAAAAUGUGGUGGCGACCGAAAUAACAAUCUCAAAGAUUAAUUGAACUAAGUGAUGGAAGUUCUCUCUUAUCGGGUGGUAUCCCAGGGGCAUAAGCCUAGCAUGGGUCGAUCCCUAUUUAUGUGUUUAUGGGUGGUAUCCCAGGGGCAUAAGCCUAGCAUGGGUCGAUCCCAGUUGAUAUGUACUGGAGGCAUCCUAAUGGUCACAGUACAGUACAGUAAUGAUUACAAAGACGAUAAGAACGAAGGUAAAGUGAUUGAAUAAAUACAAUGUACAGGUUGUCACAAGUUCUAGUAAGUGUGGUCCACUCCUAUUACGACUUAUUCACUUGUUUCUGAUUUCUAUUGAGCUCCUAUAUCAUAUGUGAUUAUUUACAGCUUUACAUACUCAGUACAUAUUUCGUACUGACGUCCCUCACGGGGGACCUGCAUUUCACGCUGCAGGCACAGGUACCUCAGCUCAUACACCGCACAAGUAGGAGCCAGGUCAUACAGCUAUUGUUGGUGAGCUCCAGUUUGCUUCGGAGCUUUCCGAGUCGGUUCCUUAUGUUUUGUUAUUGUACAUGAGUCAUGUCUGGGCGGGGGUUUGUCCCGACCCUAGUUAUGUCAUGUAUAUCCUAGAGGCUUUGUAGACAUAAGGAAGGGUAAAGUCAUGGAAGUUUAUAUAGUGAUGUUAUAUCUGUAUAUGUGGUGACCCCGACGGCCAAGUAUUAUAUAUAUAUAUAUUUGCGCGUGUUGUGCUGAUACAGGUAAUUAGAUCCUUCUAUAUGCAACGAAGUGCUGUCCAAUUUUUGGUGACAUGUAAGUGAAAGUACAGGUAUUUGAACGGGUUCUCCCGGGCCUUCUCGGCUUCGGGUGCCAGUCCGGCCCGAUGGGAUUUUGGGGCGUGACAAUCACCACCUCCUCUAUUGCUAUUUUGGUGAAUGGGAAAAGAACAAACUUCUUUAACCCUUCUAGGGGCAUCAGGUAGAAGAACAAACUUCUUUAACCCUUCUCCCCAUACAUUUUCAUCAUGUGUAUGGAAAGACUUUCAAGAGGUAUAGAAGCUGAGGUCGGGAGAGAAAAUUGGACCCCCAUUAGCAUCUCCCCCAAAGGUCCCAAACUUUCUCACCUAUUUUUUGCAGAUGACCUCACACUCCUUGCCAGAGCAGAUACUAGAAAUUGUCAAACCAUUGCUAGAAUUCUCCAAAACUUCUCUACUAUCUCUGGACAAACAAUCAAUAAUCAGAAAUCUAGGGUUAUCUGCUCUGCAAAUUGCACUCCCCAAGUGGUGAAUCAAUGUACUCAAGCCCUUAACAUCCAGCCUAGCCAACACUUUGGAAAUUAUCUUGGCUACCCCAUCUUCUCAGGCAAGCCUAAGAAUAGUGACUUUCAGUUCAUUAUAGACAACAUGAAUUCUAGGCUUACAGGCUGGAAAACCAAAUUCUUGAACAUGGCUGGCAGGUCUGUCUUAGCCAAGUCCACCCUUAGUACGAUGCCUACCCACCUCAUGCACUACAUCAAGCUCCGCAACAGAAUUACUCAAACAAUCAAUAAGAUCCAAAGAGACUUUGUUUGGGGUAGUAGCAAUAAGAAAAGGAAGCUCCACCUCCUUAACUAGGAUACUUUGACUGUUGAUAAGAAAUCUGGGGGCCUGGGCCUCUGCAAAAGCAAACUCAGAAAUAGAGCUCUCCACGCUGGUUUGGCAUGGAGACUGUUCCAUCAACUCACUAGUCUGUGGGGCCAAACUCUUCUUGCCAAGUACUACGACCUUAAUAGAUAAGUGCCCAGCAAACCCCCCUCAUCUAGAACCUGAAAAAACAUUAGAAGGGGUUGGAAAGACUAUUACUUGGGCAUUAGAUGGAGAAUAGGCAAGGGAGACAAGGUAAAUUUUUACCAAGACUCCUAGAUACCCCAAUUUCAAAGCCUUUCCAAAAUCCUUCAUGGUCCCUUAAACAAGCAAGACCACAAUACCACUGUCAAGGGUAUCCUUAUAGGGGGAACUUGGGACUUCAGUAAAUUCUUCUUUGAAAUUCCCAACACCAUUCAGAAUAUCAUCCUCAGCCACCAAGUUACCCUGAAAGGAAACAUUGAUGAUAAGGUUAUUUGGAAUCUCAGCACUACUAGAAACUUCACCACUGGUACCAUGUACUUAUGUCUUAACACCCAAAAUAACAGUACCACUAUAGAUACGAACUUCUCCCCUAUCUGGAAAGCAGAAGCCCCCCAAAAACUCAAAAUGCUCCUGUGACUUCUCUUGCACAAAAGACUCCCUACUAAUGCCUACCUUCACCAUAGUGGCAUCAAUGUCCCUCCCCUAUGCCACUUCUGCAAUCACAACAAUGAAGAUACAAACCAUAUAUUUUUUCAUUGCAGGAGUGCCACUUUUUUCUGGCAAAACAUUGUUAACAAAAGUACAUACAAGCCACCCCUUCCUGAGAAUACCAUCAAUGAUUCCAAUUGGCACAUAUGGUGGGGGAAAAUGCACUCCAAACCAUUCAAAUCUAGGCUAACACGGGGCACUCUCUUACCCCAUUGCCUUAGGGAAAUCUGGCUCAAUAGGAAUAAUAACCUAUUCAACAACAAUCACACUCUCACUAAUGCAAAAAAUGCCAUUGCAAAUGCCAUGAAAUUUGUAUUGCUGAGCAAUUCAGCCUCAAGCCACACGAACUCACAUCAUACCAUCAGCAUUAGAUGGAAUCCCCCGUAACUAGGGACCAUUAAUCUUAACACUGAUGGUUCCACCAAGGGAAACCCUGGACAUGGAGGUUUGGGUGGGGUCUUCAAAGACCACACAGGAAACUGGAUACUGUGCUUCUACCAGCACCUCCCCCACACUAACCUGAUAAUAGCUGAACUCCAAUCCAUCCAAUGGGGGCUCCGGCUCGCCAAAGACCACAAUAUCAGUAACUUUGAAAUUGAAUCUGAUUCACUAGCUGCUAUUGAAACCUUCAAAAAGAUCACCCUAACUAACUCUUUUGUUACUCCUAUGGACGAAAAGAGCGUUAACCCUCCCCCUCCCCACUAAACUCAAUACAACUGCUACUCUUAUUGACCAAAAAAAAAAGUUUUGUAUCUAAUUUACUUUUUUUUAUGUGUCAAGCAGUAUUCAAAAAAGUAUUCAACUGAUUUCUAGUUUUAAACUAAAUUGAUGAAGGAUAUAAACGAUAUAAUUUGAGUAUGUAAACUAUAUUUUUCAACUAUAUAGUUAUGAGCAACACAGAUCCUACCAUUAAAAAUAUGUAACACAUAUAUUCAAAAAAUCUAAGAUAAUAUUAUAAUGCAAUAAAAUAAAUUAAACUAUUAUUAUAUCAACAUUUGAAAAGAUAACAACCAUUUUUCUUUGCAUUGUUUAAAAGCUAAUCCCAAAAAUAUUAUCUAAAAAUAUUAGACAAAAAUUAAAGUAAAAAAAGGAAACGAAGCAUGGAUUAUGAAUACUGUCUUUCCCAAUCAAAUUAUUAUUUUCGAAGUAAAGAAAAUAUUGUAUUUUAAUAAAAUUUUGAUUUUAAAAGAAAAAAGAAAUAUAAAUAGGGUAUUUAUGAGAAAAAAUCAGUCGAUAAUGAAGCACCGAAAUAAAACGAGUCAACAAAAUUAAAGAAAUUUGAGAGAUUGAUAUUUAUUACAAAUGGAUUUUAUGAAACAAGAUUAUCCAAUUCUUUAUUAACUGCCAACUAUUUUUUUUAUAUGAAUUUUUUUUCCUUAUUUGUAAUUUUUUUUAAAAAACAUUUUUUUUUCUUUUUUUGUGUAAAAAUUUAUUAUAAGUUGUGAUCUAAAAAUUUUCUAAAAAUUACACAAGCCCACAACUUAAGUUUCACUUAUUACAAAAAAUCUCAUUUCUCUAAAUAUAUUACAAAAAUUUUAUUUUUCUCUAAAAAUACAUAUAUAUAGUUAUGUAUAUGAAUCGACUUUGUUAUGUAUAUGUCGGCCUUGUAUUUAUAUGUCGGUCUUGUCAUACUUGUGUAUGAAUCGGCCUUUUAUGUAUUUGUCGGCCUUGUCAUAUACAAAGGUUUCUAUGUAUAUAUCGUCCUUGUUAUGUAUAUGAAUCGGGAGGGAGAGUAAAGUAAUUAAGAAAGUGGGAUAAAAUGUAAAUAACUCUAAUGAGGUUAGGAUUUAUGUUAUUUUUACAAUUUUUUUUACCAUAUCUUAUAUUAAACCAUCUAAGAUGUUUAGUUACAUUUUUAUGUGCAGAAAAAUGAGCUGAAGCCCAAUGGAUGUAUGUAAUCAUGCCAUCAGUUAUCAUUUUCAUUUUGUCAAAACACAAUUUUUCCCCUAUUGAUAAUAUAUAUAUAUAUCAUGGAGGUAUCAAGUAUCAAUUGCUAGACAAUAUGGCAUGUCAUAAGACGAAUCAAACAUACUUACAUUACACUCAGGGGUGGAGAUCUUGACUGAAGAAUCAAAUAUAUAUUUGGUUUGUUCGUAUGUUAUUUCUGAACCCCUUACUAAAAUCCUGGCUCCGCCACCAAUUACACUUCAUAAAUAGAAUAUACAAAUUUAUUUUCAUACAUCUUCAAUAAGUUUUUUUGUAGAAUACUUAAGACCUAUUACCACAAACAUUGUCGAUCUAACAUUGAAUGGAGUUAUAUUUGGGUUUGUUAACUCUAAACACUUCAGUCAAUUAGUUUACAAAAUAUAUACAAAAUGUAUAUCAUAUGUAUAUUUCGAUUAAACUGACAAACCAAUGGGCUAAACUAUAUAUAUCCGUAACCCCUUCCAUCCCUUUUUAGUUUGACAUAUUAUAUUUUACACGAUAAUUAAACAAUGUUAAUGAUAAAUUUAAUAAUUUAUCCUUUAUUCAUAUUAAUGAUAUUCAUUAGAUAUAAAACUAGACAUUGAAAUUAUAAUUAUCUAUAUUUAAUAUAUAUUAUUAAUUAUAGAGUUAAAAUAGAAAAGAAUUAAUUAAUUUCAUUCUAAUUCAACUAAAAUGUUAUGGAGGGAGUAACUUAUCACUGGUCCAUAGGGGUGGCAUGGUAUGGUAUAUACCAAACCAAAAUUUUUGAUACCUUGAUUUUUGUAUUAUGGUAUUUGAUAUGGUAUAUGGUAUACAUUUUAAUUUUUUUUGGUAUAUGAUACGGUAUUCAUAAAUGACAUACCGAAAUACCGAAUACCGUACCGAAGUAUAUAGUCAUAUAGAUAUUGCGCUUAUUUUCGUGUCUCUCUUAUUUCUAUUACUAUUGUUUCUUAUUUCUUAUUUUCGGUUAUGCCACUCAUCCUGCUUCAUGUAUUACUAUGAAUUUAUGACCUUAUUAACUAUUUUGUCUCUUGAGCCGAGAGUCUAUCGGAAACAUCCUCUCUACUUCUUCGGAGGCAACGGUAUGGACUGCGUACAUUCUACCCCCAGAUAUAGAGGUAUCAUUGAACGACAUGAUAUAGCUGUGCCACCAUAUGUAAAUAAAUAACCCAUCUGAGACCGAGCCUUAUGUGGAUCAGACCAGUAUCCUGCAUCUGCAUAACCAAUCAUUUCUGACUUGAUUUCAUUUGAAUAAAAUAAUUCCAAGUCAAUGGUUCCCCGAAUAUAUCCGUGUAUAUGCUUGACACCAUUCCAAUGUCUUUUAGUUGGGGGGGAGUUGAAUCUUACCAAUAAACUUACCGCAAAACAAAUAUCUGGUUGAGUAUUAUUGGCAAGAUACAUUAGGUAACACCCCGAGUCUGUACUCCGGAUUCUAUACAAUGCUCAUAAUCCCGAAGGACUACAAGCUAACCCAUGACUGGUGUCUACUGCAAUAACUAAGUAAUAAUACGUUAUAAGGCGGAAUAAUGGGCUGAAAUGCCAUAAGGUUCAAAUAACUGAAAUAAAACUGAGAUAAGGUAUCUCAAUACCAAAACUGAAUAAUUAUCUGAACAACUAGUCUGAAAAGCCUCUAACUGAACUAUCUGAACUGUGGAGUUAAUGGGACAAUCCCCCAACUAACUCCAUCUACUAAAAUACUGAAUGUAAUGAGAUAAUGAAAUAAAAGAAUAUCCUCGAAUGAUGAGGACUCAUUGCUAGUCUACUGCUGCUGGCUGAAUCUGAAUCUGUCUAUGAGUGAUCGGGAACUUGAGCGUCCGAACUUAUGGUAUAAAACACCAUAGCAUAAGAGAAAAGUAUGUGUCAAUACGUGUGAAUGUACUGGUAUGCAAAGUGAGAUAGGCUGAAUGCAAAGGUUCAUAUGCGUGAACUAUAACUAACUAAGUAAUAUGAACAUAGUUGAGUGAGAAAUACAUGCAUGAAUACAGGAGCUGUAACUGAAGUCAUAAUAAUACUGGAUACUGAGUUUACUGGUAACAUGGAUUACUGAUAACUGAUAUACUGUUACUGAGUGACUAUUUCUGAUAGUCCUGAUUUUGAUGGAACUAGCUGAGUUCCUUACUGAGCUGAGUGACUGUAUCUGACAGUCCUGAUUCUGAUGGAACUAGCUAACUUUCGUACUGAGCCGCGUGACUAUAUCUGACAGUCCUGAAAUCUGUAGAACUAUCUGAGUUAUUUACUGAUGACUGAGACUGAGAAUGUGGGAGGUAAUCAUCUAAUUGAUAUCCCCCUUUCUGAACUAUUUGGGGUCCAACCUGUAACCUCAGUUGGAAGGGUGUCAGUACUGUGCCACGGGUAAAGACAAGCUGUGAGUUAAUCCUCUCCGACAGAGAGCUCUUCCGUCAACCCCUCGUUGGUAGGAGAACUGGAAUGAGAUGUAUUAACCCUAGACUCGUAGGGUUAUAUCUCAACCUAUACUGGCAACAUAGUUCUGGAACGCAAGGAUUGCUUUUAAGGAUCACACCCUCUGCUGGCGGGUGAGCCCCCAUCCUUGGGUUCACUCGGUGCUAAAUUCUACUCCCAACUGAAUAGACACUGGACUAAUUUCCUAGUUUAUACUAGGCUGGACUGAUCUAUUACUGAUUGUACUAAUUAACUGAACUGAACUGAGUUUACUGAGUUUCGUUGACUGACGGAAUACUACUGAGUUCUGUUAGCUGACUGAAAUCACUGAGGACUGAACUGAAUACUGAAUGAGACUGGAUUGAUACUGAGUUUACUAAGUUUUCCUGAGUUCUGUAACUGAACUAAAGUACUACUGAUCGUGACAUGACUGAGACUGUCCUGUAACUGACAUUGGCUCUAGGCACACAACUAAAUUAACGAGUAUUAAAUACCCCAGGACUCGAUAGCAUAAAAAUAAUAAGACAUGACAAUUCUUGAAUACUUGACAAUAGUCAACAACUCACAAUACAAUGUAUGAGGCAUUUCAUCAAUCAUUUGAAAGAUGAACUUGCACAUGAAUAGGAAUACAUGCUAACACAUCACAAUUUCAUUAAACAAAUCUCAUGAGAAUUCCAUCAAACACAUACAAGGUAUAACUUUAGCAUGGAAGACAUUAUGAACAUGUGGGUAUAGCAUAAGUCCAUCAUUUAGAUCACCAAAGGAUCAUAAAAUCACCAUAAUCUCAAUUUAGCAUUUUAUCAAACACAUGGUAGGCGUAGCUUCAUACUUGGGCAUGAACAACAAUGCUAAUACAUCAUAACUUCAUAAUUCAAGGGUUUCAAUAUAAGAGAAUCAAAAUUCAACUUACAUGCUAUCAUAAUAUCAAGAAAUACGUAAAGAUUUCAACCUGGAACACAUACCACAACAUCAACAUGAUUAUAUUCAAACCCACAACAUAGAAAUCAAAAUUCAUGUUUUUAAAGAGAAGUUUCUUGAACUCCAAGGGCGGAAAGGACCCUUGGAUGAACACUUUACACACAUUUCUUGAAAUUAAUGGUGGAAAUCUUGAGUUCUUGAUUUGAAAUUUAAAAAUCAUAAGGCUUGUUCUUGAGAUAAAUUGAGAAAGAAUGAGUUUAUUUGCUUUCUAGGGUAUUAAAUUUCGUGUUUUAGGGGUGAGGGUCGAGGUAAAAAGACCCAAAUAUCCUCAAGAACGCGAUCUUUUAUGACUAAAACUGAGUUACUGACGCACAGGUCGAUGCGGCACGGCGAUAGCAUCGACACAAUAGUCGACGCAUCGCACCAAGAUCGCGCCGACUCACUAGAAUUUGACACUAGUGCUGGGGAAAAUAUUAACCAAUGCGAUAGGCGACGCGGCGCGCCAAGAUCACGUUGGUUCACUGUUUUGGAAUUCCAAAGGAGCUUCAAACAAAGUUUGAAAAAUCCAGAACUUGUCCGAAAACACCUAUUGACCUUCCUGAUCAUGAAUUAACUAAAAUAUAGACAUUUAAAGGACAUUAAGGUCGCAAAAAUGAGAUUGCCAACUUUCGAAGGCUAAAAUAAACUAAGUCUGAAUACUUAGCUAGAAUUUUCUAAGUACUAAAAUAAACUAAGUCUGAAUACUUAGCUAGAAUUUUCUAAGUCUGGGACCCCUUAACAAGCUUAAAGGACCGAACUAAGCUAGAAAUUUUGUGGGGUCUUACACAUUAGUGCCCCGAUUGCACUAAGAUAUGGAGUUUCAUCACCAAGAAGCUUUUCGUUAUUUUCUUGAGGUCGAAAUGGAUCUUUGUUUAUAUCAAUCGAUCUCACAACCAUUGGGGUACUCAAUGGAUGUGAUUUAUCCAUGUAAAAUCUCUUUAAACUUCUUUCAGUGUAUGUUGAUUGAUGGACAAAAAUUUCAUUUGUGAAAUGCUUAAUCUGUAGGUCGAGACAAAAUUUUGUUUUUCCCAGAUCUUUCAUUUCAAAUUCUUUCUUCAAACACUCAACAACUUUUGAAAGAUUUUUGGGAGUACCAAUGAUAUUCAAGUCAUCAACAUAAACAAUUAUUAUAGCAAAUUCAGAUCCAGACCUUCUUAUAAAAAUAUAAGGGCAAAUAAGAUCAUUUUUGUACCCUCCCUUUAGCAAAUAUUCACUAAAACAAUUAUACCACAUCCGCCAUGAUUGUUUCAAUCUAUAUAAGGAUUUUUAAAGCUUUAUAGAGCAAGUUUCUUGCAAAUUUUUUUAUAUGUUUUAGAUACUUUGAAGGCCUCUAGAAUUUUCAUAAAAAUAUUGAUAUCCAAUGAGCCAUACAAAUAGGCCGUGACAACAUCCAUUAGGUGCAUAUCAAGCUUUUCAUGAACUGCUAGAUUUAUUAUAUAUAGCUGAAGGUAAUUUCAUCCACCACAGGAGAAUAUGUCUCCGCACAGUCAAUGUCAGGCCUUUGCAAAAAACCUUGUGUCACAAGUCGUGCUUUAUAUAUUACGACUUCACCUUUUUCAUUUCACUUUCGCACAAAAAUUCAUUUGUACCUCACUGGCUUGACACCUUCAGGUGUUCGGACUAUUGAUCCAAAAAUUUUACGUUAAUAAAAGCUAUUAUCUCAUGUAUAGAAUAACAAUAUACAUAAGUGCAAUAAUUGCACUAAUACAUGGCAUUUUCAAAUCAUUUUCAUGAGAUAAAAAUUGAUCUUUCUUUAUGGCAAGCGAUCUCGCAAUCAUUGGGAUAUUCAAUGGAUCGAAUCUCUUUUAAAUCCUUUGAGGAUUUUCCUAUAACAUUUGUCGUCUAUCUAGACAUGGCAGUUAUUCGUUAUACGCAUUUAAGAUUUUCAUACAUUGCCAGAUUUAAAGAAACCUUAUUGCAUCCACCAUAGGAGAACACAUCACCAAACAAUAAUGCCAGGACUUUGCAAAUAACCUUGAGGCACAAGUCGUAUUUUAUAUCUUACGAGUUUACUUUCCGCACAAUCACCAGUUGUAUCCCCCUAACGUUAUACCUUAGUCUAUAGACUAAUUUCAAAACAUCACUUUUCAAGUGAAAAAUAAUAUACUUAAAUUGCGUAUUUCAUCUGCCCACAUUAUUUAACAGAUUUAAAUUCAAGAUCCUCGGUACCAUUUAUAAUGGUGAUCUUUACAUUAUACCAAAGAUACCGUCGACGGUUAUUUGAUAUCGAUUCCACUACGACAUAACAUAUCAAGACCGAUCUCUUCUUUUUCAUCAUUUUCAGGCACCUGAACCUUUGCCAAGGUUUUAUGAAAAGUUAUGUCAUAGUGCUUCUUAAAGCACUUGUCUCAUUAUCAUUGACCAUAUUUAUCACUUGCUCCUCUCUUUCUUCAAGGAAAUUUAUGUUUGGAACUGAUUUGUCUGUCACGCUUCAGGCGUGCCAUUGACUCUGUCCUCCAAAGACUUCUCAUUGGAGCAUUUAUAGCUGAAUUAUAGCAUAGGAUUAGACUGACAAUGAACUUGUAACAUUUUACAAAUCAUGAAUUAUCAAUUGAACUUCAAGUUCACUAUUUUUUUUAUGAGGAUCUCGAUAAUUCAUUUCAUACAUUUCAGCUUUAAUCAUAUCUCCCCUUAAUGUUAGGAAAUCCAACAUUCACCCCAACUUUAUUUGAAGAUCCAUCUUUGUGUGUGGUGGAUAUUGCACAUUCAAUAUACAUACAUAUAUAUAUAUACCAACAAUAUAGGGAAACCUUGUUGGUUUGAUGCAUACAAAUGUUGCUAUAUUUAAAUAAACUUGUCUCAUAUCAAUUUUUUUGGGGGAGAUUUGUUCUCAUAACCAAUCGUUCAGCUAUAAUUGGAGGCAUACAAUUUUCUGCUAAUCCAAUCAGUAUAUCAACUUGUAUAAUUUGAAACCAUGCUCUCUAUUUUAACAAUUUGAGCAAACAACCUUGCAAAAAUCAAAUUGCAAGUUGAUAGCAGAGCAUUUCACCAACCAUAUAUGCAUCUCAUUUAAUAGUAAAUGAACCACAUGGCAGGUGAAUGAGCCCAUAUUCACUUUGCUGCACGUUCUAAAAAUUUAAAGGACAUAAUCAUAACUUUAGCUGCUAUGAUAUUUUAUCGUGAGAACAAGCAAUAUAAGAGAAUUCUUGAAGAAUAUUUUAUUUCUUCAAUAUAAAAUCACAUGAAUUCUCAAUUAUUUUAGCAUCACAUUUGAAUCGGGAUGGUCAACCAAUCAUGCCAAUUUAUACAUUUUCUAUAAACUUUUAAUUUACUGCAGCAUGUGAUUCCGUCACCAUGCCCAUAUAUUUAUAUCAAUAAAUAGGUAGAAAACGGGUAGCCUUUUUCAUAAAUAUUUAUAACCCGUUUUGAUUGUAGUAAUAUGAAAAUACAAUUUUUUUCAUGAUUUACAGUUUCAAUAAAAAAAAAUCAAUUCCCUUGAAACUUAAAAAGUUUCUUUUGGAGACUUACUACAAUUUUAAUGACCUGAAUAAUUUCAUUCCUUCGAGUAGUAACACAUUAGCUUUUCGAGGCUAUCAAAUACAUGUGUACUAUGUCAUAUUUCAAAACACCAUUCGUAUGGUGACCAUCUCCUUUUAGGGAGAGAAAUUAUAGUCAUUAUAGUCAAAUUAUUAUAUGCAAGACCUCCUUCUUGCUUUACUUUUGCCUUUAAUAAUUUAUUUUUAUAACAUUUGACAAAGUCCUUUUUGCGUACCAUAUUUAUGCGAUCGGUAAGAAAUUCAUUCGACCACAUCAUAAUAUUCAUAUUUGGUCAUGAUCAAAACUUUUAUAGGCAAGAAUCAUUUCUUGCUUUUAUCCUUUGAUAGAUCAUGAUAAAACAUACUAUAACAUUAAUGAUCUUUUUAUAUCAAAUUAAAAAAAAAAAUCUUUUUUUUUCCUCAAACCUCCCAUAGAGGUGAGUUUUGGUAUUUAUCCAACCAUAUAUAAUCACAAUUUUAUCCAUAUAUUUUUUUUCACGUUUUGACACAUUUACUUUCAAGAAUGGCCAAGCAUUCACAUGCUUACACGAGCCACAUUCUUUUCAAGAAUUGAAUUCAUAUGUGCUUCAUAAUUUAUUUCAUAAGUUCAUUGUCAUGUUUUGACAUUUAUAUAUUUAUAGGUCCAUCUCAAUAUCACUUUGUUCACUUUUAUCCUUUUCUCUUUUGAUGGAGGAUUUGUAAAACCUAUCAAAUUAGGUUGCACAACAACCGUGUGAAACCUAUCAAAUAUAUUACACAACAACCUGUGUGUCCACUUCCUUUUAUACCAAAUUGAUAGUGAACAAAAAUUACCUUCACCUUUUAAAGGACAAUUUGGAGAACCCAUAGUGUUCUUCCUUUUAUUAUUAUCAAGGUCAUGACAAUUAUGACUUUGUUCCUUCACGUCCACAUGUACUUUUAACCACUUGUUCUUUUUCAGACUUAUAUGCACGGCUACCACAUUUAUAUCAAAGAAUGAAGGAAAUCAAUGUGGCAGGUUUUAUUAUUUUUUAUCAAAAGUACAUUUACAUCGACCAUCAUUAUCAUUAAAUAGUGCAUUGGGAUGCAGACCCAACGUUUUACCAAUAUAAAGUCGUUUAAGCCGUAAUUCAACUUUAUUGGGAAAUAUAAAGACAAUUCUUCUCUAAAUUUAUUAAUGCAAAAAAAAAAAUCAUAAUUUAAAGCUCGUACGAAGCGGAUCAGGGACAUAGCAAAUUACUAGUUACCAUUUGAUAAUAUUAACAAAAUCAAUAAACAUAACUUCCUUGUUCGGAUGAAAAAAGAGAAAUUUAGCUAGAACUUCGUGUUGAUAACGUGUUGUAUAUAAAUAUUCUGAAAUAUACUAAAACGAAAGGGGAGGGGAGAAAGACCUAUAGAUAUAAGAGAAGAUUUUAUUUUCUACUUUUGGGUAUGUUUUACGAGUGUAGCAUACCAUGCCUUUUAUAGGCAAGAGUGUGUAAAAUGUGAACUAUGUGAUUGUAGUUUCACAAACUUCAUGCUACACUAGUAUGUGUAGAAUGUGUAGUAUGUGAAUCUACAGUGUGUAGUAUAUGAACAUCCACCAAAUACAUUAUUUACAAUAUGUUUUAUAUAUAUAUAUAUAUAUAAACCAACCGCAAAGAGAUCCAAUCCUAUUAGAAAUUUAGAAUUAUGACGGAAUACAUAUAUAGGCCCCUGAACUAUUUCACUUUUUCUGUAUAGGCACCUCAAUUAAGCCAGAUACCUAUUGAACCUUUUACUCCUUCACAAAUGGUUUUAAUUGAGCCCAAUUUGCUGACGUGGCAAAAACUGUAAAAUGCGUGUAAUACACACGCUGAUGAUGUGGCAAAGUGACGAAUAAAUAAUAACACGUGGCAUUUUAACUUAAAAUAGUUAUAAAAAUAAUUUUCUAAUAUAAUUAAAUCUAUUUUUUUAAACAAAAUCAUUAAUACCCCCUUCCCCUCUCAAACCCAAUUGCACCUGCCCGAUCCUCCCUCCCCCCUAAACCCCACCUCUUCCCUUUCAAAUGUUAUUUUCUCUAUUUUUGAACAGACAAGUAAAAAAGAAAAUGAUUCUUCAUUUUUUAGCACAAACAAAUAAAAAAAAAAAAAUGGUAUCUUCUUCUUCUUUCCUUUCAAACACCUCUUUCUCCAUCUUUGAGCACAGACAAGUUAAAAAAAAAUGGUAUCUUCUUCUUUUUUCCUUCCAAACACUUCUUUCUUUUUCAAACACUUCUUUCUUCAUUUUUGAGCACAAAAAAAAGCAAAAUAAAAUAAAAUGGUAUCUUCUUUUUCUUUCACUUAUCUCUAAAAAAAAAAGUUAUUUUUUUCAUCAUUGAAGCACUUCUUUCACUUAGCUCUAGUUUUUUUUUUCUAUUUGAAAUUCAAUAGCAACGUAAGGAGAAAGAAAUUAAAAUUUUUGGUUGGUUGAAAUUCAAUCGAUGUUGAAAUGUUUUUUUCAAAUUCAUUCUUCACCAAUUCAACGAUUUUUUGGCCAUCAAUGUUCACCCUUUUUUUACUGUUCACGUUGGGUUUCUCCGAUUUGUGAUAUCAUUCACUGUCAAUUCAUGAAAAUUGGGAGAGUGUGUGUAAUUGUGUGUGUGGCGUUGUGAAGGAAUUCUUUGUAUGUAAAAAAAAAAUAAAAAAUGGUGAGUUAUGGAGAAGAAGAUAAUGCUAUUUUUUGUAUGUAAAAAAAAUAAAAAAUGGUGAGUUAUGGAGAAGAAGAUAUGCUUUUUUUUGUAUGUAAAAAAAAUGAAAAAUAAUGUGUUAUAGAGAAAAAGAUGAUGCUAUUUUUUGUACGUAAAAAAAUGAAAAAUGGUGAGUCAUGGAGAAGAAGAUGAUGUUUUUUUUUUCUUUUUAUUUCUUUAACAUAUCUUUUUUAAUUGAUUGGGUUUUUUAUAUUUAAUUUCUUUUUUAUUAAUUAUGGUUUCUCACUCUCCAUUUGGAGAGUGUGUUACACACACCACGUCAUAUCAGCGUCACGUCAGUAAUUGUGUUCAAUUGAAAUAUUUUGUGAAAGAGUAAAAAGUUCAAUAAGUACUUAGCCUAAUUGAGGUCUAUACAAAAAAAGUCAAUAGUUAAGGGAUUGUAUAUUUAUUUAGCCUACAAUUAUCUAACAAAUGGGACCCCUUUUUCUUGAAAAACAAAAAAAUUGAAGUGUAUGGUGGUUACACAGAGGGGCAGAAAUGAUUGCCAGCGGGGCCACACUCCUUCUUCAGUAGCUCCAGCAGGUCACUCGACUCAACAAAGUGUUACUUUUAGUGUCACUAGUGGGCAACGUCAAAAUAGACUGUAUGCUCUUCAGAUUCGACAUUAUUAGGAGAGUUCUCCUAAUGUGGUUAUGGAUACGUUACAAGUCUUUUACCUUUAUGUGUAUGUUUUAUUUGACCCUGGAGCUUCACUUUCUUUUGUGACUCCUUAUAUAGCAGUCAAUUUUGAUGCUAGCCCCAAUCUUUAGCAAAAUCUUUUUCAGUGUCUAUCUCGGUGGAUAAAUCUAUUAUAGUCAGAAGGGUAUAUAAAAAUUACCCAAUCAUAAUAUAAAAAAUGACUGAUUUUGAUGUUAUUCUUGGCAUGGAUUGACUCCACUCUUGCUAUGAAGAUAAUCCUACAAUUAUCUAACAAAUGGGACCCUUUUUUCUUGAAAAACAAAAAAAAUGAAUUUUACUAAAAAAAAAGAAUAUACUCCACUAUAAAAACAUAAAUCACUCCUAUAAAUUUGCACGUCCCUUCACACAUUAUAAAUAUCUACACAAACUUUACAAAGGUAUCUUUAAUCUGGGAUUGCCUUGUUGAUCAUAGCAAGAAUAUUUUUGUGUUCUUGGCAAUCAUCAACAUAGGUAAAACACUAAUACCAAAUUUUGAAAAAUAUAUAUUUUUUUGAUUAUUUGUUGUCAAUUUUAUGUUAUUUUAGAUGUCCCUUUUAUUUGAUUUUUUUUUUUCUUGUCUAUAUUCUUAGAUUUAUCCAUAUAUGUCCUAACCCUUUAAGAGCCAUUGCUUGCUUCUCUUAUUUCACUUGGCUUAGUGUGUAGUAGUGUUUCUUGAUCUAAUCCAAAAUUAAGCAUUUGGGAUUGCCUUGUAGUUUGUAAAGAUUGAAUCUUUGUUCAUAUGGGGUUGGCUAAAAUUUUUGUAAAGAUUGAAUCUUUAUAGAAGUUUUCACCUGGGGUUGGCUUAUAUUUUGUGAAGAUUGAAUCUUCAUAGGAUUUCAAUACUUGGGGUUGCUUUAUAUGUUGUAAAGAUUGAAUCUUUAUAGGAUUUUUCACUUGGGGUUGCCUUAUAUUUUGUAAAGAUUGAAUCUUUAUAGAAUUUUUUACCUGGGGUUGGGUUAUAUUUUGUGAAGAUUGAAUCUUUAUAGGAAUUUUCACCUGGGGUUGGCUUAUAUUUCGUGAAGAUUGAAUCUUUAUAGGAUUUCAUUUACUUGGGUUUGCCUUAUAUUUUGUAAAGAUUCAAUCUUUAUAGGAUCUUUUACCUGGUGUUGAUUAUAUUUUGUGAAGAGUUAUAUCUGGAUUUGGCUGUGGAGAUUGAACCUUACUGUUUUAUCAACAGUAGAUUACUUAGGUGUUGUGUGGUUUGCUGAUGGCUCGGUUGAUUCUGCCUUGCAAGGGUUCGAGUUUGUCAAAGACGUGUCUCUUGGGUUUGAUCUCCAAUGCACCUGUGAUUAUCCAACUCCCUCUUGUUCAUUUCAUAAGAAAAAAAUAUUAAGCAAAUAACACAAAACCUGAAAGUGGCGUUAGUUAUUUGAGAGUCAAUUAGUGGUGUGGGUCUUCUGAUAAACUAUAUGGUUUUGCACCAACUGGACUAGUGAUAUUUUUCAGCUUUAUCGAUGUAGCUGUUACCGACUAAAGUCCGUAGAGAGGCACAACUAAGUAAUCCCUAUCUUUGGCACUGAGAAAGGGUUAUACUUCUAGAUUCUGGCUUUAUGUAAUACUUAUAAUUGGUUCUAGUCUUUCUCCCAAACUUCUAUUUUAAUUCGUUUUGAGUUUCAGACUUUCUUUAGGUGUCUUAUUCUCCAUCUUGCUUCUUUCAUAUGCUAAUGAUGUCUUUGGAAGUAUAUAUAGUUAGUGUUGCUAGCUUUAAUGACUUGAUUUCGCCUAAGGAUUGUUUGCCAUUCUUUCUCUGUAGUUUCAGGCAAGUAGCCGUGUUACUUCAGUCGGGCGCUCGAGAAAUAUCUGCAGAUAUAAACAAUACCUCACUUCGGAGGUCUGUGAAUAUUUCUGGCUGGCUUCUGCAAUAAGCAUUGCUUAUCUGCUUUUGGUUUUAAAUGUGUUGUCCUAUUUAGUCUAGUGCGUGUUUUUAUCUUUUCUUAUAUUCAGUCAUUCUGCUUUUUGAACUAGGUUACCCAUUGGAGAAGGUGUCCAAUCCAACGUUUUCCAUUGAUUGUAAGCAAUUAUGUCCGGAUUAAAAGUACUUGCAUAUUUUGCCAAUAGUGCUUUUCUAUGCUGACGUUUACUUUGUAUGUUUUGAUGUUUCCCAGCAACCUAGAAGAAUCGACCGGCCAUUAAUCUGUUCAGUUGCAACUGAACCUCUGCCAAAAGAAGUUGAAGAAUCCAAGAUGGAAGCACCAAAGGAAAUCUUUCUGAAGGAUUACAAACAACCUGAUUACUAUUUUGACACGGUAUAUCCCUUGAUUCAUCUUCAAUCUUAGUGACGGAUUUUUGCCAAGUUUUAUGAGUCUAAAACAAAUUACUAUUUUAGGUGGAUCUGAAAUUCACACUGGGUGAGCAAAGUACUAUUGUCACUUCAAAAAUUGCUGUCAACCCGAGAGUUGAAGGUACAUCUUGUUACCCUAAAAAAAAAAAGAGAAUCAUCCACAACACUUUUUUUUUUUCCACUUUUCACUGGGUUUAUAUACUUGAAUUAAAUGAUACAUAGUUGUUGGCUGAUUGAAGCUUCUCAAAAUUUCCGAUACUUGUAUUUAUUCAAGAACUAACAAUAUGUUGCUAAUUUAUAUUGAACAGGUCAGUCUGCCCCACUUGUCCUAGAUGGGAGAGAUCUGAAGUUGCAAUCAGUAAAGAUCAAUGGCAAUCCGCUGAAGGUACCUAUAUCUAAGUCGUGCUCCUAGAAAUUUGAAGAUGUCCGUUAAUUUUACGUAGACAUGUCACAUGGUGUUACUUUUACUCAUAAAUGAUACACUAAAUGUUUUUAGGAGGAAGCUUUCCACGUGGACUCGCGCCACCUGACCCUGAAAUCCCCUCCAAGUAGCAACUUCACCUUGGAGAUUGUGACAGAAAUAUAUCCUCAGAAGAACACAUCCUUAGAGGUGAAAUAGGAGGGCAUAACUUUGACUUAUUUGCAAUUUUUUCUUGCGCUUCAAAUUUUUGUAACAUUGUGAAAUGGGUUUCUGGUUACAUUAUCUAUGUUUACUUCAGGGGCUUUACAAGUCAUCAGGGAAUUUCUGUACCCAAUGUGAGGCUGAAGGUUUCCGUAAAAUUACAUUCUAUCAGGUAUGCCGUUUUUCUUUGUUGGCCUCUAGGAUGUGAUCGGCUUUUCUUGAAAUGCUUGCUAAUGGCUAUCAUUUUUCCCAUUAGGAUCGCCCUGACAUUAUGGCAAAAUACACUUGUCGUAUUGAGGCAGACAAAUCCUUGUACCCUGUAUUGUUGUCAAAUGGAAACCUUACAGAGCAAGGAGAUCUUGAGGUACAUUUGGAUCUUUCUGUAUUAUGUGUUGAAAGUUGUUUUAUUGUAACCCUCAUGCAACUCAUAAAAUUAUUAUUCUCAUUUUUUUUUUUCAGGGGGGGAAACAUUUUACUGUUUGGGUGGAUCCUUUCAAGAAACCCAGCUAUCUUUUUGCAUUGGUUGCUGGUCAGUUGAAGAGCAGAGAUGACACAUUUACGACCUGUUCAGGCCGUAAGGUCUCCCUUAGAAUCUGGACCCCUGCUCAAGAUCUGCCUAAGACAGAACAUGCCAUGUAUUCUCUCAAGGCAGCUAUGAAGUGGGAUGAAGAUGUGAGAUUUCAAUUUCUUUAUAAACCUCAAGUUAGUUAUUUUCGUUGUUUUAUGGUCUUAUGGCAAUAUCUUUGUUAACAUUUUCAAACAGGUUUUCGGGCGGGAGUAUGACCUGGAUCUUUUUAAUAUUGUCGCUGUUCCUGAUUUUAACAUGUUAGUUCUCUGUUUUCUUCACUUCGCCAUUUUUAUUCUUCGACAUUUUUCUUUUCUUCUCAUUGUUUGUCCACUCCCCUAUUUUUUUCUAUGGAUAAUAAUGUGUUUUCCCAUUUCAUUGCAGGGGAGCGAUGGAAAACAAGAGCUUGAAUGUAUGAUAUUUGAGAUGUUAUUGCAUUAUACUGUUCUAUUCAUUACUUCUUCUUAACUAUCACCUAAUUGUUUGACUUUGUUUUCAACAGAUAUUCAAUUCCAAGCUUGUCCUGGCGUCCCCAGAAACCGCAACAGAUGCUGAUUAUGCGGCAAUAUUGGGUGUGAUUGGACAUGAGGUUUGUGAUAUGUUUUCACAAGCUAUUGAAAUUCAUGAACUUUAUCUUGUAUACUGAGUAAAUCACCAUUUCUUGUCAAUGUUGCAGUACUUCCACAAUUGGACAGGCAACAGGUUUGUCUAUUACCCAAUCUUCCCUUUUCACAGAAAAUAAAAAUCUAUUUAAUAUGGUAGUUAUAUUUUCCAUUUAUUACUGUUUGCAUCUUCUAGAUAUUUGGUGAAAAAUGGAUGAUGCAUAUAACAUGAAUAUGCUACUCGAGUUCCUGAAAACGCAUUACUGUAGCUAUCUUUUGUUGCUACUUCAUAUGUUGAUUUCUUUAAAAAAACACCUUUUAAGUUAUAUUUUUAACUGAAAUCAACGAUUCUGCUGUUAUAAUUGGAUACAGGGUACUUGUUUGCUGUGUUCUUUGAGAGUAUUCUAGUGUCUAUGUUAAAGACUUAUAUUAACUAUUUGCUCUAUGCAGAGUUACAUGUCGUGACUGGUUCCAGCUCAGUUUGAAGGAAGGACUUACUGUUUUCCGUGAUCAGGUUGGAUGUAUUCCUGUUGAUGAUGGAUACAUGAACAUUUUUCUGGUAGCGUUAGCUUAUAAGGUUCUUAAAUGAUUCAUGCAGGAGUUCUCAUCUGAUUUGGGAAGCCGUCCUGUGAAAAGGAUUGCUGAUGUUUCAAAGCUUCGAAUGUAUCAGUUCCCGCAGGUUCAAAGAGUUCUUUCAAGUUCUUGCCACUACAUUAUUCCUGCUUCUUACAUAUACAUGGAUUGCCAAAUCAUAUGCUCCACAACGAGCGACUGAAUUAUGGAUGACUAGUUAAAUUUGCUAACUAUUAUCCUGAUUUUGUAGGAUUCUGGUCCAAUGGCUCAUCCUGUCCGACCUCAUUCUUAUAUAAAGGUACUGAUUAAUCUCUUUGAAUACGGAUGAAACUUGUUUAACAAGUGCUGCCCCCCACUUUCUUUUAGCCACCUGCUUGGAAAGUUUUUUCAUUCUUCUUUUUCCAUCUUUUUAUGUUGACAGAUGGAUAACUUCUACACAGGCAAGUUUGUCUACAUUUAAGAGGACUUUUAAUUUCUUUUGAGCGCAAUUUUGAUGAUUAUUUUUGUUACUGAUGUUUGGUUGUGAUGGCUGGGGUGACUUUGAAUAUUCAUGAACAUGCAGUUACGGUAAGAUCCUGGUCGUUUUGAUUUAUCAGUGUUCUAACUUUCUUGGCUCCCAAGGUGUUUAUUAACUAUUGUUUCUUUGUUCCAUUUUCUCUUUUGCAGGUAUAUGAGAAGGUAAUGCUCUUCCUCUUUGCCCUUCCUCUUGCAGCAUUUUGUGCCUCUCUUUUUUUCUCCCUUUUCUGUGCCGCCACAUCCAUGACCUUAUGUGUGCUUGCAAUCCUUUUGUGCUUAUGCAUGCGUAGGGAAUAUUUUGAUUCACCAUUGGUUUAAUUCACCAUUUUUAUUAUCAGGGAGCUGAAGUGGUGAGGAUGUACAAAACCUUGUUAGGGAGCCAAGGAUUCAGAAAAGUAAGAAAAAGAUAAUGUCUCGCGUACUAUUGUAGUGACGAAAAAAUUGAUUUCCGCACUUGAAAGUCACGAAAAUCUAAUAUACCCUUUUCCCCUACAGGGCACAGAUUUGUAUUUUGAGAGGCAUGAUGGUCAAGCAGUAACAUGUGAAGACUUUUUUGCUGCCAUGCGAGAUGCCAACAAUGCAGAUUUUGCUAAUUUCUUGUUAUGGUAGUUGAUUCUGCCCUCCUGCCAUUUGAACUAGAUUUCACGAUUCCUCUCAAAGUUACGCUUUUCUAAAUGAAACAUCAAUGCAGGUACUCGCAAGCUGGGACACCUGUAGUGAAGGUUACAACUAAUUAUAAUGCUGAGGGGUGCACUUUCUCCCUCAAGUUUAGGUAAAAACAUAAAAUGGAUUUUGUUUCCACUUAUUCCUUCUCGAGCGUCUCUUUUUUCAUUUAGAUUUGCAAGUCCUUAUUCUUUAGGCUGACAUAUUUCAUCUGAUUCUUUCCCAGUCAAGAGGUGCCUCCUACGCCUGGCCAGCCUACAAAAGAGCCUAUGUUUAUUCCUGUUGUAGUAGGUCUUCUAGAUUCAAGUGGCAAGGACAUGCCUCUAUCCUCCAUUUAUCAUGGCGGUAAAUUGGAGAGUUUUGCGAGCAGUGGUCAAAAUGUAUAUACCACAGUUCUCCGCGUAACGAAGGUUAGCCUAGAACUUUGAUGGACUGGUGCAUUCCAUUCUACUUGAUUAAGCUAUAUAUGUGGUGUGUGGAUUCUAUAUUCUGUCCCUGGUAAAAUAAGAAAUAUAGGAAAGGUUACUUCAUGUCCACUUGUUUAUGUAAUUGCUGAUGUUACCAGUAAAACAACUAGCUUAUGGAUAAGCAGCUUGUUACAACUUACAAUAUUCUAUUCUGAAUAUAUUUAAUUCUUGUACGAAGUAGAAGGUAGAAUCUAAAGUUUCUCUUGUUUCUGUUCUUUGGAGAACUAAACUGAAGCCUCAGACAGCAAGUGGCUUAUGUUCUGUUAGUCGUAGAUUAGCCUCAUUGCAAAUCAAAAUGAUAAAUUUGAUCAAAUAGAUAGACUAAUACAAGACUUUUUGCUUGUACUGUGCAGAAAGAAGAGGAAUUUGUGUUCAAUGACAUACCUGAGAAGCCAACACCAUCUAUAUUACGAGGCUUCAGUGCUCCCAUCCGGCUUGAGUCUGAUCUCACUGAUAAGGAUCUACUUUUCCUCCUUGCUCAUGAUUCUGAUGAGUUUAACCGGUUAGUGUUUGCUAGGUCUCUCAUCCAAUAUCUUUUAGCUAAUCACAAUUUUGAAUAAUCAAAGACUAAUCUGAUCCGUCUCUUAGGUGGGAGGCGGGACAAGUGUUGGCAAGGAAGCUGAUGCUCAGCCUGGUAGCUGAUUUUCAACAGAAUAAGGCUUUGGCUCUUAACCCUCAGUUUUUGCAGGGGAUCAAAAGCAUACUCACCGACUCAAGCUUGGAUAAGGUAUUCGCCGCCUCUUUUCUUGUAGAUAUUUGUGUUUCAUAUCUGAUAAAAUGUUACGCUAAUGGGGUUUUUAUCCUUUCAGGAAUUCAUUGCUAAGGCAAUAACUUUGCCAGGUAUAGGAGAAAUCAUGGACAUGAUGACAGUUGCUGAUCCAGAUGCCGUUCAUGCAGUUCGGACAUUCAUCAGGAAGCAACUGGCUUCUGAGUUGAAACAAGAGCUCCUUAUCACUGUAAUGACCUCUCGAACUCUAAAAAUGUUACUUUUAUUAUUACCGAUUCUUAAUUUACUUGAUAACGUUCUUAAUGAAAAUAAUAAUGAAACAUACUUUGCAGGUUAAAAACAACAGGAGCUCUGGUGCUUAUGAGUUUGAUCAUAACAAUAUGGCCCGCCGUGCUCUUAAAAAUAUUGCUCUUGGUUUGUUUUUCUUUUUAUCUUUCCAUAUAUAGUGUUUUUCAGAAUUUGACAAAUUACAAUUCCACUGACCUAUUUUAUCAACAGCUUAUCUUGGAUCACUUGAAGACGCAGACAUCAGAGAACUUCUAUUGAAUGAAUACAGAAAUGCCACGAACAUGACGGAUCAGUUUGCAGCUUUAGUUGCUAUUGAUCAGCAACCUGCUAUUCGCGAAGAAAUUUUAGCAGAUUUCUAUAACAAGUGGCAGCAUGAUUACUUGGUACAUCUCUAUGCCUCUCUAAUUCUUGUCCACCGGACCUGUUGUUGCCUUAUAGUUGUUGAGUAACCUGCACAAUGUCGAAUUAUUCAUAACUAAGACGAGGAUUAAUAAAUCUUUAUCCCACUCUAUUUUUACUUAGGUUGUGACCAAGUGGCUUGCGCUUCAAGCUAUGUCAGACUUGCCUGGUAAUGUCGAGAAUGUCAAGAAACUUCUAAAACAUACAGCCUUUGACAUGCGUAAUCCGAAUAAGGUAUGUACUUUUGUGUUUGAUGUCUUUCUAUAUAUGUUGCUCGGACUCUUCAAAAAUGUCACUGGGUGUGCCGGAUCCUCCAAAAGGGAUGCAUUUUUGAAGGACCUGACACGAGUGCUACAACAUUAGCAACAUAUAGGUUUCUGGUUUAUGCCAAUUACAGGACGUGAUGUUCUAUUUCUCGGACAAAUGCAGGUUUACUCGUUGAUCGGAGGAUUUUGUGGGUCGCCUGUCAACUUCCACAGCAAGGAUGGCUCCGGCUACAAGUUCUUAGGAGAACUGGUGGUGCAGCUUGACAAGAUAAAUCCACAGGUCUCUUAAGAUACUAGUUCAAUUGUUUUUUAGUGCAAUUCACCAAUGAAUCACGAGACUAUCGUUCAUAAUUCACGAGACAUGCACCUCUCUUUCUUAACUAUCAUGAAAAUGAUACAGCCCGUUGGUUCACUAUGUUCUUGACAUAAACAACUGCGAGGAAAAAAAUCUUCGAAGACAACUCACAGCUACUGACUUUUUCGAUGUUCUAUCUACUCAUGAUCUGCCUUGGUCAAUCCGAUCUUGAACUAUAGGACGAUUUUCCAGUAGUAUGAGAGAGAGUCUUAUCCUUUUUGUCUAACGUAUGGCAGGUGGCUUCACGAAUGGUGUCAGCGUUCUCUAGGUGGAAGCGUUAUGAUGAAACACGACAAAGCCUCGCUAAGGUUAGUAGCUACUUGCUCGAACAUUAUACACAUCCAUGGUCUUCAACUUUCUGAGGACUAAAGAAAAUGUUUUAUGUUUAAAACAGGAACAAUUAGAGAUGAUCUUGUCUGCUGAGGGACUCUCGGAGAACGUGUUCGAGAUUGCAUCGAAGAGCUUGGCAGCUUGAUUUUUUUCCCUUCAACUGUUUCCAUUAAUUCUGAGAAAGUCUAUAAUGAUUGAUGGCUUUAGUGAGCACUUAGAAGCAGAUCAGACUUGGUUUAAGAUUAUACCUACUUAUGAAUAAAUACUUUUGGUGUUAUAUUUAUACAUGCACUUUUGCAUUAGUCUCUUAUUUACAACUUUCCGACCCAGGGAUCUAUCGGAAACAAGCUCUCUACUUCACCUGAGAUAGUGGUAUGGAUUACGUACACUUUACCCUCCCCAGACCCCACUGGAUCCCAUUGGAUGGGGAUACACUGGGUAUGUUGUUUUUGUCGUCGUCGUCGUCUCUUAUUCGCAACUUUCUUGAGCCGUGGGUCUAUCGGAAACAACCUCUCUACUUCAUUUAAGGUUGUGGUAUGGACUGCGUACAAUUUACCCUCUCACCCUACUUGAUGGGAAUACAUUGGGUACGUUGUUGUCGUCGUCAUUGUCUCUUAUUCGCAAAUUCCAAGGGUAGAAGAGUCAUUCAAUACUACUUUGCAAUCGCAUAAGAGUUCUUGGAACAGAAAGAUAUCACCUUAUAUUAUGUGUUGUUCCACAAACUUGAAUUCUAGAAACCCAUUAUUUUAAUGAAUUAAUUUAGACGAAAAAAGGAAUUUCUUAGUUUUGAAUUUUGCUAAAUGUGUAAUAUUUUUUGGCCAUUACUGGUAGUUUGAGAAUAAUGCUAAAAUCUAUAAUGUGUGUGUCAAGAUUGGGUAGUUACGUAAAUAAAUUUCUAAGACUAAUAUAAUAUAUGAAUAAAACCCAAAUAGAGAUGUGAUGUUUUGUUUACUCUACAUUACACUUCCUUUUAAAAGGUUAAUAGUCGUUUCUACUAUUUAAUAAAAUCACAUCCUUUUUAAAUCUUGUUAUCAUUGCCAAAAAUUAUAUAAUUCUUUUAUCACUUCUUCUUUGCAUACGCAAUCUCGGUUUAGUCUUAAAAAGUAAUCUAACGUCUUUAAUAGAUCAUUGACACUUAAAACUAUUUUUGAGUCAAUUUAAACUUCGAGACGGAUUCUAAUACAUGUAUUAGUUAUAGUAUUAAUAAAUAUCUAUAUACAUGCAUGUGUCAAUUUAAACUUGGAGAGAGAAUCUUAUACAUGUAUUAGUUAUAUAUAGUCGAUCACCAAAGUGAUGCAACAAGUCCCAAGCUACUUCGAAUAUGUGAUAUCGCCACCUUCUUCUUAGCUGGCGGGGGAGUGUUAAGAGUAGAUAAGCGUAUAAAGUUUGUGGGCAUUAUUGUAACUAUAUAUAGCGUGACUGCAUGCGAACUAUAACUAAUUUCCAGAUUAGUUAUUUAUAACUGUACUGAAACUUAGCUUAACAAAGUAAGUAACUAGCUAAUGAUGCCUCUAUAUAAUGUAUUAUGAUCUUAUUUCUAGUUACUUUCAUCUCUAUAAGAAAAAUUAUAAGACUCUUUAAUUUUAUUGAUUUUUUGAUUUAAUCCUUGUGAUCAUACCAUUAUUAAAUGUCAUGUUCUAUUUGUAUUGUAUGGACUUGGGGUAAUUAGUGAUGGAAAGCAAUGCAUUUUUUUUGCAGUAUUCUCUCUCAGUCACUCAUGAUUCAGCCCGUCAUCACGGAUGGAUUAUUCGACCAGUCGGAUCCCAAACCGGUCACAAUACUUCUGAUGAAAGCCCAAGAUUAAAAUCUUGGGUCCAAAGCCCAAGUAUGAGAGUGGGCUUGGACUUGGGUUUAGCGCAAAUGUAUCUGAAAUUUUUGGAGGGGUAGAGGUAGGUAGGUCGAAGAAAUACUGGAGGGAGGUGAUUAGGCAUGACAUGGAGCAGUUGCAGCUUACUAAGGACAUGACCCUAGAUAACAAGAUGCGGAGGGCGCAGAUAAGGGCAAAAGGCUAGGGUUUGUGGGUGAGUCGUAGCAAGUAGUUAGGGAACCCUUGUGUUGCCGAGUUAGUAAUCCUACGACUGUGUCCAUAGGUAGGAGCAGCUAGUCUGGGUGUGGUGGGUGUCUUUGGUCUGUGAGUGUAUGUUUCCUACUAUGUGGGUGUCUUAUUUCUUAUUGCUCUUCUUUAUCUUAUUUCUUAUUUCUAUUUUUGUUAUUUCUUAUUUCUUAUCUCUGUUAUGUCAUCCAUCCUGUUUCAUUGUUCCAUUAUAACCUUGUUUACUAUUCUUUAUCUUGUGUCGGGGUCUAUCAGAAACAACCUCUCUACUUCUUCGGAAGUAGCGGAUGAACCGCAUACAUUUUACCCUCCCCAGACUCCACUUUACGGGGAUACACUAGGUUUGUUGUUGUUGUAUCUGGAAUUUUUGAGCCUAUAAUUGUAGUACUUUUUAACUGGGCUAAGUACACAAAUGAUCUUUUAGGUCAAAGCAUUUGACAUAGAGCUAUUCAUAGAAUUUUAAUUAAUAUUUAAUAAUAUCUUUAUUUUUUUUAAUUGUUUUUAAAUGUGAAUGCACCAGUCGGGAAUAUAUCUUAUACAUUAUAUUGUAUACAUUAAUAUACACUUUAUAUAUACAUUUUUAAUCUUUACAAAUAUAUCUUUAUCAAUAAAAUCUUCAUAUUCGCUUUUCAUGCUAUGUAUAUAGAUACUGUAUCAAUACAUUUUUCAUAUUAUCUUAUUCUCAUUUCUCAUAUAUAUAUAUAUAUAUAUACUUAUUAUAAUUUUCAUGCACACUAUUUGUACACCUUUUAAACACUUAUCAUUAAUCUUUUUACUCUGAACUCUAAAGUUCGGUGCUCUUAAGUUUAGCGUUCAUCGAUCUCAACACAACUUUCGAAUUAUACUACAAAUUUUAUACUCUUAUCUCUUUAUUUAUUUGUUGCAAAAAGAGUAGUUCAAUUUGGAUCAUCAAAAUAUUUCUUGUUGUUUUUGGGUUCUUGAAGAAAAAAACAAGAAAGUAAAAAUAAAUGGGGAGUUAAUGGAGGAAAACAAACCUACCAUUGGGUUUUCAUUGCCAUAUUGAAUUGGGUUGGUGAUUUCUUGUUUACAUUUGAUGUUUUUCAAUUGUUUUUUCUUUUUCUUUUUGGAAGUCAAUGAGACAUGAUGGUUAAAUGGGCUGAUUGUCCACGCUGGAUGCUUAUGUGAAUAGGCCAUGUGUCAUUAUCUUUUUUUUUUUUUUUUUUUACGUAGUUUGUUUGGUGGUAUUCCGUUAAAUGAAGGGUAGAAGUUAGUAUCGGAAACAGCCUCUCUACCCCCUUCGGGGGUAGUGGUAUGGACUGCGUACAUUUUACCCUUCCCAGACCCCACU